rnacentral:lncRNA from 1 species
GCCGCCCGAGGCUCCCUCCCCGGGCCCGGCGCCGUCCGCUGCCCGCCCGCGCAACGCUCCGCUCCGCCCGGCGCAGGUACGCCAAGCUGCCGCGCCUCGCGGGCGCCGCCAUCGCCGUCGAGGGCGCAGCAGCGCCCGCUUGGGCUGCUCUCUCUGCGGGGCCGCGGACGCGGGUGGGGGGGGGAGGGAAGGGGUGGGGUGGGGGUUCCCAAAGCUGUGCGCGCCCCCUCCCACUUCCCCCUUUCUCCGUCUGCGUGGGGAUUUUGGGGAGGGGGAAAGCUUGGGCGCUCCACCCCCCGGAAGGAGGAUCCGGGAGGGGGAGUAAAAGGAGUUGGGGGGAGGGAGGAAACAUGGGGCACCGCCCCCAAGGAGGAUUUGGGAGGGGGGUUAAGAGAGAGGGGGGAGGAGUUGGGGCAGACACCCCCCUAGAAGGAAGAUCUAGGAGGAGUUAGCGGAGUUGUUUUGGGGAGGGACUUUGGGCACCCCAAGGAGUGUCUGGGGACGGAAGGGAGUUGUUUUGGGGAAGAUAUGGGGCAGCCAGGGGGAUUUGGGAGGGGGUGUGGUGUUAAGGGAAUGCAGGAGGGGACCUGGGACAGCCCCCCCCAUAAGGAGGACGUGGGAGGGGGAAUUAAGGGAGUGGGGAGAGAUUUAGGGCAGUCCCUCCUCAAAGGAGGACGAAGGAAGGUGAGUUAAGGGACGAAAUAUGGGCACCGGGAUUUAAGGUGCUGAGGGGUUGUCUGCCCUUUUGGGAUCCGGGGAGGGGGCGCCCAAAGAGUCAUGGGGGGCUGUGGCGGCUGCUGGCCCCCUUUGCAAGAGAAUGUGGCCCCCUGGCUCAAGGAAGUGACCUAGCUUUGUGGCUGAGCACUUACCUUUUUCAACUUUCAACUUUCCCAAAUGAAGGAUGCUGAAAAGUUGUAUCGCGACAUAUAUUGUUGCAACGUGAGUUAUAAAAGUUGCCAUGUCAGUUAUUUUUGUUUGUUUGUUUGUUUGUUAUUGCUAUUAUUUAGCAUCACCCGGCAUUUUCAGAAGGCAAAAUUAAAAUUCUCUGGUUUCCCCCCCAAAAGCAGCUGAUGUGCUUCUUCAUCAGAUGUAAUAUUGCCAAGCUAACUGUUGCCCAGUUGCAAAAAUAACAGCAGAUUUGAGUUCAUCCCACACAAAAAUGUAUUUUAAAGAAAUUGGCAAAAGUUAAGUUUAUUCCCCUAAACGUGAUACGCCUUGAGUGAAGAAGGCCCAGGUUGGACUGGGAAAGACCCCUAGAUUGCAACCCUUAUUUAUUCCUAGAAUCAUAGAACUCUAUGAUUCUAUGAGUUGGAAGGGACCCCAGGGGGUCAUCCAUUCUGACCCCCCUGCACUGCCGGAAUCUCAGCUCAAGCAUCCAUGACAGAAGGCCACCCAACCUCUGCAUAAAAAUGUCCAAGGAAAGAGAGUCCACCAUGUCCCAAGGGAGACUGUUCCACUGCCCAACAGUUCUUUCUGUCAGAAAGUUCUUCUGAAAGUUUAGUCAGAAUCUCCUUUAUUGUAACUUGAAGCCAUGGGUUCGAGUCCUAGCCUUCCAGAGCAGGAAAAUACAAGCAUGCUCCCUCUUCCAUGCGACAGCACUUGAGAUAUUUGAUUUGUAUACCGCCCUUUCGUCCAAAGAUGCCAUCAUCCUCAUAAAAAUUGUAGAAUUGCAGUACCCCCUGCAGUGCAGGAAUAUUCCUCUGUGGGGGAUUGAACCCACAACCUUGACAUGAUCAGCCCCACAACGGAGCUAACUUCCUUGCACAUAAUAAUAACAAUAACAACAACAACAUAAAAAUAAAUAAAUAAAUAAUUUAUUUAUAUCCCGCCCUCCCCAUCCAGAGCCGGGCUCAGAGCGGCUAAGCACAGUAAAAAUAGCACCAUUUACAUAAAAUCACAGUCAAUUAAUUUAAACACAUUCUAAAAUCAAUUCAGAAUCAAAUUAAUGGCAACCAUUGGGCUGGAGUUCUAUGAGGAAUACAGAAGGAGAGAGGGGGUCAGACUUUGCCUUGGCCAAAGGCCUGGUGGAACAGCUCCGUCUUGCAGGCCCUGCGGAAAGAUGUCAAGUCCCGCAGGGCCCUACUCAGACAAUAAUAGUAAUAGAUAGCAUAAUAAAAAUAAUAAUCAUAAUAACAGUCCCCUCAGCCAUAACUUUAAAAGGACAUAGAUCAUUUAUUGGCCAAAGUCCUGGAGAAAGAGGAUUUUUUUUCCCGCUUGGUGCCUAAAGACAUGUAAUGAUGGCAACCAGGCGAGCCUCUGGGGAGAGCAUUCCACAGUCAGGGAGCCACCACAGAGAAGGCCCUUUCUUAUGUGGCCACUGUCCGAACCUCUUGAGAUGCGGGGGGCAUAGUGAAGGGUCACUGAUGACAAGCGCAGGGUCCGGGUUGGUUCAUAUGGGGAGAGGCGGUCCUUGAGAUAAAGUGGUCCUGAGUCACGUAAGGCUUUAUAGGCCAGCACUGGAAACUAACCAAGUAGCCGGAAAACAUUAUUAUCAUGGCCGUGAAGGUUAUUGUGAUUAUUGGGUCAUGCAUUCAGAAUAGAUGAUGCUGAAUUUGAUAGGCCCUCGGAGGUCUGGCUCAGCCAAAGGGCCGUAGCAAAGCGGCAGGACAUCUGCUUGGCUUGCAGAAGGUUUGUUCCCUGCUGGCAUCUCCAGGUUGGACUGAGAGAAAGGCUCUGCCUGAAAUAAUAAUAAUUAUUAUUAUUAUUAAUAUUAUUAUUAUUAUUAUUAUUAUUAUUAUUAUUUAUACCCUGCCCAUCUGGCUGGGUUUCCCCAGCCACUCUGGGCGGCUUCCAACAGAAUACAGUGGUACCUUGGGUUACAUACGCUUCAGGUUACAGACCCUUCAGGUUACAGACGCUUCAGGUUACAGACUCCGCUAACCCAGAAAUAGUGCUUCAGGUUAAGAACUUUGCUUCAGGUUGAGAACAGAAAUCGUGCUCUGGCGGCACGGCAGCAGCAGGAGGCCCCAUUAGCUAAAGUGGUGCUUCAGGUUAAGAACAGUUUCAGGUUAAGUACGGGCCUCCGGAACGAAUUUAGUACUUAACCCUAGGUACCAUUGUAGUAAUAAUAAUAAUAAUAAUAAUAAUAAUAAUAAUUAAUAAUUAAUAAUAAUAUGUUUAUACCCCGCCCAUCUGGCUGGGUUUCCCCAGCCACUCUGGGCGGCUUCCAACAGAAUAUUAAAAUACAAUAGCCUAUUAAACAUUAAAAGCUUCAGAUGUCUUCUAAAAGUCUGGUGGUUGUUUUUCUCUUUGACAUCUGGCGGGAGGGCGUUCCACAGGGUGGGUGCCACCACCGAGAAGGCCCUCUGCCUGUUUCCCUGUAACUUGGCUUCUCGCGAUGAGGGAACUGCCAGAAGGCCCUCAGAGCUGGACCUCAGUGUCCGGGCAGAACGAUGGGGAUGGAGACACUUCUUCAGGUAUACUGGACCGAGGCCGUUUAGGACAGCCGCUGUCCAUCGGUGUAGACAAUACUGAGUUGGGUGAAUUAAUGGUUUGAGGCAGCUUCGUAGGCUAUCCUCACCUGCGCAGAGUCAGGAGCAGAGACUGCCUUUCUCUUGGUUGCUGGGAGCGAAUUGCAAAAAGGCUUGUGUUCAUAAAAAGGCCUUCCUUUGCCUUCUCCUCUUCCCAGGCCUCGGCGGGUCGUGUUGGAGAAACGGGCCUGUGAUAGCUCAGUUGGUAGAGCACAAGACUUUUAACCUCAAGGGUUGUGGGUUUGAGCCCCAUGUUGGGUAAAAGACUUCUGCGCUGCACGGGGUUGGACUAGAUGACCCCUGUGGUCCCUUCCAACUCUUCAUUUCUACGAUUUCUGUGAACACGUGGCUGAGCAUUUCCUUUUCUUCAUUUAGUAAAUCGUAUGUGCCACUGAAUUGACGAAAGCCUCCAAGCGGUUCCUUUGCUUAUUCUGAUUUAUUGCGUCUCUAUCCCACCGUCUUGUCCAAGGAGCUCAAGGCAAACAUACGUAUUUCCCCCACAAACAACAACCCUGUGAGGUAGGAUGGCUGAGAGAAGGCCGUGACCGGUCUCCCACCUAGUGUACUUCUUGGCUGAGUGGGGAUUUGAACCCAGGUCUCAGCCUGACAACUGCAGCACACUGCCAUCCGGUUUACACAGGAGGAUACAAAAUGUUUGUUAAACACUCCAACCCCAAACGUUGUCAAAAAAGAGGAGGUGUAAAAAUAAAUAAAUAUUGAAAUAUAAACCUGAUCAGCAGCUUAGGAAAAAAAAUAUGCAUGUACUGUAACAGAAUGGCAUGCUAAAGUUAUGUGUCUGGGUUAGCUUGCCUAAAUUAAAUACAUAAAUACAUAAAUUAUUUUGUCAGGCGCUGGAAAAAAAUCUGCGCACGUGUGUAGCAAUCUUUCAGCUGGGAACCUUUCACUCUUUGCUGCAAGAGCAGGACUCCUCACAGAACUCUAGCCCAAUGGUUGCCAUCAAUUUGAUUUGAACUGAUUUUAUAAUGAAUUGAUUUUAGAAUGCUGUAUUAUUUUACUGUUGUUAGCCGCUCUGAGCCCGGCUUCGGCGGGAUAUAAAUUAUUAUUAUUAUUAUUAUUAAUAAUAAUAUUAUUAUUAUUAUUUUAGAGUUGGAAAGGGAUCCCCAGGUGUCAUCUAGCCCGACCCGCUUGCAAGGUAGCCACAACUUAAGCUCAUAUCUGGGUAAAGGGUGUGUUUUUGUGUGUGUGUGUGUGUGUGUGUGAUAGUGCCCCUAUCUGAGUUUAAGGGGGGAUUUUUUUUCUGCAUAGACUUGUGACCUCAAGGGCUCAAGAGACCUGCUUUUUGGGGUUUGUGGUGCGCUACCCAAGACUGCAUAGCCACAAAGGGAGGAGUUUGCAAGGAGCUUGGUUGGGGCAUCAGUUGUGGUGACCACAGAUGUAGAGUUUGAAAGGUGCAGAAAUCCUCGUCAGGCCUGGCUUAUGGAUGACACCAGGUGUGCCGAGCGCAGGUGGGCGAUGCUUUUUGUAGGGUGGUGUGUGUGUGCAAACGAAAGGUUGUGGGCUCUCCAUCUAUUUGUGGCUGGAGAAGGACAACGGUUUGGUUUUUUCCGUUGCCUGUGGCGAUCUCUCUCAUCUCGACUGUGCCUCUGUCUUUCCUGGCCGACCAGUUUGGUGGCUUCUAACUUUGCAAAAAACCUCCGAAGUCUGUUUAGCGGAGAUGAGGGAGGGAUGAGUGUGUGAACCGCAUCUAGCGAUGCUUCAUGUCAAGCCACUUAUUCCCCCGAAAUCUCUCUGCAGUCCUUGCAGCCGCUGGUGCGUGUAUUGAUAUGCCACAUCCGAAACACCCGGAUGAGCCUCUGUUCAACCUGUUGAACGGUUCAGCUUGCCCCACUUGGAAACUGGGACUGGUAACUUUGCCAGCUGGAAAUUGUGUCUGUCGAAGUGGCUGAGUCAGCAAGAGGCUAUCUAUGUGCAAAUUGAUGCCAGAGAUGUGCAAACGUGACAAAAAUGUGCAGGUCUAUGACACAUCGAUGUGAAAGUGUGUGUGUGGGGGGGAGAGAAAUCUCUGUUUUGAAAUGCUGAUCUCCUGAUUGUUGUGGCGGGCCGAUGCCCUAGUUCAUUUGGCUUGCAAAAUAAUCUUAUGGCACAACAUCUCUCCGUGUCAAUAAUCUAAAAAGAGUGUGCUUGUUUUGUGUGCCUGUUAACUAUAUGGGGUGUGUGUGUCAAGCAUUUCUGCUGAGCGAAUGAUACAGGGGCAGGUGUGCUUAGACAGGCAGAGGCUGCGCAUGGCUAGGUCAUGCCAUGCCAAUAUGUGCAGCAGAUAUGAGCAGGGAAUGGCCGUAGCUCAGUGCUGGAGGAACAUCUGCCUGGCAGGUAGGACGUUGCAGGUUGAAGCCCCAAUGGCAUGUACAGAUACAGCUGGGAGAGACUUCUGCUUGAAAUCCUGGGGCGCUGCUGCCACUCAGUGUGGACAAUCCUACGGUCAACUUGAGCACAGCACCCUGAUCUCACAGUGGCCAACCCAUUGCCUCUUGUUUUCUCCUACUUUGGAGGGUAGGACUCGAACCCAUGGCUUCCAGUUGCAAGAAAGGAGAUUCAGUGAGAGCUGUUCGACUGUGGAACGGUCUCCCUCGGGAGGUGGUGGACUCUCCUUCCCUCCUUUCCUUAAGCAGAGUUUGGAUGGCCAUCUGUCAUUGAUUUUUUUUUUAGCUGAGAAUCCUGCAUUGCAGGGGUUUGGACUGGAUGGCCUUUGGGGUCCCUUCCAACUCCUAAGAUUCUUCUGCAGGCAGGACCCAAGUACGAUAGUGCACACCCAAUGAGUGUUUCGUUGUUGUCAUCAAAUUUAUUGCUCUCCUUUCACCAGGAGGUCCCAAGGCAGGUUGCAGCAAUGAUUAAGAAUUGUUGUUGUUGAGUUGUUUAGUCGUGUCCACCUCUUCGUGCCCCCAUGGACCAGAGCACGCCAGGCACUCCUGUCUUCCACUGCCUCCUGCAGCUUGGUCAGACUCAUGCUGGUAGCUUCGAGAUCACUGUCCCACCAUCUCGUCUUCUGUCGUCCCCUUCUGCUUGUGCCCUCCAUCUUUCCCAGCAUCAGGGUCUUUUCCAGGGAGUCUUCUCUUCUCAUGAGGUGGCCAAAGUAUUGGAGCCUCAGCUUCAGGAUCUGUCCUUCCAGUGAGCACUCAGGGCUGAUUUCCUUCAGAAUGGAGACGUUUGAUCUUCUUGCAGUCCAUGGGACUCUCAAGAGUCUCCUCCAGCACCAGAAUUCAAAAGCAUCCAUUCUUCGGCGAUCAGCCUUCUUUAUGGUCCAGCUCUCACUUCCAUACAUCACUACUGGGAAAACCAUGGCUUUAACUAUACGGACCUUUGUUGGCAAGGUGAUGUUGGAAGUGAGUGAUGUCUCUGCUUUGUAAGAUGCUGUCUAGGUUUGUCAUUGCUUAAGCAUUAAGAUUAAGAAUCAGGCACAGUUAAAACACAGCGCCGUCGCAGGGCUUGAAAACACACACUGAAAGCCCGGGGAAAGGGGCACCUGCAGCAUUUCCUGAAAUCUCUGUUUUCCCUGAAGGAUGGAAGUAAAAGGAAUUGUUAUGGGGUAGAACCUCCUGCUGCCUUGCAGAAUAACAAUGGGAGCAUAGAUCCUCAGUCCACCCAAGGAGCUUACAGUUUCAAGGAGAGAGAAGGAAGGAUGCCAUUAAUACACACUUCCAGCAUGAGAAACGAUUGAACUGCGAACCAGCAGUGCACGUAUUAAGAAUGUUUGCUGUGGUUGCACCAUGCCUUAUGAUAAUGGCAGCGGUGAUAACAAAACAGAGAGCUGUCAAUGCUCUUUUGUUUGUAUACAAUUUGUGCCAGCCGCAGUGGCUGCAUCCUGCCUCCACUAUUGGAGUCCAUAUUCCUUUGAAUGCCAGAUCCUGGGAACCACAGCAGGGCCUGAUCCUGCUACAGGGCUCUUCCUAUGUCCUUACGCUUUGGGGAUGCAUACUUAGCUCAUAGUCUCCUUGAAUCGAUCACCAAAGCAUACACCCAUCCCAUUUGCACAUAGCACUAAGCUGAACCAUGGAUUUGGGUCUGAACCUGAGCACCUGGUUUGCUUCCCCCAGACAAACCAUAAGUGGUAAACCGAGGACAAACCUUGGAUACAAACUCAUGGCUCCUCUGGAGUGAGACAAACCAUAACCCCGGGUUCAGGCACAGCUCUGGUUGGUCUGACAGUUGUGCAACCAGGUGAGGGGUUAAGUGGCUGUGAUUUUUCCUGUGAUUACCUAUAAUAAAAUCAUUUAUGGCGAUCUUCGCAGCCAUUUCAGCACAUGGAUGAAGACACCUCGUGUUCACACAUGCCUUUAUGUUUCACAGUCUACAGGUUUUUCCCCCCAAUUUUUUUAUUUAUUUAAAAUUUUGAAAAUAGUUUUAGAGUCAUAGAACUGUAGAGUUGGAAGGGAGCUAAAGUGUUACCUGGUCCAACCCCUUUGCAGUGCAAGAAAGCACAGGUAAUUACAUCUGCAUACUCGCACAUUCAUGGUUAGUCAUGGUUUGACUUAGCCUUAGGGUUAUUGCAUAGAACACAUUAUUAUUAUUACUUCUUUAUUUCUACACCUCUUUAUAUUUUAAAGAAAAAAUCUCAAAGCGGUUUACAACCUACAUUAAAGUAUCAAAUAAAACAACCCCAGAUAAAACAUCACUGAAGAAAGUCAAAGUUAAAAUGCACAUUUAAAACAGCAUAAUUAGCAAGAGAAUAUUUUAUUAUCAUAAGCAUAGAACGUAUCUGCUGCUGACUGCCUAUCCGGUGGUGGUUCAUGGUGGUGGUGGAAAGUCAGGCUCGAUGACCUGGGUCUGCAGUAAGAGGAAGCCAAGAUGUUCUCUGGCUUUUUCAACAGCGGCAGCUUUCGUAGCUGGAGUCAGUCCGGGCUUCACCCUCCCAGGCCAGGUGGAAAAUCAAGGCAGGGAGCAGAUCUUCCAGGACUCCCAGCCAAAAGAGCUUGCCAUCUGUACCAGAGGAAUGGACUGAAUUGUGUUUGGUGGGGAAAGCCUCCUUGAUCUCUCUCGGUGGCCCCAGGGCUCAUUCCUAUUUUCCUUGGGGAGAGGUGGCGCAUGUUUUGCAUGAUACAGCGCAAAACACCAAAAGGAGGAACAGUCCUUUCAGGUGGUUUCCCAUCGCCUGCUCUGCUUCUCCAGAAGGGAGUGGCAGAUUUUUCCCAGCUAGAUGAGCCUUCUCCUGAUUUUAUUUUUGAUUUGUGCUCUGUUUGAGCUGCCAAACCAUGUUCCCCCGCUCCUUUGCGGCUCAGUUGGCAUCUCAGCUCUCUCUCGGGGGCUUUUCCCAGUGAGUGGAAGGUGCUGAUACGUGGCAAACUCAGCCAACCGUCACUACAUUUCCAACAUGAGAUUGUCUCUGGCUGUGGAAGACGAGUCGGAUGAAUCUUUGGAGAAGCUCCUCCCAAAUAUAGUUUGCUGGGAUUUCGGGAUUAGUAUCCCCCUGGUAAGACUUUUUGUUUUGUUUGGCCUCUAACUCUUCCCGUCACCUUUGCUAGCUGCAAGUAUUCUACCAUUAGUGUUUGCCAGUCUGAUAUAUUAGGUCUUCAGAUACCUGAAGAAGUAUCUGAAGAAGGUGCUACUGGAAGGAAUAGUUCUGCAAAGCCAUUUCCCCAAAUGUAACACAUUAUUGCAUGCUCUUUUCACUAACACAUACGUUUUGUCCCCUAGCAAGUGCAUUUUCCUGUGCCCUCCUUAGCCAGAGAACAGCACUGCAAGAUAUAAAAGGUAAAGGGACCCCUGACCAUUAGGUCCAGUCGUGGCCGACACUGGGGUUGCGGCACUCAUCUCGCUUUACUAGCUAAGGAAGCCGGCGUACAGCUUCCGGGUCACGUGGCCAGCAGGACUAAGCCUCUUCUGGCGAACCAGAGCAGCAGUUGGCGGUUCGAAUCCCUGCGACGGGGUGAGCUCCCGCUGCUCGGUCCCAGCUCCUGCCAACCUAGCAGUUCGAAAGCACGAAGUGCAAGUAGAUAAAUAGGUACCGCUCCGGCGGGAAGGUAAACGGCGUUUCUGUGCGCUGCUCUGGUUUGCCAGAAAGUGGCUUAGUCAUGCUGGCCACAUGACCCGGAAGCUGUACGCCGGCUCCCUCGGCCAGUAAAGCGAGAUGAGCACCGUAACCCCAGAGUCGGUCACAACUGGACCUAAUGGUCAGGGGUCCCUUUACCUUUACCUAUAUCUUGCAGUAGGGACGCGGGUGGUGCUGUGGGUUAAACCACAGAGCCUAGGACUUGCUGAUCCUUAGCCAGUAAAGCGAGAUGAGUGCCGCAACCCCAGUGUCGGCCACGACUGGACCUAAUGGUCAGGGGUCCCUUUACCUUUUAUAUCUUGCAGUGCUGUUCUCUGGCUAAGGAGGGCACAGGAAAAUGCACUUGCUAGGGGACAAAAUGUAUGUGUUAGUGAAAAGAGCAUGCAAUAAUGCGUUACAUUUGGGGGAAAUGGCUUUGCAGAACUAUUCCUUCCAGUAGCACCUUCUUCAGAUACUUCUUCAGGUAUCUGAAGACCUAAUAUAUCAGACUGGCAAACACUAAUGGUAGAAUACUUGCAGCUAGCAAAGGUGACGGGAAGAGUUAGAGGCCAAACAAAACAAAAAGUCCACAAGGAAUGGAGAAUAUUUAAAGAAUAUUUGAAGAACCAUGGUAUAAAGGGUAAUCUCCUGGCAGACUUAGACUGAGCCUUGUAGUCUAUUGUGUAAUUGACAAUUUACAUAGAAAUACGAUAAAAAAAAUAGAAGAAAUAAGUAACUGUGCGAUAAAAGUGUAUUUAACAGAUAACAUACAAUGAGAAUGUUUGGAAGUGUAUGCACACGAAAGCUCAUGCCAAUAACAAACUUAGUUGGUCUCUAAGGUGCUACUGGAAGGAAUUUUUUUAUUUUGUUUCGACUAUGGCAGACCAACAUGGCUACCUACCUACAUCUUGCAGAAAUAUGUGUUGAAUGGUCUCUUUAAAUGUGAAGGUUCAUUAUUGUUCCACAUAUUUCUUUAAGGGCCAGAGCAAAUAGCGAGACCCAGUUUUACAGCUGUGAAACAGUAUAGCAGGUGCUGCUAAGUUGUGUUAAUUAAGUUGUGUCAGCAAUUGGGUAUAGUAUAUAAAGAGCAGCACCUAGCUUUCUCAGUACCCUGGUGGAUGGGUUGGGUCUUGCUUGCUGAGAUAUUUAGUGUAAAAGGAGUUUUUGUUUUUGUUAUUAAAACCUUGAUAAAGUUAUUUUUGAGUUCCUUGUAAUGCGUGGUCUCCCCAGCAAGCUUUCUGCAGCGCAACUAAACUGCAAAUAGCCAACAGGCAACCCCCUGUUUUAGGGGCUACUGAUAUGUGCACAAUAGCUCACAGCACCGAUCCCGGAAGUAACCUGGAAAUGUCAUAAAAGGUGUUUCUAAAAGGGCAAAGCAGGGGAGGGAUGGGCUGGCACGGGGUGCUUUCAGACUGUUUCAGUUGCAUGCGAUUUCACACAGGCUCGCAAUGACCCGGAAUGCAACCUGCAAGCAAAUCUGGGGUUGCCUGUAUAUUAGGCAUAACUGGGCAUACCACAAAAUAUAUGUAUCAGCAGAAAUCCACAUUCUCAGUGGUACUCACUUUCAAGUAGAUUUUUGCAGGACCAAUGCAAUGAACGUACUUAUGCAUGAGCAAACCCUUCUGAGCUCUGAGACACCAGCUUCUUGGUGCUUAGGAUUGCAGUCUGAAUUAAAGGUACAAACGACACAGGAGAUGAAUAAAAAUGAAGGCUCAGUGGUUUCCCCGAGGCAUCUGGUAUCUGGGCAGGCGGCCGGUCCCUUUCCUAAGGUGCAGGGUAGAGGACCAAAGAUCUGAUUCUCGCUCUGUCGCUUGCGGUUGCUUUUAGACAGAAUGCACUGUCAGAAGACCCUGGCAAAGUCUUAAUGCACAUGGACCUAUCUGAAUUGCCAGCAGGGCACUGAAGGUCUCAAGGAGGAGGACGAGGAAUCUUGCCAACUUUCUUACGGUUUACGAAAGCGCCCUCAGCUCGUCAAUUGGUGCUGGCUCUCUCAAGGCCGCCAGGUGAGUGGCUUGAUCUCUGAAGGUUUUGUGAUUUACGGAUACUGGGUUGUGCUGGGCAAAGGACAGGACAGGUAGCCGUGUUGGCUCAAGAAAAACGCCAGAUCCAUCGUCAGGCAAGGCUUUAAUUAGACCUGCCAAAUGUCACAUAAUAACAUUUCAACACUGUUUUUAACACUUUUCCGAGCUCUUAAGGCUAGAACUCGUGGACUUCCAGAAACGCUGAAUGUUGGAAGGUUUGGGAUCAGGGCCAGAUUUAGGUUUGAUGAGAUCCUAAGCUACUGAAGGUCAUGGGGCCCUUUAUAUGUCCAGCUGUCCUUUGCCAACAACAAAUUGUCCCUGUUUCUUGUGUUGAAUAUAUGCUAUAUGGUAAUUUAUGGACCUCAUAGGUAUCUCAAGCCAUUUGCACAUGUUGCCCUGCAACCAGUCCAUGCAGAAUGUAGGCACCCUAUAUAUUGUUGUUGUUUAGUCGUUUAGUUGUGUUCACCUCUUCGUGACCCCCUGGACCAGAGCACACCAGGCACUCCUGUCUUCCACUGCCUCCCGCAGUUUGGUCAAACUCAUGCUGGGAGCUUUGAGAACACUGUCCCACCAUCUCGUCCUCUGUCGUCCCCUUCUCCUUGUGCCCUCCAUCUUUCCCAACAUCAGGGUCUUCUCCUGGGAGUCUUCUCUUCUCCUGAGGUGGCCAAAGUCUUGGAGCCUCAGCUUCAGGAUCUGUCCUUCCAGUGAGCACCCUACAUAUAGAAAGGAGCAAACCAGUGAUAUUUGAGGGAGCAGGCUAGCAGGCGGGGCCCAUGACUCACAUCAUAGGAGCCAACACAACACAAAACACUGUUUCUGCAUGUAGGUUUUAUUUUAUUUGUUUUUUAUAUUUUGGAAAUGUACAUUCAGUUUUUCCCCCCUUUAGUUUUUUUGGGGGCCCCUAAGAGAGUGGGGCCCUAAGCUAGAGCUUGUUUAGCUUAUACGUAAAUCUGGCACUGCUCAGUACAGAUGAAAGGAGGGACGCCUUCACGCAGCGCCUAACUCCCUCCCACAGGAGUCUGAGAUGGCCACCCACCCAUGGAAUCGUAGAAUUGUACAGUUGGAAGGGAUCCUGAGGGUCAUCUAGCCCAACCCCCCUGCAAUGCAGGAAUAAGAGGAUUGGACAAAUCCAUGGGGCAGGAGAGGGCUAUCAAUGGUUACUACAGUCAGGGCCAUCUUAAGCAUAUUCAGUGCCGUGGUGAAAGAUUCUUCCAGCGCCCCCCCCCGGAAGCUCCAAAACAAGGGAGGGGCAGUAGAAAAUGUCCUCUGCCUUUCCCAACACCCUGAUCCAUGGCAUGGCGAUCCAGCAGGAGAACGUGCUGGCAGACAUGCUCUACGGCAUCAGGGCUCCUGAGAAGGCCGGCUGGGAAGGCUGCACACUGCCUUUUGCUAGGAAGCAGAAGGAGGACAACGACCUCUGCGUGGAUUGCUCUCCUCCUGUAAAGGCUUGGGAAGGAAGCUGCAAGCCCGCCUGCCUGCCAUAUAGAAGAAGAAGAAGAAGAGGAGUUUGGAUUUGAUAUCCCGCCUUUCACUCCCUUUAAGGAGUCUCAAAGCGGCUAACAUUCUCCUUUCCCUUCCUCCCCCACAACAAACACUCUGUGAGGUGAGUGGGGCUGAGAGACUUCAAAGAAGUGUGACUGGCCCAAGGUCACCCAGCAGCUGCAUGUGGAGGAGCGGAGACGCGAACCCGGUUCCCCAGAUUACGAGACUACCGCUCUUAACCACUACACCAUACUGGCUCUCAGUUGGCGGGGCACAGCUGGUGGGCGUUCAGGGAAAGGGGAGGCCUCCGGCAAAGCCGCGCAGCUCCCUCACUCGCUGGGGCGCCCCUGAGAGGCCGGCGCCCUGGCGCAACGAACCAUUAACACCAAUGGCAAAGACGGCUUUGACCACAGUUGCAGGCACUGUGGGAAUAGGAUGCUGGAUGAGAUUCCUGCAUUUCGGGGGUGGACUGGAUGACCUUUGGGGGUCCCUUUCAACUCUGAUUCUAUGACUAGAUGGGCCAUGGGCCUGAUCCAGAGGGCUCUUCUUAUGUUUUCGACGUUGAAACAAGUGGGAAGACAGUAGGAGGAAACAAAUGUGGUUGAUAUUGUAGCCGCAGAGUUUUCAUUCCGUCUCAGGGUAUGUGGGAGGUGGUAGCAGAUGAUGAGAUUAAGUUGCACCAUGGGGGUGCCAGGGAGCCUCUGGGCUGCAACACAGGCUUGCUGGGACAAAGAAAAUGACAGAGGUCGAUCACUUUUGAAACUAUAACACCUAGCUGUCCCUUGGAUCUUAGGCAGAAGGCACAGGUCAUCUGGAAGAUUGAGAACAGAAGCAAAAGUGAAACUAGACAACAUUUAUAGUAACAAAGCUGGAAAUGAAUUUUAGACCGCAUACUAGGGCGACCGCAUACUGGGCAAUAUGGCCAGUCUUCAAUAUGGCGUUAUAUCAGCAGCCAAACAUUGCAAUACAUUAGUCCUUGCAGUUACGUAAACUUCAGGAUACGAAAGUGGCAAACCUGGAAGUAUUUGACUGAGUUUCUCCCCGCGCACAUGCGUAGAAGCGGUCCUCAGGCUGUAGAAACCUCAGGAUCCGACCAAACCUCCAGAACGGAUCCCAUCCGCAACUGGAGGUACUACUGUAUAUUGAUAUACCAUGAUAUCCGAAAUAAGGAAGGAACUAUGCAGAGGUGAACAGGCAAACGUCCUGGCAACUGCUACUAAACCGGAUGAAUGACAGUAUUAUCAAUCAUCACACACUCAGUUUCAUCAGCAGGGAAGCCAGAAUGCAUCCCAACAGGACUUUUGGUUUUGGACUUGGCUAUCAAACGGUGAUAUUUGGAUUCAUCAGGUUCAUGCAGGCAAUGAAGAGCACAUCCUUCCACCAUGGUUAGCUGAUUUCUGAUUUCCACUUUUUAUAUGGUUCAUAUUUUUAGGUAUGGUUAUUCUGAGCCACUUUGAUUUUUUCCUUUUUGAUGAAUUAGCAGUAUAUGAAUAUUUUUCUAUAAAUAAGACUGAUAAAGUGGGAAACUUAAAUGGACAGAUUAGCCCAUCGCUCACUUGUCGUUCAGAUUAUGCCUGCAAAUCUAUGUAUCCUUUCAUAGCCUUGGAUGCUGGGUAGGGAUGGGAGCAGUUUGGUUCAGUUGGCAUUUCAGGGUGAAUCUUUAAAUUCGGUGCUUUCCAAAGCAACAGGCAAUCCAAAACUUGGCUGCCUUUCAAAAUUUGCACAUAUUGGAAUUCUGCCAUGCAAAAUGCAUGUAUUAGGGGAAAACUGAGCUUAGCAAGAGCUAUUUUAGUGCAAAUAACACCUGGAAACGUUUGUGUUUAUGUCAUGAAAUUUAUAUGCUGCUUGAAUGUGGAAAAGCAAGAAAACCCUCAAAGUAGUUGAAACGCAUUACAUUUGGGGAAAUUCCUUGCAAAAAUAUGCACAUUGGUCAAAACUGCGUGCAAGGAUGUGCUCAUUAGGAGAAAUUUGCCCUGAAAUGCUGCUGAAAUUUCCAUGAGGGUUUUCUCUCGCUAAAGAAAUUGCAGAUUGUUGCAGCGGGGUGGAGAACUGAAUUUAAUGUUGGAAACAUGGCAGACUGAGGGAGCCGUGAUGGACGAGCCCUUUCCUUCCUUGUACGGAAUGGCCCUCUGCAUUUUUCUGGGGCCUUAAUACGACUCUGACUCACAGGCUCCAGUGGAUGGCUACCUUGAGCUGGCCUGGCUUGUCCUCGGCUCCUGAAUGCUCCCAGAACUACCUAGGCAGGGCAUGGGAAAAAGCACCACACGAUCCCCGCAGUGCCAACACGCUCCUCUCCAAAUGGUCCACACCCUUCCGAUUGCUGCAGACAGUUUUCCCCCUCCUUACCCGUUUGCUUUCCUGACAGCCGUGUGAAUUUCUUCAAUGCAAAUCCUCUGGCGGGAUGUUCUGUGCUCUGCCUUUUGGCGCUUGUCCCUGUUGGAUUCUCUGUUGAUUUAUGGAUUCCGUUUGUCGGAGAGCAGAAAUCGGAAGGCCGUUCCUCCCCCUCGUGGCGGGAGAAGCAUCCUUGCUGUACCCAGACCUUCCUAGAGAAGUUUUCUGUUCUGAACGCCUCAUCUUUCCUUCUGAAUGUGACUGUUGACCCAACUUGGUGCCUCAACUCUUCAGCUGUGGCUCGCGAUCUACAAGCAAGUAACUAGAACCGUGGGCUCCCAUUGAAGCUGAAUUUUGGAAGAUUCAGGACAGACAGAAUGAAAGGUCUUCUUCACGCAGCAGGAGGCAAUGUUGGCCACCAACCUAGAUGGUUUAAAAAGCUUUUCACAGAGGUGUGGUUCCUUGGACAUGACACUGUAUAGCUUCCUGGCCAACAGCACAGAGUGAAAGCUCAUUAAAUAACCGAGAUCAUCCAAUCCCUCAGCAAACAAUUUAGGAGGAAGGCUUGACAAAUAGGUCAUUGGGAAGCACCUCUCAGAUCUCACGAAAAUGAUUGACCCAUGCCUGGGUUAUAGUGCUUUAGGCCAUUUGAGAAGUCCCACCCAAGGAGGGGGGGAAAUGUGGAUGUAGAAAACCAAGAUGUCAGGGACAGCUUCCCCCCUGAGUUGCUGACUUUCUGCAUGCAAGGAAUUUUUUAUUUGUGGGAUGGAGCAUUGGUUUGAACUAGUUCACACCCUGUUUUAGUGACGACCCAACUGCUUAGAACUCCUUGUUCACACUCAGCGCCCGGCCAGAGGACAGACAACUUGACGGAGAACAGCAGACGAUAAAGAGUUUUCCAAACAUGGGCAUGAGAAAGAAGAAUGUUGCAAGCGUUUCAUAUUAAAGGAAUUGUGGGCGAAAUCUGAAAAAAAGAAGAAAAAGAGGUUUUGAGUGUGUGUCCAUGUGCCCCUCCCUCUCCCCCUCCUAGAGAGCUUCUGACUUUUGCAAAAUAGAAGCAAAACCAGCCCCAAACAGAAGAUAAAGUCAAACUGAAAACCACAGACCCAAAAAACCCCCUUGAGACAACAUGUUUUUGGUGCUGUGAGUGCAUGCCCGAGAAACUGGGUUAGGCGGGUGUGAUAAUUUGGUUGUUUUUGCUCGGGAGGCCUGGAGGAAUACAGCGUGCGGUUAUGUUACUAAUCCUGAUACCAAGAAGGUUGCCUGAUUGUUGAGAUUAAAGAGCAUUUAAGAUGAAUGUCAGAGGCACUUGAGUUGCAAUUCUGCCUUAAUCCCGAGGAGAUUAAGCUCAGCGGCAAAGCGCAAGUUUUGCAGGCAGAAGGGCUCAGCCGCCACCUUUGGCAUUGCUAGCUGAAAGGUCUGUGGAAGCAUAGAAUCACAGAAACGCAGAGUUGGAAGAGACCCCCUGGGAUCAUCUAGUCUAUUCCCCUGCAAUGCAGGAAUCUCAGUUAUAGCAUCCAUGACAGAUGGCCGCCCAACCUCUGCUUGAAAACCUCCAAGGAAGGAGAGUCCACAACCUCCCGAUGGAAUCCAUUCUGAACAGUUCUUACUGUCAGAAAGUUUCCCCUGAAUUUUAGUUGGAAUCUCCUUCUUUGUCCUACCCUCCAGAGCAGUUUGUUCCCUCUUCCAUGUGACAGCCCUUCAGAUAUUUGAAAAUGGUUCUCAUAUCUCCUCUCAGUCCCCUUUUCCCCAGGCUAAACAUACCCAGCUCCUUCAACAGUUCCUCAUCAGGCUUGCUUUCCAGACCCUUGAUCGUCUCGGUCUCCCUCCUCUGCACACCUUCCAGCUUGUCAACUUCCUUCUUAAAUUGUGGUGCCCAGAAUUGGACACAGGACUCCAGAUGUGUUUCCUAGAUGCCAAAGACCAAAGGAGGCAGUGCUGGUGGGCCAGAUCCCCCUAAGAUCUGACUUGCAGUUUCAUAACCUUUUAGAAGGAGGCUGAGACUCAUUGGGAGAGCAGAUGUGAGCACCUUCUCUUAAAGGGACCUCAGGCAGUUAGAUAAGGUGGUGGAAGUAAACUCUGCGUCGGUUGUUCCCAAACAUUUCUGAGCUGCUGUCUGCUGGGUUCCCUAAACUCACCCCCAGUUUCCCCUGUCCUAGAAAAAGCAGUAUUCAAAACAGUGGUUUUUGCACAGCCCCUUAUCCAGCAGCCGAUUCCUAUGUUCUUUAUAAAGACCUCUGAGUCUCCAUUUUGGCUUCCGGGAUCUUUCGAAGCACUUAACUCAACUGUAUUUGUGAACUUCGUAAACCACAACAGCAACACGCCCCCCCCCCCCCCCCGGCUGAGUGCUUUCACUUGGUUUCCACAUGGUGGCUGUAACGUUUAAAUAGGGAAGCUUCAAAUAUCCACAUCUCUGGUGAUUGUGAAGCAAACAAGGCACAUUUGCUUGUUGCAGAUAAAUACUCCAAGGAGCUUUGGGAAAAUAUGUGUGUGUGUGGUUUCCAGCAACUGGUGUUCAGAAAUAUGGCUGCCUCUGUCUGCGGUUUAUACUUUUGCAAAGGAAAAGAGCACAGGGCAGUAAGCCAGAAACUACCUUGGAAGGUUGAAGAGCAACGAUGAAAGCAACUUACUUGCAAACGCUGGCCAGAUGGGGUCACACGGACUUUGGGAAGAUGAGAGAAGCGUGCGAGGCUUCGAGCGACCUUUCACGUUAACCCUCCCUUAGCCGACAGCAUUGCAGGAGUUUAAAAAAUGGGGUUUAAAAGCCAGGAGGGUCCUCGGAGCUCAAGUAGUCAAACUGCCCAGUCAGUGCAGGGGUCUUGCAACUGCAGCCUCCUCCCAGAUAGAUGACUGACCAAUGUCUGUUUAAAUACUUGUAUCGAAGGAGAGCAGGCCACCCAAUGAUGUCAAUCAUGUAUCUUUCCGGGGAGAAGUCUGUUGCGCUUGAAUCCUGCAUGCAGGUUUCCUACAGGCCCUUGGGAGAACAGUCUGCCAUUCUGGCCUGGUCCGGCAGGCUCGUCUUAUCUUCUUCCAUCCUCAAAAUUUUGCUGCAAUCUCUUUCCCCCAAUGUUUCCACCUCCUGGUUUCUCCCCUGUCUUCCAGAGCGAUAGUCACCCUGUUCCUUCUUCCACAUUGCAAGCCUUAUGAUAUUUCAAGAUGGCAGCUCUCAGGUCUCCUCCUGAGAAACAGGAGGAGCUGUUUCCACACACUUCCACGCCUUCCACACUGGACUUGGUUCAUCGAAGCUUCUCCAAUUCGAACCCACGUCCUCUUUUAGCUGUGUGCUCUGAGCAGGCCAGGGGGAAAAGAACAUACCCAAUGGUUUAAAACAGAGGCGGGGGUCUCGCAACGGAGGAAAAUACCCCGGGUCUUCCUGUGUUCUUUGCCUCCCCGGUGCUUACAGGUCUCUGCUGGCUGAGAUCCGCCUGCUGUCUAAUUUCUUCUCUUGCAAGCAGGUGUCGUAAUUACAUGGUUGUAACAGCAGCAGCGGAGGGGGUGGAACCCGGUUACCGGAUCAAAUGUACGCUCGAGGGCUUCCUUCAUCCGGAUCCUUGACAGUCCCCAUUAAAUCUGAAUAUCCACUGGCAGUCUUUGAUAGGUCUGCUUGCAACUUUGCAGCCUCCUUGGGGCAGGGGACCUGGCUAUCUCCCUGCACACCUGGCAGGCAGGUGCUGUCGGUGAUGGUGUUAAAUAGCGCCCCUGUGUGGUAGGCCGGUAGCUCAGCAGAAGGGGUUCAGCUGUUGUCUGUCCACAUGCUCAAUAAUGACAUUUGUGGUGAAGCCUGGAGAUGGGAAUAUAAGUAUCAUGUGACAUGAAUAUAGGUAUCAGUUCCGCUGAUCAAAGCAACCAAGUGGGUGCAUAUGGGACAAGGUGAUCUAGCAUGUAGACUGGCCCCAAGUUACAAUCUUAGAAUACAGUGGUACCUUGGGUUACAGACACUUGAGGUUACAAAUGCUUCAGGUUACAGACUCUGCUAACCCAGAAAUAGUACCUCGGGUUAAGAACUUUGCUUCAGGAUGAGAACAGAAAUCGUGCUCUGUCGGCAGGGCAGCAGUGGGAGGCCCCAAUUAGCUAAAGUAUUGCUUCAGGUUAAGAACAGUUUCAGGUUAAGAACGGACCUCCGGAACGAAUUAAGUUCUUAACCCGAGGUACUACUGUCAUAGAAUUGUACGUCUAGUCCAGCCUCCUGAAAUUGAGGGAGUUUGGUAUGUUUAGCCUGGAAAAGAGAAGACUGAGAGGCGAUAUGAUCGGCAUCUUCAAAUAUCUCAAGGGCUGUCACAUGGAAGAAGGAGCAAGUUUGUUUUCUCCUGCUCCAGAGGGCAUUGCAGGGUGUUGGACUAGAUGACUGGAUGUCCAUGGAGGCGCAGGUCCAGGGCAACUGUCUAUCAGCUCCAUCUGGUACGCAGGCUAAGACCCUCCCUGCCCACUGUCUGUCUGGCCAGAGUGGUGCAUGCUCUAGUUAUCGCCCGCUUGGACUAUUGCAAUGUGCACCACGUGGGGCUACCUUUGAAGGUGACCCAGAAACUGCAACUAAUCCAGAAUGCGGCAGCUAGACUGGUGACUGGCAGCAGCUGCCGAGACCACAUAACACCGGUCCUGAAAGACCUACAAUGGCUCUCAGUACGUUUCUGAGCACAAUUCAAAGUGUUGGUUCUGACCUUGAAAGCCCUAAACGGCCUCGGUCCAGUAUACCUGAAGGAGCGUCUCCACCCCCAUCGUUCAACCCAGACACUGAGGUCCAGCUCCGAGGGUCUUCUGGCGGUUCCCUUACUGCAAGAAGUGAGGUUACAGGGAACCAGGCAGAGGGCCUUCUCGGUAGUGGCGCCUGCCCUGUGGAAUGCCCUCCUGUCAGACGUCAAGGAAAUAAGCAACUAUCUGACUUUUAGAAGACAUCUGAAGGCAGCCCUGUUUAGGGAAGUUUUUAAUGUUUGAUAUUUCAUUCUGUUUAAUAUUCUGUUGGGAGUAGCCCAGAGUGGCUAGGUAUAAAAUUAUUAUUAUUAUUAUGACUCUUAGGGUCCCUUCCAACUCUACAAUUCUAUUCCAUGAAUGCAGGAAUCACAGCUAAAAAAUCCCCGACAGAUGACCGUUCAACCUCUGCUUAAAAACCUCCAAGGAGAGUCCACCACCUCCCAAAGGAGUCUGUUCUGCUGCCGAACUGCUCUUCCCGCCAGAAAGUUCUUCCUAACGUUUAGUCGGAGUCUCCUUCCUUGCUGUUUGGAGCCAUUGGUUUGGGUCCUCCCCUCCGGGGCAGGAGAAAACAAGCUUACUCCCUCUUCCAUAUGACAGCCCUUAAAAUAUUUGAAGAUGGCUAGCGUAUCUCCUCUCAGUCCCCUAUUUCCCAUGUGAAACAUACCCAACUCCUUUGGAAAGAGCAAUACCCGUAUGAAGAAUGUGAUUUUGUGAUGAUGUGAUAUCUAUGCUAGAAUUGGACGGUCCCGUUCUUGCAUGUGGAUGAGGCCUGGAUGAAAGAUGUGGCUAAGCUCUGGAGUUGGGACUUUUCGGGAAGUGAGACGUGUGGCAGACCAACUCCUCCAGGGACAAAUGUACCCCCAGGAGCACCCCACAGCAUUUCUGAUUCCCUUUUUCUUUAAUCAACAGUGUUUCUGACGUCCAGCCUUCGUAGCUGGACCAGGGGGCGGGCACGGGUUUUGUUUUCCCUGCGCAGCCCCUGCUAAUAAGAGAGUCGCGUUUGAUUUGGUUAUUUCAGCUAAUUGCGAGGCACCAGGAGAGGCUGCCUUUCCACAGUAAUUAUCCGGGAUAAAAAGAAGAAAAUUGCACCUAUUACCAAUUUGCUUCCUCACUCCUACUGGGCCUUGAUUUGCAGAGCCCGAGAGACUAAUGCGGUUGCCAGCAGUUUUCAUUAUGAAUCGUGUCAAUUUAAAAGGGACUGUAAAAGCCGCCCUCUCCAUGACUCCAAGCCUGGCAGGAGUAAUUUUGUGCAGUGCUCCAGCGAAGGCUAGGGAUUGGUCUAGGUUUGGGGUGGGGGGCACCGGUUGGUUGGCUGGCUGCCAGCCCCUUCUGCAGGCAGAUUGGAGAGUUGGGGGGAAAGCUAGACUGCUCUCUUCCCCUAGUUUUAAGCCUGAUGCUAGGUAAAGGUAAAGGGCACAUCUGACCAUUAGGUCCAGUUGCAGACGACUCUGGGGUUGCGGCGCUCAUCUCGCUAUAUUGGCCGAGGGAGCCGGCGUACAGCGUCCGGGUCACGUGGCCAGCAUGACUAAGCCGCUUCUGGCGAACCAGAGCAGCGCACGGAAACGUCGUUUACCUUCCCGCCGGAGCGGUACCUUAUUUAUCUACUUGCACUUGGAUGUGCUUUCGAACUGCUAGGUUGGCAGGAGCAGGGACCAAGCAACGGGAGCUCACCCCGUCGCGGGGAUUCGAACCGCCAACCUUCUGAUCGGCAAGUCCCAGGCUCUGUGGUUUAACCCACAGCACCACCCGCGUCCAAGCCUGAUGCUACAGCCUUGCAAAAGCAGCCUCCUCUAACCAGGAGCCCCCAAAAUGUUUCUAAAGACAAAUCAUAAGAGCGGUUUUGGUUUCUCUCAAGUCCCAUUCUCGACAUCAUUGUUCAAAUCCACGUUUCCCCAAAACACACAUCAUUCUACAUAGAUUUGCCUGAUACGUGUAUUUUUGCAAGCUAACCCCUUAAGAAAACCCACCCGUUUCUAGCAACUCAAUCCUACUCAGAGUAGACCCAUUGAAAUGGUUGGGCCAGGUUAGUUACGUCCCUUGAUUUCAAUGGGUCCCAUCUGAGUAUGACCAAUUCUGGAUGCAACCCAAAGCAUUUUUCCUUGUUGUUUUUCUCCAAUACGCAUUUUCUGCAUGUUCCCACAACACACACCUUUUAGUAGACAUGUUGGUGUCUGAGAACUGCGUUUCAGAAUUCGGAGAAGUGCAGGGGUAGCUGUGUUUCAUUUCACAUUAUAGAAUCCUAGAAUGGUAGAGUUGGAAGGGACCCUGAGGGUCAUCUAGUCCAACCCCCUGCAAUGCAGGAAUCUCAGCUCAAGCAUCCCUGACAGUUGGUCACCCAAACUCUACUUAAAAACCUCCAAGGAAGGAGAAUCCACAACCUCCUGAGGGAGACCGUUCCUCUGUCAAACAGCUCUUACUGUCAGAAAGUUCUUGCUAACGUUUAGUCGGAGUCUACUUUCUCGCAACUUGAAGCCAUUGCCUCGAGUCCUACCUUCCAGAGCAGAAGAAAACAAGCUCGCUCCAUCUUCCAUGUGACAGCCCUUCAGAUACUUGCAGAUGGGUCUCAUAUCUCCUCUCGGCCUCCUCUUUCCCAGAUUAAAGAUAGCCAGCUCCUUCAACCGUUGCUUUCCAGACCCUUGAUCACCUUAUUCAUCCUUCUCUACACACCUUCCAGCUUGUCAACAUCUUUCCCUGUUUAGGGAAGCUUUUAAUGUUUAAUAGACUAUUGCAUUUUGACCAAACUGCGGGAGGCAGUGGAAGACAGGAGGGCCUGGCGUGCUCUGGUCCAGGGGGUCACGAAGAGUCGUAAACGACUAAACAACAACAACAAUAAGACUAUUGUUUUUUAAUAUUUUGUUGGAAGCCGCCCAGAGUGGCUGGGAAACCCAGGCAGAUGGGUGGGGUAUAAAUAAUGAAUUCUUCUUCUUCAUCAUCAUCAUCAUCUUCGAUUAUGGUGCUGGACAGAGUAUUCCAGGUGUGGUCUGGCCAAGGCAGAACAGAGUGGUACUAUUACUUUCCUUGAUCUAGACCAGGGGUAGGCAACCUAAGGCCUGGGGGCUGGAUGCGGCCCAAUCACCUUCUAAAUCCGGCCCGCGGACGGUCCGGGAAUCAGCGUGUUUUUACAUGAGUAGAAUGUGUCCUUUUAUUUAAAAUGCAUCUCUGGGUUAUUUGUGGGGCCUGCCUGGUGUUUUUACAUGAGUAGAAUGUGUGCUUUGAUUUAAAAUGCAUCUCUGGAUUAUUUGUGGGACACAGGAACUUGUUCAUUCCCCCCCCCCCAAAAAAAAUAGUCCGGCCCACCACAUGGUCUGAGGGAUGGUGGACUGGCUCAGGGCUGAAAAAGGUUGCUGACCCCUGACACUAGACUUCUGUUGAUUCAUCCAAGAAUAGCAUUUGCUUUUUUUUUGCUGCUGCGCCACACUGUGGGCUCAUGUUUUAGCUAAGAUUCCUGCAUUGCAGGUGGUGGGACUUGGAGUCUCUUCCAACUUUUAUGAUUCUAAGUUUGUGGUCCGUUGCUGCCAGCUGUAUGUGUGAAGGGGGCCUUAGUUAAACUGCAAAAGGGUUGUGCUUCUCAGCAAGAAUCGUGGCUCAGUGGCAAAGCAUGCAGAAUGUCCCAAGUUCAGUUCCCCAACAUUAUUUCCAGGCAGGGACGGGGAGACGACUUCUGCCUGAAUCCUUGGCGAAGCAAGUCUCAGCAAUACUGAGUCGGACGGAUGACGAGGAAGGCAGUUCCUCUGAGGACAGUUGCCUGGGGGAGACGGGUAUGUUUUAGGCUGGAGAGAAGGAGAUUAAAGAGGCCGUGCUGACAGCUUCCAAGUGUUUAAAAGUAUGUCGGGAAGGAGCUAGGGAAUAGUUGUUUUCGCCCAUCAAGCGAGGAUCAGACAAGAGGCAGGGGAUUUGAAAUCGAUGUUGCCGUUACGUGGGGAGAUCAGUGCGAUUUUGCCUGUCCUGUGAGGUUGCUCGCCUGCAAAUGUUAGCAGAAGUAUGCAGAGGUGUCUUUCAAGACCAGUUUAAAUUGCAGACAAUUGAAAUGGGGAUCCCCUUAGGAUAAGUGUUCCAACCUUCUAGAUCAGCUCACCAAGCAGGCAAGCAGGACGUCGUUCCCUUUUCCUAACUUUUCCUAAGAGAAACUUUUUCUAAGAGAAAGCUGGUCCAGUUCUUCUUCUUCUUUUUAAAGAGCAUUAUUAUUUUUAAAAGAACACACCCAUGUACAAAUAGAUCAGAUGCAAUAUAAAGAACAGUGCUGUAACGAAGCAGAAAAAUUACACGGAUAAAUAUUGCCCUAUAAUUCCCCCCCCCCCAAUUAUUUUUAUUGUUUUUCGUUUAAGUACAAGAACAACAUACAGUCAAAGCUCGGGUUACGGACCGCCGAAACCCAGAAGUACCAGAAUGGGUUACUUCUGGGUUUUGGCGGUUGCGCAUGCGCAGAAGCGCUAAAUCGCGCUUUGCACAUGCACAGAAGUGCUGAAUCGCAACCCGUGCGUGUGCAGAUGCGCAGAUGUAUAACCGCAGUAAAUUGUUCAAUGGUUCAAUGGUACCUUCCUGUUAAGUUUCAUAUGCAAGACAUAAUACACACGCAAUAUGUUUAUCAAUCCAAGUAGCCUCUCCGCAGAGAAUCUUGUGUUGAGGGUGGAACAACAAAUAUAUUCUGUCUCUUUUAUAAAGGAAAAGGAAGGAAGCCAGGUCUCACCAAAAGCGUCUAUCCUUGAAAUGCCUUUAAUUACCCUUCUGUGAAUUCCACCCUAUAAUUUAUCAUUUCAAAAUACAAUAGAGUCCACCGUACAACAAAUCUGUUCAGUGCUUGUUCUUCUGUACUAUUUUAUAAUAAUUUGUUUCGCAAAUUUAUGUAGCACAUGGUUGUAAAAAACACACACCUUCAAAGCAGUUAACAAUACAGUUAUCACAAAGGAAAAUUAACAUUAACAAUGUAAAAUUUUGUAAAUUUAAAAUAACCGUAAGCUGAAAACCGAUUCAAAGUUGCAUCAACUUUCUAGACAUUUGGGUAGUGUGGCACUUUGCUCAUUAUCCCAGAUUUUUUGAACCAUUCUGAAACUAAAGGUGCAGCUCAGCACCCCACAACCCCCCCCCCAAAAAAAGGUUCAAAAUACGUGAAAGCCACUUCCAGAUAUAUAGCGGAAUAUAGUGCAAGUUUAGUGCUUGUUUACAUGUAAUUUGCUUCCAGGGACGGGGAGACAGGGACCCUUUUUGCAAAUAAGACGGAACUAUUGAUUGCUUCUAUUUCUAUACUGCUUCUUAUUCAAAUAAAUCCCAAAGCGGCUUACAAACAAAAGAUAAAAAUAACAUAAUGGAACAUCACGAAUACAGCAUAAAUCAUAUAGAAUGCUUAACCAAUCAUCACUAAAACAAUCCCAAAUCCCAAAUGAAGCAAUUCCCAUCUAUGUAACACUAUUGGCAAAACAACUAAAAAAAUAAUAUAAACAGUUACACCAAAAAUCAUAUUAUAGGAUUCACAAAGUACAACAGCAUUCACGUCUAUAAAACGAUAUAAACAACAUUAACAAAAUAGCAACAAAACAUAGUGUUGAAUUUGUACGCAUUUUUUUUUUUUAAAUAAAUGAUUUUUAUUGGUUUUACAUAUAAUCACAUUACGUAACAUCGUAGCCUCUUAUUUUAUCUCUUUGGCUUGACUGAAGCUAACAACUUCCCUCCCUCCUGUCUGAUGGUUUACAAAAUGUAAACUUUACAUCUUUACAUUUCGCUUCAUUUCCUAUCCUGUUAUAUCAUUACCUAAAAUAUUUUAUUACUCAACCUGAAUAGGUCGCCAUUUCAUCUUACGUAUAACCCCGCUAGUGAUGUUAACUGCUUACAGUUGUCUUUCAAAUACAGUGGUAUCUCGGGUUACAUACGCUUCAGGUUACAUAUGCUUCAGGUUACAUAUGCUUCAGGUUACAGACUCCACUAACCCAGAAAUAGUACCUCGGGUUAAGAACUUUGCUUCAGGAUGAGAACAGAAAUCGUGCAGUGCCAGCAGGAGGCCCCAUUCGCUAAAGUGGUGCUUCAGGUUAAGAACAGUUUCAGGUUAAGAACGGACCUCCGGAACGAAUUAAGUACUUAACCUGAGGUACCACUGUAUUCCUGUUGUGUUUUGUGAUUUUCCUGGUGUUGUAAGUGAGCCGGAACUGGUCUGUGACCAUAAUAAUAAAAUUCAUUCAAAGCUCAAAUAUAAUGUGGGAAUUAGCAGGGGAACCUUGUGAAAAUGGAAUGAAACUCAUAGAAUCAUAGAGUUGGAAGAGACCACAAGGGCCAUCGAGUCCAACCCCCUGCCAAGCAGGAAACACCAUCAGAGCACUCCUGACAUAUGGUUGUCAAGCCUCUGCUUAAAGACCUCCAAAGGAGACUCCACCACACUCCUUGGCAGCAAAUUCCACUGUCAAACAGCUCUUACUGUCAGGAAGUUCUUCCUAAUGUUUAGGUGGAAUCUUCUUUCUUGUAGUUUGGAUCCAUUGCUCCGUGUCCGCUUCUCUGGAGCAGCAGAAAACAACCUUUCUCCCUCCUCUAUGUGACAUCCUUUUAUAUAUUUGAACAUGGCUAUCAUAUCACCCCUUAACCUCCUCUUCUCCAGGCUAAACAUGCCCAGCUCCCUGCCGUGGGAAUGCAUGGUUGGUUGGCAGGGGUGGGGAUUGUGGGCUGGUAUUACCCAAGCUGGGCCUCUGCCGGAGCCACCAACCCUUUUACUGGCUUUGGAGGUAUUAUAGCUGCGUCUUUGUCACCUGCUUCACAGGGGAGAGAGAUAAGGAGAGCCUCUCUCUGCUCAGGGUGCAGCAGCAGCCCUUGCUCAACACCUUGCUUACCUUGGCUGGGCGUGGAAGGCGCUAACUGUGGGGUUAAGGGGAAAGGUUGACGCUUAGUCAUUCUGCUCUUGCCAGCAAGGCAUUCGCUUUCCGGGAGAGACUCCCUGAGGCAGACACACUUGGUGCCUCUUUCACACUUCACCACUUGACUCGAUUUCACCCAGUGGUACCACCAAUUCAGCUGAUCUCUCCCACUGCCUCUCUCUAUGGGAUGUCUUGUCGCCACGGACUGGCGGAGGCAUUGAGUCCCAGUACAUCUGACCGUGGCACAUCUGGUGCCCUGGGCAACGGGAGAGCUGGGUCGGGCACCAAAUAAAGAGAAACUGAGCUUUUAAUGUCAUGGGCCCAGUCCUGUGGAACUCUCCGCCACUGGAAAUUCAGCGGGCGCCUUCUGUUCCAAGUUCUAAGCACCUGCUGGGAACUUUUCUAUUCCUCCAGGCCUGUGCAGGCAACAUCCUUUCACAAUGGUUUAUUGAGGCUUGCUCCUUUAAAAUUUGUGGCUUUUAAUAUUUUAAGACGUUUUCAUGGUUUUAUUGUAUGGUUUUAAAAAAUCUUUUUAAUGCUGUAAACCACUUUGACUUUUUAAUGAUUUGUUGCUAAAUAAAUAAAUAAAUUUGGGUCCCCAAAGCCAUUAAUAAGUUUAAUUUGCAGAGGCUAUUCAUAUUCCACAUAGCCAUCAGGGAUCAAUUCAUUAGAUGCACAUUUUAACGGGAACAUAGCUAAUCCUCAUUUCCUGAAAACUGAAACACAGCCAUCCUUUGACAUUUGCACCGCUCUGCAUUUUGCAACGCCUUUAUCCAGCAGCCGUGCACGGGAAAAUGUGCAUAUUUGGAAAAAUAGCGCACAGAACGCAGCACGCAUAAGAAUAACUGACUGCAAAAUUUGUGUGUUAGUCAGAAGUUCCUACUAAAGUGCUUAGUAAUUUUUUUAUAUAUACUUUUAGUAUUUUUCAAAUACCUUUCAUAGUUUUUAUUCCUGUGAUCUGCAUUGGACCACUGCGUGCCAUGUAUGUUGUUGUUUAGUUGUUUAGUGGCGUCCAACUCUUCGUGACCCCCUGGACCAGAGCAUGCCAGGCACUCUUGUCUUCCACUGCCUCCUGCAGUUUGGUCAAACUCAUGCUGGUAGCUUCAAGAACACUGUCCAACCAUCUCAUCCUCCGUCGUCCCCUUCUCCUUGUGCCCUCCAUCUUUCCCAACAUCAGGGUCUUUUCCAGGGAGUCUUCUCUUCUCAUGAGGUGGCCAAAGUCUUGGGGCCUCAGCUUCACGAUCUGUCCUUCCAGUGAGCACUCAGGGCUGAUUUCCUUCAGAAUGGAGAGGUUUGAUCUUCUUGCAGUCCAGGGGACUCUCAAGAGUCUCCUCCAGCACCAGAAUUCAAAAGCAUCAAUUCUUUGGCGAUCAGCCUUCUUUAUGGUGCCAUGUAUAAAUCUGUUUAAAUCGAAUCUCUCCCCUGUUCCUAACUCUGACGUCCCUCCUCUCUUAACUCUGGUCCAAGCUGGAGAAUUGGUGAGAAUAUCUUUCCUACUUCUCUCCAGAGACGACAAGCCUACUCAGGUGGGUUCCUUGCUCUCUCCACCUCUCCUGUGCCUUGAGGGCGAGAUCCCGAUUGCGGAGAGCUCUCAGUCAUUUCUAACAUGGCAGAAGUAAACACCGCUGCCUUUCGUGUUUCCCUUGCACCCGUGUCUUCUUGUUGAUGGAUGGGGCAAAAGGACUUGUGUGCUUGAGAAUGGAGGUCCAGGGGUUUGAUGUUACGCUAUUUCUCUCUACUCCUCUGACCUUUGAGAUGCGGAAUCUGUUUUGAUGAAGGGAGAGGCAUCGCUGAGUGGCAAGGGGAUUGCAGCUUUGAGGGAGCUUACGGGGUUGGCAGCAGUGGGUGGAGCGAUGGCACUGACUCUCUGUACAACCUGCAGUGCAAAAAGGACAAGGUUUUUACAUCUUAAAUUUCACAUUUAAGCAGAUAGAUGGCCUUCUGUCCUGGAUGCUUUAGCUGAGAUGAUGAUGAUGAUGAUGAUAAUAAUAAUAAUAAUAAUAAUAAUAAAUAAUAAUAAUAAUAAUUUAUUAUUUAUACCCCACCUAUCUGGCUAGGUUUCCCCAGCCACUCUAGGUGGCUUUCAACAGAAUAUUAAUAUACAAUAGUCUAUUAAACAUUAAAAGCUUCUCUAAACAGGGCUGCCUUCAGAUGUCUUCUAAAAGUCUGGUACUUAUUGUUCUCUUUGACAUCUGGUGGGAGGGCGUUCCACAGGGCGGGUGCCACCACCGAGAAGGCCCUCUGCCUGGUUCCCUGUAACUUGGCUUCUCGCAGGGAGGGAACUGCCAGAAGGCCCUCGGCGCUGGACCUCAGUGUCCGGACAGAAUGAUGGGGGUGGAGACGCUCCUUCCGACAUUCCUGCAUUGCACGGGGUUGGACUAGAUGAUCCCUGGAGUCCCUUCCAGCUCUACAGUUCUGUGAUUCUAUUAUCUCCACCUGUGCCAUCUGAGCAGUUUUUGUCACCUAUUGUACCCCUGAUCCAGUUCUCACCCACCAGAAACUGUCUUUAAAAAGCAGAAAAGCAAGCUAGCCAUGGCUGAUCCUGGUAGAAUCAUAGAAUCGUAGAAUUGGAAGGGACCCCCAAGAUUCAUCUAGUCCACCCCCUUGCAAUGCAGGAAUAUCAGUUAAAGCAUCCGAGACAGAUGGCCAUCUAACCUCUGCUUAGAAACCUCCAAGGAAGGAGAGUCAACAAUCUCCCAAGGGAGUCUGUUCUACUAUCGAAAGCUCUCCCUGUCAGAAAGUUCUUCCUGAUGUUUAGUCUGCAUCUCCUUUCUUGUAACUUGAAGCUGUGGGUUCGAGUCCUACUCUCCAAAGCAGGAGAGCCCUCUUAAGGUGACCUGGAAUCACGGGAGCUAGAAGGGAUCCUAAGGGCCAUAUAGUCCAACCCUCUGCAACGCUGAUGUGGCAGCCUGUUGCAACCGUGGCACGGCCGACUUGGGACACAAUCAUAGAAUCAUAAAAUUGUAGGGUUGGAAGGGACCCUGAGGGUCAUCUAGUCCAACCCCCUGCAAUGAAGGAAUCUCAGCUAAAGCAUCCAGGACAGAUGGCCAUCCAACCUUUGCUUAAAAACCUCCAAGGAAGGAGAGAUCAGAAGAGAUCAGAAGACAUGUAUUACACAUGUCUGCUUCUGUGUAAUACAGUCAUACCUCGAGUAACAGAUGCUUCAGGUUGCGUUUUUUUGGGUUACAGACUGCCGAAACCCGGAAGUACCGGAAUGGGUUACCUCUGGGUUUUGGCGGCCGUGCAUGCGCAGAAGCACUAAAUCACGCUUUGCGCAUGCGCAGAAAUGCUAAAUUGCAUCCCGCGCAUGCGCAGGCGCGCAGCUGUGGGUUGCGAAUGAUGCGGGUUGUGAAUGUGCAUCCCGCAUGGAUCAUGUUCGCAACCCAAGAGUCCAUUGUAAAAUAAUAAUAAUAAUACUAAUAAUAAUUUAUUAUUUAUUAUUUAUUAGGGACACGGGUGGCACUGUGGGUUAAACCACAGAGCCUAGGACUUGCCAAUCAGAAGGUUGGCGGUUCGAAUGUGAUGGUGUGAGCUCCCGUUGCUCAGUCCCUGCUCCUGCCCACCUAGCAGUUCUAAAGCACGUGAAAGUGCAAGUAGAUAAAUAGGUACCACUCCAGCGGGAAGGUAAAUGGCGUUUCUGUGCGCUGCUCUGCUUCGCCAGAAGCGGCUUAGUCUUGCUGGCCACAUGACCUGGAAGCUGUACGCUGGCUCCCUCGGCCAGUAAAGUGAGAUGAGCGCCGCAACCCCAGAGUCGGCCACGACUGGACCUAAUGGUCAGGGGUCCCUUUACCUUUAUUAUUUAUACCCUGCCCUGGCUGGGUUUCUCCAGCCACUCUGGGCAGCUUCCAACAAAAUAUUAAAAAUACAUUAAAAGUGUAGGACUUGAUACGAUCCUGUUCCGCACCGACCUGUAUCAGACUGCCGUGUGCUUGCAUCCUCCCCACCUCUGGGUCUGUGCCACCUAGGGAUCAGUUGUGCAGACUGACAACGCCCCUGGCACACACGCACAGCCCGACUUUGCUAUCUCUCCCUGUGAAAUCUGAGCGAUAUCCUGUGCAUUGGUGUUGCGUCCUCCCUGCUGAUGCUGCCUGCCCUGCUGCCGCCAGAUCCUCUCUGCCGCUGGCCUAAGCCCCCCCUGAGCCCUGCAGUAGUACAUCGUGAAGCCAGUUUCUGAGCAAAUCCUUGCCAUAUAUGGCCAAAGCCAAGGACUCCUGCUCCUUUGCCUGCAGAACUGAUAAGUGUCUUGUUUUAAGAGAGCAGCCACAGCCUGCCCCCACAAUCUCCAGCUGCGUCACAGCCUUUUUCUUCUGGAUUGCGCAUUCUUUAGAUUUUCGGUCCUCAAAUUGCGGAGAGAGGACUGUUUGCACUGGGAGGGCUGUCUUGUCUUCUGCAACUGGCCCCCAGGGAAAAUAGAUAAAUAAAAUAGAGGGCAUAUAAAGGCUGCAGUCCCAUUGAACUCUCUCACCCCAGGGCCCAAGGAGGGGAAAAUCCGAAGGCUUCCCAAUCCAGGGAGGGGGGAGAAUUACAUUUACAAGGCAAAGCAUUGUAAGCAUAGAGCACUCUAUGUGAGUGUCCUCUUUUCCGUUUGAGCUGGAGAGGGGGUGCAUGGAAGGAUUAUUUAUUAUUAUUAUUAUUAAAUAAUAUAUUGGCCUAUACCCAGAGGUCUCAGGGCGGUUCACAGAACAAAAGCAAAAUAUAAAACCACAAAACAUAUAAUUAAAAUAAAAACAACAACCCAAUAACACACACACACACACACCCAAUCAGUGGGGGCUGAUCCUGUACUUUCUUAUUUCUUUUUUUUUAUGCAGUUACAAACUUGGUAGAUCAGGGGAAUCAUAGAAUCAUAGAAUCAUAGAGUUGGAAGCGACCACAAGGGCCAUCGAGUCCAACCCCCUGCCAAGCAGGAAACACCAUCAGAGCACUCCUGACAUAUGGUGGUCAAGCCUCUGCUUAAAGACCUCCAAAGAAGGAGACUCCACCACACGCCUUGGCAGCAAGUUCCACUGUCGAACAGCUCUUACUGUCAGGAAGUUCUUCCUAAUGUUUAGGUGGAAUCUUCUUUCUUGUAGUUUGGAUCCAUUGCUCCGUGUCCGCUUCUCUGGAGCAGCAGAAAACAACCUUUCUCCCUCCUCUAUGUGACAUCCUUUUAUAUAUUUGAACAUGGCUAUCAUAUCACCCCUUAACCUCCUCUUCUCCAGGCUAAACAUGCCCAGCUCUCUUAGCCGUUCCUCAUAAGGCAUCGUUUCCAGGCCUUUGACCAUUUUGGUUGCCCUCCUCUGGACACGUUCCAGUUUGUCAGUGUCCUUCUUGAACUGUGGUGCCCAGAACUGGACACAGUACUCCAGGUGAGGUCUGACCAGAGCAGAAUACAGUGGCACUAUUACUUCCCUUGAUCUAGAUGCUAUACUCCUAUUGAUGCAGCCCAGAAUUGCAUUGGCUUUUUAGCUGCCGCGUCACACUGUUGGCUCAUGUCAAGUUUGUGGUCAACCAAGACUCCUAGAUCCUUUUCACAUGUACUGCUCUCAAGCCAGGUGUCCCCAUCUUGUAUUUGUGCCUCUCAUUUUUUUUGCCCAAGUGCAAUACUUUACAUUUCUCCCUGUUAAAAUUCAUCUUGUUUGUUUUGGCCCAGUUCUCUAAUCUGUCAAGGUCGUUUUGAAGUGUGAUCCUGUCCUCUGGGGUGUUAGCCACCCCUCCCAGUUUGGUGUCAUCUGCAAAUUUGAUCAGGAUGCCCUUGAGUCCAUCAUCCAAGUCGUUGAUAAAGAUGUUGAAUAAGACCGGGCCCAAGACAGAACCCUGUGGCACCCCACUAGUCACUCUUCUCCAGGAUGAAGAGGAACCAUUGAUGAGCACCCUUUGGGUUCGGUCAGUCAGCCAGUUACAAAUCCACUGAGUGGUAGCAUAGUCAAGACCGCAUUUUACCAGCUUCUUUACAAGAAUAUCAUGGGGCACCUUGUCAAAUGCCUUGCUGAAAUCAAGGUAGGCUACAUCCACUGCGUUCCCUUCAUCUACCAGGCUUGUAAUUCUGUCAAAAACGAGAUCAGGUUAGUCUGACAUGACUUAUUUUUCAGAAAUCCAUGCUGACUAUUGGUGAUCACAGCAUUCCUUUCUAGGUGCUCACAGACUGUUUGCUUAAUGAUCUGCUCCAGAAUCUUCCCUGGUAUUGAUGUCAGACUGACUGGGCGGUAAUUAUUUGGGUCCUCUCUUUUCCCCUUUUUGAAAAUAGGGACAACAUUUGCCCUCCUCCAGUCUGCCGGGACUUCGCCUGUUCUCCAGGAAUUCUCAAAGAUGACUGCCAGUGGUUCUGAGAUCACAUCUGCCAGUUCUUUUAAUACUCUUGGAAUGCUGUGAACAUAGUGUAUCUUGAUUUCAGUAAGGCUUUUGACAAAGUCCCCCAUGAUAUUCUCGCAGGGAAGCUGGUAAAACGCGGGUUGAGCGAGGUAACUGUUAGGUGGAUUUGUAGCUGGUUGACUGACAAGAAAGAAGAUUCCGCCUAAACAUUAGGAAGAACUUCCUGACAGUAAGAGCUGUUUGACAGUGGAAUUUGCUGCCAAGGAGUGUGGUGGAGUCUCCUCCUUUGGAGGUCUUUAAGCAGAGGCUUGACAACCAUAUGUCAGGAGUGCUCUGAUGGUGUUUCCUGCUUGACAGGGGGUUGGACUCGAUGGCCCUUGUGGUCUCUUCCAACUCUAUGAUUCUAUGAUUCUAUUCUAUGAUUCUAUGACCAAACCCAAAGAGGCCUUAUUAAUGGUUUCCCGUCACCCUGGGGAAAAGUGGCGAGUGGGGUGCCCCAGAGUUCUGUCCUGGGCCUGUUGUCUUUAUAAAUGACUUGGAUGAAGGAAUUGAGGGGAUGCUCAUCAAAUUUGCAGGUGACACCAAACUGGGAGGGGUAGCUAAUGCCGCAGAAGACACAAUGUGAAAAGGAUCUUGGGGUCUUGGUGGCCCACAAGUCAACAGUUCCAACCAACCCCAGCCAGCAUGGCUGCUGUACAGGGAUGAUGGACAUUUGAGGGUUUCAGCAACACCUGAGCCGUAUAGGCAGUGCUGUGCCCAUGUGCCCAACCCCAGGUGUGGACCUGGUAAAGUCGCUGCUUUGCUGAAAGCCUUGUCUAUGCCAGAGCUGCUCUGGCCAUCAGCACAUGACAAGGCCAUUGGCUGCCUGUGAAGCCCUGUGCUUUGUGAGAGCUGCUGAUCGGCUGGGGUUGGCCCUUGGUUUCUGCCAGGUGAUGGGCAGACAGGCAGCCCCUGCCACCUCUCCAACGUGGGAGAGAUAAGGAUUCAGUCAGCUGCCCGGAUCCAAUUGCCCACCUGUGUUGUUGCUACAGGAGUGAAUGGAUGCACAUAGUCUGAGGAAAGUCCUUUCCAGCUCUGGAUUUGACAGUUUGCAAAUAAAAGAGCGUGGCAGUUGCCCUGUUGCAUCAGAUAGAUUUGUGGAGUCUUAGAGUCGAAAGGGACCACUGAGGGCCAUCUAGUCCAGCCCCCUGCAAUGCAGGAAUCACUGCUAAAGCAUCCCGGGCAGAUGGCCAUCCAACCUCAACUUAAAUCCCUCCAAGGAAGGAGAGUCCACCACCUUCCGAGGGAGACCAUUCUGCUGUUGAGCAGCUCUCUGAAACUGCUUCCUAAUGUUGAGACGGGAUCUCCUUUCUUGCCAUUCGAAUGCCCUCUGGAGAUCAAGCAGUCCGGCAUCCCGUUCCCCACAGUGGCUAAGCAGAUGCUCUCAGGAAUGGCGACCGUCGUCGAGAGGUGUUCUGCCUCUGAGCGUGAGACUUCCACUUUGCUAAGAGCUGCUGAUAAGACUCUCAGGGCUUGCUGAACCCACUGAGGAAGAGAAACUUGCAGGAGCUGGUGGCCUUUGCAACACCUUUGGUAGUUCGUAGUUCCCUGCAACGUUGGCAAGGCGCUGACCUGGCAGGCCAGCGAGGCCCAGCACCCGGCUUGACGUUAAUCAUUAACCCACAGCGGGGGAAUUCCACCUCUGGAGCGGCCGUCCCCAAGUUGCCCGAAGAAGGGCGAUUUUCCUGACAUCCUUUGAUAGUCGUGAUCUCCAUAUUUGGAAAUGUUUACCCAUGCUCUGAUCUAUUGGAAGGGGAGGGGAGGUGACUCAGGGCCUGGUGGAAGCGAGAUUUGAAUUCCUGCAGGCAGGAGAAGUUUUUCCCCUUCCUUCCUUCUUUCUUUCUGCCUGCCUCUCUCCCUCUUCCUUGUGCUUGUGGUCACUCCGGCAGUUUCGCUCACUCCUGGAGCCGGUUCCAAAUUUGUUCCGCUCUGGGACAAGGCGUCCCCUCGGGCAGGGAGAACAGCCCAGCCUCCAGUAAGUACCUCCUUAUUGGCCUCGUGAGUGGAAUGGCGAACAACCAGGGUGGCAGGCUGAGGGGUCACGACGGAGCUUGCAUCGUGCCAUGUGGGUCCGGUUAGCGAAGAGGCAAAAUGCCCAGUGCCAGACAGCAAGGGAGGGCAAGGGGAGGAGGAGACAGGUAGCUGUGCUUCAGAGUCCUUUCCGGCAGACUGUCAAGGUCCUUGCCAGUGAGGCUCAAGGCUGGCCUUGGCAUAAAUUGGCAGUGCCAGCCAUGGUUUGCAGUCCGUUGUUGCCAUUUGCCUUGAGUCCCAGGAAGGCGUCAAAACAGACUUUAUGGUUCCUGACAUGCUUUGUCUCCAGAAAGAGCUGCCUGCCCAUGUAUGGUCUGUUGAGCCGCAGGACUUCUUCAUUGCCCCAGUUAAUAUUUAUCUCUGAUCCAUCGAAGGAAUGGAGAUCUCAACAGGAACAGUUUCUUCAGCUCGCAACUUGUUUUCUGUUGGUGCCGUAAUCGCCUCUUGUUUUUCUCCAACGUGCCAGCCUGCAUUUUGCAUGCAAAAAUUUAGAAAUCUGACCAGGUAGGGAGUACGUAGGAAGCUACCUUGCACCAAGGGAGACCAUUUAACUUAGUAUUUCCUACACGGACUGGCAGCGAUGGGUUUUGGGCAGGAGGGUCUCGCAAUCCUGCUUGGAGAUGCUGUUGCAGAUUGAACCUGUGGGAUCUUCUGCAUUCGAGGCAGAUGCUUUGACCCUGAGCUACGGCACGUCCCCUGAACCCCCCCCCCUUCCCUUUUUCCUGAAAGGAAAUUGUUUUGUGGACAGUCAGGGAGCCAGCAGGAAAACCCUGGAUCCCCUACUGCUUCCUGGCUCCCAGGGGGAAAUGGAGGCAAGCCCCAGCUUCCCUCCUUUAUCUUACUUUGCAGGGCAGCUGUGACGCUGGCCACAGAUUCAGGGCAUGCGGGAGAAAGUUCCCAUAGCGCAUCGUUCCCCUGUGGAACUCACUGUCACAUGAAUGUGCUGGUCGCAGGAUUCAGUGGUUUUUGGAGAAGGCGGAAUUGUGCAAGAGGGGGAGUGUUUUUUGGGGGGGUUGGGGAAUACCCUGAGGACACCAGGUUGGGAAGGACUGUUCCAAGUGGUCCUCUUGAUCUGAACCAGUGUCCUUAAGAUUUUAGGGUGCAUGCCAAACCUCUGAUCUGGGGUCUUUGUGUGUUGGAAGGGGUGGAGGUCUGAUUCCCUCCAGCCCUGAACAGCUACACUGGAAUCUAUCUGCCCAUGGAGGGGUGGCAUUUCUCUGCCAGUGCCCAGCUCCUGGGUUGAAUUUCUGUGAAAUGGGGCAUUACAGGGGAGGAGCUGAACUGCUUGGGAUCCACUGGGUCGUGAGUUGCCCCUAAUUCUGUCACUUCAGAAGGCCCAAUUUGGGCCCGAUGACUAGGCCAGCUCCGAAUUGGCACCUUGUUUGUAUUAUUGUUAUGACUGAUAGCAUUUAUACCUCGCAUUCUCCUCCCAAAGAGCUCAAGGUGGCGUAUGUGGUCUCCUUGUUCCUCAGCUGAUCCACACAACAACCCUGUGAGGUAGGCUAAGCGGAUAGGCAGUGUGACUGGCCCCCAAGGUCAGCUCAGUCAGCCUCAUGGCCGAGUGGAGAUUUGAACCCUGGUCUCUCCCAGGUCCUAGUCUGGCACUUUAACCAUUACACCAUACUGCCUCAGAACAUAGCCCAGAGUAGACUUUCACUUGCCCCCUGCCUUUUGCCCCAGUUGGAGUGAUUAAUCCCCACCCCACUGCCCAGCCAAAGUCCCGGGUUUAGUUCCUGGCAUCUCCAGGCAGGAGGAUAAAACUUUGCUCUUCCUUUUAGUUCUGUUCUCUUGGUGUGUUUAUUUUCAUAGACUCACAGAAUUGCUGGAAGGGACCACGAGAGUCUGGGGCGCAGGUGGCACUGUGGGUUAAACCACAGAGCCUAGGACUUGCCGAUCGGAAGGUCGGCGGUUCGAAUCCCCGCGACGGGGUGAGCUCCCGUUGCUUGGUCCCUGCUCCUGCCAACCUAGCAGUUCGAAAGCAUGUCAAAAGUGCAAGUAGAUAAAUAGGUACCACUCAGGCGGGAAGGUAAACGGUGUUUCCGUGCGCUGCUCUGGUUCGCCAGAAGCGGCUUAGUCACACUGGCCACAUGACCCGGAAGCUGUACGCCGGCUCCCUCGGCCAGUAAAGCGAGAUGAGCGCCGCAACCCCAGAGUCGGCCACGACUGGACCUAAUGGUCAGGGGUCCCUUUACCUUUACCUUUUACCAUGAGAGUCACUAUGCCAACCCCUUGCAAUGCAGGAAUCUUUUGCCCAAUGUGGGCCUCCCUCAAACCCACGACCCUGAGACAAAGAGUCUCACGCUAUCCCAGAUUUCAGCUGUUUGCGUGGUUUCGUUCUUUGCUUUAGUAAGCCCCUUUCUGGGUCACAUUUGCUGGACUUGGGAGGGCGAGAUGCAAACCGUUCUGAAAAUGGGGGGGGGGGGGACCAAUAAGGAAAUGUUUCUGCCACUUUUAAAUAAACUCUUAUAAGGUCCAAGUGCCCCUGAUACAAAUCCCAGUGUCUGGAAGCCACAGGAAGGGAAAGUUGCUCUCGUGCUGGGAUCCCGCUUGCUGGUUUCCCACGGUGGCAUCUAGUUGAUUCCAACAAGAACAGGACGAUGGACUUGAUGGCUAACUGGCCUUUUUCAGCAGAUUGUCUUUAUGUCCUUAUGCCAGUUCUGGGAGGUGGAGAGGUGUUAUGUACUGAGUUGAAUAGGAUCCAAAAUGCAGCAGUCUGAUUGGUCCUAGAACAAUAGGAUUCAGAAUGCAGCAGCCUGAUUGGUCCUAGAACAAUAGGAUUCAGAAUGCAGCAGCCUGAUUGGUCCUAGAACAAUAGGAUUCAGAAUGCAGCAGCCUGAUUGGUCCUAGAACAAUAGGAUUCAGAAUGCAGCCGUCUGAUUGGUCCUAGAACAAUAGCGUCCAGAAUGCAGCAGUCUGAUUGGUUCUAGAACCGUAGGAUCCAGAAUGCAGCAGUCUGAUUGGUCCACAGGAGCCACCCAAUCCAGCUCCAGGUGGAAGUGAAUCCGCAACCUGAUUGGCCUACAGGAGAAUCGCGGAAUUAGCCAAUCAUGUGGGGUCCAUUGUGUAAAUAAUGUAUAUAAGGCAGACAUUCUGGGGGAACUUCCAUUCCUCCUCACCACUAUGAGCUGAAUAAAGAGCAUAAAAUCCACUCUCGACUCCGAGCAUAUUUCAAGAGGAACGCACACCUUCAUCCCAGAGAUCCCUGUUGGAUCAACAGUGCCAUAAUACAUUGGGUGACCCCAAAGGGAGAGACCCCAAAGGACAUCUCCCCUGGGGGGUUGGCUCCUCAGGGUCUCCAAAGGGUGAAGGCGCCACCCUCCCUUCUUUUGUGUGUUUGUGUGCACGCACACAUUUUCGCUCUCUGGUGUUAUUGUGGAACAAGGGGGUGGGAGGUUUCUGCCGUGGGUGUUGUGGGCAGUGACUCACACCGGAGCCUGGGUGGGUGAGGACUGAGGUUGGAAGUUGUGAAGAGUCUCACAAGCCACAGAGCGAGGUGCACAUUGCGUGAGAGACAGCGGAAGGCUGAGUGGGAUGUCCCAGGUGAUUGAGGGGGCGAGACCUGUCGCUCGGGGUGUUUUCUAGUUUCAGUCAGCUGAAUGGCCUGUUUUUUUAAUCCGGGUCUUCGAUUAAAUUGGAAAUUCUGGGUGUUGCUCUCGUCGUUGUUUUGUUUUAUGCUGGAGUUGUUAAUUUGUUAGUUAUUUCUUGGAUUUGUUUUUAUGGAGUCUGUAAUUUUUACGUCUUGUUAUCUUGUGUGUUACGUGUAUAUUAUACUGUUACUUUAUUUCAUUGUUUGCUCUGGGAUGGAAAUAUUCAGUGGGAAGCAGGCGAUAAGUUUGCACUGGCUGAUAAAUAUGCAUCUUCAAGGGCAAAAAGCCAGUUCAAAGGUGCCCUUUUUUACCUUUAACACCUGUAGAAAUGAGGGAGGGAAUUCAAGAGAUUGCAAAAAAGAGGAUGGAUUUUGCAAUUCAACCAAAAUGUGACACUUUGCAUUUGACUUUAAUCCCCAAAUUUUGAGUUUUAUCUUCAAAACGUUGCAUUUGAAUAGUGAACUUGCAAAAGCACCCAAAUCAGGCCUGCAGCCAGAUAUCCUAUGGUGAAUCAUCUAACCUCAGGGCCUAAUCCCACUGUAGUUAGAUUAAGUUGUGAUUAAGUGCUAUAUAGUGGGGUGGGAAUUUAAUUGGUUUGAUUAGUUUAAUGGUAUUAUUGAUGUAUGGUGGCCCGGAAAUGAGUUGAUUUUCUUCUGCCUAAUUUUCUCCCAUGUUAUUUUUUUUUUUUAAAAAAAGGUUGAAUUUUGUACUUCAUAGCUGACCUUCCUUUGUAAUAUUUUUCAUGGUUGUUUUCUGUGCUUAUUAGGAAUUUUCAUUGUAUUUUUGCAGCUGAUCGUUUAAGGUGCAAUGUUUAUUUUGGUGCUUGAAAGAGGACGCUCUGUUUAGUUGUUCAUUGUGUUUCACAAAACGUAGCCACUCCCUGGCAUUUAAAAAAAACCUAACCAUAAUGAUGGCCAAGUGAUCAUGUGCAAAGUCCCUCACUACAGAAGGGCAACUUCUCAUUGUUGUCGUUGUUUAGUCGUUUAGUCGUGUCCACCUCUUUGUGACCUCCUGGACCAGAGCACGCCAGGCACUCCUGUCUUCCACUGCCUCUUGCAGUUUGGUCAAACUCAUGCUGGUAGCUUCGAGAACACUGUCCCACCAUCUCGUCCUCCGUCGUCCCCUUCUCCUUGUGCCCUCCAUCUUUCCCAACAUCAGGGUCUUUUCCAGGGAGUCUUCUCUUCUCAUGAGGUGGCCAAAGUCUUGGAGCCUCAGCUUCACGAUCUGUCCUUCCAGUGAGCACUCAGGGCUCAUUUCCUUCAGAAUGGAGAGGUUGGAUCUUCUUGCAGUCCAUGGGGCUCUCAAGAGUCUCCUCCAGCACCAUGAUUCAAAAGAUUCAAUUCUUUGGCGAUCAGCCUUCUUGAUGGUCCAGCUCUCACUUCCAUACAUCACUACUGGGAAAACCAUAGCUUUAACUAUACGGACCUUUGUUGGCAAGGUGAUGUCUCUGCUUUUAAAGAUGCUGUCUGGGUUUAUCAUUGCUUUUCUCCCAAGAAGCAGGCGUCUUUUAAUUUCGUGGCUGCUGUCACCAUCUGCAAUGAUCAUGGAGCCCAAGAAAGUAAAAUCUCUCACUUCCUCCAUUUCUUCCCCUUCUAUUUGCCAGGAGGUGAUGGGGACUUCUCAUAUGUGUAUGCUAUUAUAUAUAUAUAUAAAGUUACAAAACAGCCACUUAUAAAACACUCCCCUGCCUCUGUAUUUGCCAUCAAAGAUAUUUUAACCUAUGCUGCAAACUGCGGAGAGUUUUGUUCUAAUAUGCGCAGUAUAUAAACUGUCCGAUGAAAUAAAAUACAUUCAAAAGGUUAUCCCAGCUUAGGAAGUUCCACAAAUUUCUGUAUGGAAAAGCACAGGUGGAAGAGGUGAAUUCACGUGUCGUGAAGGGUUCAUUGGCUACUGGGUGUCCUUUUUCAGGUGAAGCAAUUCUCUCUACGAAGUAGGCAAAGUUGACAAGACUGGAAUUGGAAUGGCUGUUGUUUUUUUAAAAAAAUUCCCUGCAGCUAAAUGAUGGGGUGAGUGUGGAGGAGCCUCUUUUUUGGGGAAGCUUCCCAGGGGUUUUGAUGAAAGUUAGAAAUCAAAAGGGCGGCAUUUGUUUGGGGUCUGAGACAGGCCCAUCUCUAAGGGUGCGUCUCUGAUUUUGAUGUACUGGACAGACACCUUCUUUAGGCAGACUGUACAGCUUUUAAAAAAAUAAUGUUCGAGGAGGAGGAGAAUGCUAGGACUGUGUCGUAAAAGUGAAUUAUGCUGCGUGUCGGAUGCUGUCUAAUGAGGAAUACGGUGCAUAACAUUAAUAAUAAUAAUAAUAAUAAUAAUAAUAAUAAUAAUAAUAUAUUUAUACCCCCGCUCUCCCCAACCAGAGAUGGGCUCAGGGCGGCUAACACCAGUAAAAUUACAAUAAAAACAUAAUGAUGGGGGGGACCCAAUUUAAAAUACAGGUUAAAAUGCAAUUUAAAAUGCAGCCUCAUUUUAAAAGUAGCCCAUAGAUCAAAACCAUAAGGGGAGGGAAGACAUAAGAGUCAGACUGAGUCCAAACCAAAGGCCAGGCGGAACAGCUGUGUCUUGCAGGCCCUGCGGAAAGAUGUCAAGUCCCGCAGGGCCCUAGUCUCUUGUGACAGAGCAUUCCACCAAGUCGGGGCCAGUACUGAAAAGGCCCUGGCCCUAGUUGAGACCAAUCUAACCACCUUGCAACUUGGGACCUCCAAAAUGUUGUCAUUUGUGGACCUCAAGGUCCUCCGCGGGGCAUACCAGGAGAGGCGGUCCCGUAGGUACGAGGGUCCUAGGCUGCACAGGGCUUUAAAGGUCAAAACCAACACCUUAAACCUGACCCUGUACUCCACCGGGAGCCAGUGCAGUUGGUAAAGCACUGGAUGAAUGUGAUCCCGCGGCGAGGACCCCGUAAGGAGCCUCGCCAUGGCAUUCUGCACCCGCUGGAGUUUCUGGGUCAGCUUCAAGGGCAGCCCCGCAUGUGGAUGGUCAGUGGUUUGUUAAUGGCGCUAUGGAUGGCCGAGUGCUGUUGAAAGUAAUCUAUCGGAAUCCUGUGGAUUAUUAGGGAUCUGGUGCUUGGCAAUGAUUUAGGAGAGCUGCGCAUUUCCCGCCCCCCCCCCCAUUUUCUAUAAGAGGCGGAUUCGUGCCACAGUGAGUGAAUCUUCGUAAGUAAGUCUGUUUGCAUCACAUAGUUCAACUGUGGAACUCCCUGCCACAGGAGCCGAUGGUGGCAACCAACCUGAACGGCUCUGAGAGUGGAUUAGACAAAUUCCUGGAGGAGGAGAGGGCUACCGAUGGCUACUGGCCAAAAUGGCUUUGCUCUGCCGCCGCAGCUGGAGGCAGCUGUGCUUCUGAAUUGCUGGAAACCACGGAAGGGGAGAGGGGCUGUUGUGAUGGAAUCCCACAGGCAACUGUGGGAACAGGAUGCUGGACUAGAUGGGCCAUUGGCCUGAUCCAGAAGACACUUUUAACGUUCUAAUGUUCUUAUGUAGAUAAUACAAGACUCUUUGCUGCCUUGGUGUGUUUUCAGGUGAUUUUCUGCCACCCUGAGGACUAAUAACGUAAACGUGCGUGGUGGAAAUGCGAAGAUCUUGAGAUUUCCCUUUUUUUCAGAUCUAGCAUGAGAUGGCCGUACUUUGCAUUGCGUGGUGAUUCAUGCUAAGGCAGAUUGGUAAAUCCCCGCCUCUCCUUCUUUGAGUAGGAGUCCCUUUACCGCUGCUGCCCUUUAGAAACGAAAGCAAAAUUGCAAUUAACCUGUGUAACAGAGUGAUUGCUCGAUUUUUGCCUUGACGGUGGUCCUAUUUAUCUUCCUUUUUUUAAAAAAAUGAUAUUUAUUAAAGUUUCAAAAGAAGGAUACAUAAAUAAGAAAGAGAAAAAUAGAAAAAAGAAAAAUACAAAAUGCAAGAAAAAAAAAAUUAAAAACAAUUCCAUCUUAACAUCACUUCUCUUUCAUUUACUUGUUUCCCGGACCUCCUCAUACCUCCCUUUUUUGUAUUCCAGUUCAAUUUAUUAGUUCAGCAGUUCCUUUCCCUCCUUUUUAAUCCUGAUCUUUAAUCUUAAUAUAUUAUAACAUUAGGUUUUUACGUAUUGAAAAUCCAAUUUUUCCAUAUUCCUUUAUACCACCUAUUUAUCUUCCUUUAGUUGCCUCAUCCCUGCCACGAGCAACUAUUUUGCGGGCAAAGGAAGAUAAACUUUUCUAAUUUUUUUUCUAUAAUUUUUUAUUAGUUUUUUAACAUACCAUUUUCAACAGUAAUUAAACUUUUACAUCUUAUUCGAUUUUUUGACUUCCAUCAGUCCUGUCUGAAAAUUUUCCAAUCUAAUCUUUUAGUAUGCAUUUCUUAUUUCCCCUAUUACAUUUAAAACUCAUAACCAAUAUCUCUGUCUUUUUCUACUUGGUAACACUUCGUAUAUUUCUCCUUACAAAACUUCUUGUAGUCCUACUAGCGUAAUUUGUUGGUUACAAUUGCUCUUCAAAUAGUUCAUAUACUUCUUCUGAUCUUCUGUAAAUCUCUGGUCCCGCAGGUUUCGAAUCCUUCCUGUCAUUUUGUCCAGUUCUGCAUAGUCCAUUAAUUUCGUUUGCCAUUCUUCUUUCGUCGGAAUUUCUUCUUGCUUUGAGGAAGAUAAACUUUCCUAAACGUGGGUUGCCCCCAGCUUUGCUGCAAGAAGCAGACGCCUGAUUUGCCCAUAAACUGGGCAGCAGAGGGCAAGACUGGGAUUCAGAAGUGGGGGUACCAACCACCUUUGACUGGCCUGGAUAGCCAUUAUUUUUGGUUGUGUUCUGCCCGCCCCCCAAGGGGCAGGGAAUUGUCCAGCCUCUCGCUUUGAGCCGCCAGCCCAAAGAAUUAAGAGAAAUAAUUGAUAAUAUUUAUACCCCUCCCUCCUGACUGGCUUGCCUCAGCCAGUCUGGGCGGCUUCCAGCAUGCAUAAAAACAUAAUAAAUCAUUAAAGAUUAAAAAGCUUCCCUAUACAGGGCUGCCUUCAGAUGUCUUUGAAAGGUUGUAUAGUUCCUUAUUGUCUUGAUGGGGGGCGGGGAGGGGUCACAUAAUUCCAUGCCCUCUAACAUUUCUCUGAUGAAAAUAGGGACGUCCUGAGGAAAAGCGGGACAUUAUGGGAUCAGAUCAGAAACCGGGACGACUUCUGUAAAGUCUGCAACUGUCCCUGGAAAAUAGGGGCAGUUGGAGGGUCUGGCAUUGAGUGUUCGUCCCAUCAGUGAUGGGACAAAUCUCUCUCUUUCCCUUUCUCUCUUUCUCUUUCUCUCGUGUUUUUCCAAAACAGAACACACACUCACGGUCCAAAUCCUUGCAAAGACCGCAUGCAGACACCUUCAUGUCGGAUUUACGUGUAAGCCAAACAAGCUCUAGCUUAGGGCCCCACUCUGUUUUGCUGUUGUUGUUUAGUUGUUUAGUCGUGUCCGACUCUUCGUGGGGGCCCCCUCUCUUGGGGGCCCCUAAAAAAAUUUAAAGAAAAAAAAACUGGAUGUACAUUUCCAAAAUAUAAGAUAAAAAACAAAAUAAAACCUACAUACAGCAACCGUGUUUUGUGUUGUGUAGGCUCCUAUGAUGUAAGUCAUGGGUCCCGCCUGCUCGCCUGCUCCCUCAAAUAUCCCUGGUUUGCUCCUUUCUGUAUAUAGGGUGCCUACAUUUUGCAUGGACUGGCUGCAUGGCAACAUGUGCAAAUGGCCUGAGAUACUAUGAGGUCCAUAAAUUACCAUAUAGCAUAUAUUCAACACAAAAAACAGUGACAAUUUGUUGUUGACAAAGGACAGCUGGACAUACAAAGGGCCCCAUGACCUUCAGUAGCUUAGGGCCUCAUCAAACCUAAAUCUGGCCAUGUGAGACCAUCAGACCACAAGUGCUGGUAAGGAACUGGAAGAGGUCCUCUAGCGAAACCUUUUAAUGCACAGUUACUGCAGUUUGGUCCAGCUGUUGAAUCAGAGUGGCGUUUUCCAAGGAGUGCAUUUCAAAUCUGAAGAUCGGGUGCCUCUUUGCCUGGGUGUGUUGAGUUUCUGUGUGGAUGGAGGCCCUGACGCUUUUUAUUUUUGAGCGGGCUUCAUGUGUACCAGAAGAAUAACAAAGCCAAUUCCAUCUUUUACCUGUUGCCUCUCUGGGGUGAAGAGCAUAGCACCCGAGCCUGCAGGAUAGCUCAGUGGGUAGAGCAUGGAUAGACUCUGAACCUCAGGGUCGUGGGUUGGAGCCCCAUGUUGGGCAAAAAGACUCCUGCAUUUCAGGGGGUUGGACUAGAUGACCCUCAGGGUCCUUUCCAACCUGACUGUGCUAUGAUUCUAUUAUCUCUUGUCAGUCUUAACAUCAAGACUUGUGGGUCUUGUGCAUCAAAAAACCAAAUCUCAUCCCAGGCAAUACAAAUGAAAGCUGAAUUUUUCAGGUUGUAUGUGCCUUUCAAACUGAGCAGUUUUAUUUGUCUGCUUUUUGUGUGAGUCAUUAUUUUGCCCAAUUUGUUUCCCACUUGCUUCUAAUGGGGUCCACAAAUUCACUUGCUGUGGCCAGCAAUCCCUCCCUAUCCUGGUCCCUGCAUUUUUUUUAGGGGGGGUAUUUUUUUUUUAAUUCCCUUAAUAUUUUUCCUUUAAAAAUGUCUUUUUUUAAUUAAGAUUUUAUUAAAGCUUUUCCAUAAUAAUCGAAUCUAAACCAAAACAAAAACAGAGAGAAUAAGAGAAAACACCAAAGGAAAACAAAAAUGAAAAGAAGAAAAAAAGAAAAGAGGAAAAAAUAAAAACAAGAGGACUUUUGAUUUUCUGUCUCUGUUACAUAAAAGAAACUAUUCAAAAUAUUCACCCUAGAAUUGCAUCCAACUAAUCUGCUUUCUCCUGGGCCAUGUUUUCCCAAUCUGCCUAAAAAAAUCUUGUACAAAUAUGCAUUUUUGGGGUGGCUCCCCUGCCCCCAAGCCUGUUGACUUGUCUGUAGGUUGAUAACCAUUUUGCCUACAAUACGAAGGGCACUUGCAGCCCGAACAUUGUGAAAAAAGAGGGAAUGGGGAUUAAUGGCAGCGUGAUGAACCUCAAGUGCUGUCGGCCCCCAAGAAGUGUGUGUGUGUACAAUCAGUGUGACGCUUUUCCUGGUUGACGGAUCUUUCCUAUAAAUGCCCGGCGCUGAGUUCUAGUGCCGCGAUAAUCAGUGGUGGCCGCAAUUACCUCCUCCUCCUAAUUGUGGAUGUGAGGACAGCAAAAAUGGCUUUUAUGCUCCUGGAGUUCUGUGGUCUUUAAUCUCCUUCAUAUUAUUGGGCAAAAAGUGCUCCCAGGCUCCCUGUAUUGUCGCAUUAGCUAGACAAUGGCCACUUUUAUCAUUGCUCCUCUCCUGCAAGAUGCACUCACAAAUGCUUCAGGUAGAGGGAAGAGGGAGGCAUAAAUCACUCCAUUUCAGUUUGCCUCUGUUUGUGUUUUUGCCCAGUCUUAAAUUCAGCUCUCCACAUUUCCACAGCAAUCUGCAUCCCUCCCCCGCCUGUUUUUUAAAAAAUAAUCCUCAUGGAAUCUCUUCUGCAAUUUUCUCCUAACAAACACAUUUCGCAUGCAAUUUGGCCCAAUAUAAACAUUUUUUGCAAAACAUUUCCCCCCAAUAGAAUGCACUUAUGUAUGUUCCCACCCCUUUGAAUAUGUGUAUUUUUUUAAAUGCACGCUUACUCACUCCCAAUACAUGUCAAUUUUGUUAGUGGGUUGUGUUGCAAAAUUCGGAGAAUUGUGGUGAUUUCAAAGGGUAGCUGUGAUUCGUUUUGCGUGUUGUGAAUUAGGUGGAGAGGCAAUUGCAUCUUGCUGCCCCCAAUUGCAGAAACCCGGGAAUUGUUGUUGGCAACAUUGAAUUCGCAGCUGGUACUUUCAAAGCAGAACGCUGCAGCGAUGCUUCUGUUGCACCCCCCAACAUGCACCCCCAAACAUGCUUUGGGGGUGCAUGUUUCCUUUAAACAUUUUGGAGGGCAGGUGGUAUAGUGAAAUUCUCCCUCCCCCAUGAAGUUGCCUGGAAUUCUCUUGGGACGUGGAAGGAGUGAGGAAGAUUAGGAGAUCUUGAGAAAUAUGCUUGGCAUUCAGAAGUGCCUGUUCCAGUCAUUCUUAUUUCAAUAAUAAUAAUAAUAAUAAUAAUAGUGUGGUUUAGUGUGGUGUAGUGGUUAAGAGCGGUAGACUCGUAAUCUGGGGAACCGGGUUCGCGUCUCCGCUCCUCCACAUGCAGCUGCUGGGUGACCUUGGGCCAGUCACACUUCUCUGAAGUCUCUCAGCCCCACACACCUCACAGAGUGUUUGUUGUGGGGGAGGAAGGGAAAGGAGAAUGUUAGCCGCUUUGAGACUCCUUAAAGGGCGGGAUAUCAAAUCCAAACUCUUCUAAUAAUAAUAAUAAUAAUAAUAAUAAUAAUAAUAAUAAUAAUAAUUUAUUUAUACCCCGCUCAUCUGGCUGGGUUUCCCCAGCCACUCUGGGCAGCUCCCAACAGAAUAUUAUACAGAAUAAAACAUCAAACAUUAAAAACCUCCCUAAACAGGACUGCCUUCAGAUGUCUUCUAAAAGUCAGGUAGUUGUUUCUUUCCUUGACAUCUGGUGGGAGGGCAUUCCACAGGGUGGGUGCCACCACCGAGAAGGCCCUCUGCCUGGUUCCCUGUAACCUCACUUCUCGCAAUGAGGGAACCGCCAGAAGGCCCUCGGAGCUGGACCUCAGUGUCCGGGCAGAACGAUGGGGGUGGAGACGCUCCUUCAGGUCUACUGUGCCAAGGCCGUUUAGGGCUUUAAAGGUCAGCACCAACACUUUGACUUGUGCUUGGAGCCAAUGCAGGUCUUUCAGGGCCAGAGUUAUAUGUUCUCGGCACCCACUCCCAGUCGCCAGUCUGGCUGCCACAUUUCCAGGUUAAUGUUGGCAUCUGUCUAUCUCGAGAGACAAUGGAGCGUGCCUUCGGGGGUGAAGUCAAACCCCUCCGUUCACAGCCUUGAAAUGACCUCUCUGGGACACAAGCCUGGGCAGUGUGUCUGGAGGUCCUGGGCUGCCCAGAGCACAAAGACCCCCUCUCAGCCUGGCUGAUGUGGUCCAGAGGAAAGUUUGGCACCAGCUGGGCUGCAGGAAGGAGGCAUGCAAGACACCAUCCAACUGUUUUAGGAGCUCUGCGCCGAAUUUGUGUGGGGUUUCGUCCUGAGCUUUCCAGGUGGAUGUGGAUUGUCGGAAGCCACAGACGGUCAGACAGUUUCUCCAGCAGCAGUCUUGACUGGGAGCAGAUCUCUCUCCAGGGGCUCAGGCAGAAACAUGACUUGCACACUGCCUGCUUCCGGAUCCUUUUAAAUGGAGGUCUUGGGGGCUGGAUUGCAAAGCAUAUCUUCUGCUCUCGCUGCAAGGGAUGCAAGUGAGGGGGGAAAUUCUCCAGGAGCCCCUGCCGCCAGUUUAGAGAGCACUGGGCUAGAUGGACUCAAGUUCUGACUCAGAGAAGGAGAGCUGCAUGAAGUUCCUAUGGCAGAGCCUUCUUUGUCGUGGCCCCACAACUCAGGAAUCUCCCCAGGGAAGAUCUGACAGCUCCCUUUCAUAUGGGCUCCGAAACCCUUUGUAUUUGGGAAGGCACUUUUUACGGCGGAUUUAUUCCUGUUUUAGCUAAUCAUCUGGUUUUACCGCUGUGGCAUUUGCUGUGUCUUAUUUGCAAGAAUAUUUCUGCCUCUUUUUCUGGAAUGCACUUUCAUAAGCCUGUUAAAUGCAGGUUAUAUAUAGCCAUGGACUGCAGCUCAGCUUUGGAGCAGCUCUUUUGAAUACAGAAGGCGCCAGGUUUUUUAUUUAUUUCUUCAUUUACUGCAUUCACACCCCACCUUUUCCUCUCAACGAGCUGAAGGCAGCAUCCAUGGUUUUCUUCUUCCUCAUUGAACCCCCCCCACAACAACCCUGUGAGGUUGGUUAGCCUGAAACGCAGUGACUGGCACCCAAACUCACACCCAGUGAGCUUUAUAGCUUAGUGGGGAUUCGAACCCUGGUCUCCCACUCUUCAGACACUGCUUCAAUCCCAGACAUCUCCAGGUACAACUGGAAAAGAUUCCCUGCCUAAAAUCCCAGAGAAACGCUGCCAGGAGCUAAAGGGACCCGUGGUUCAUGGUUCCCUGUGUUCCUAGAGGUAAAGGGACCCUUGACCAUUAGGUCCAGUCGUGGCCGACUCUGGGGUUGCGGCGCUCAUCUCGCUUUAUUGGCCGAGGGAGCCGGUGUACAGCUUCCGGGUCAUGUGGCCAGCAUGACUAAGCCGCUUCUGGCGAACCAGAGCAGCACACGGAAACACUGUUUACCUUCCCGCCAGAGUGGUACCUAUUUAUCUACUUGCACUUUGACCUGCUUUCGAGCUGCUAGGUUGGCAGGAGCAGGGACCGAGCAACGGGAGCUCACCCCAUUGUGGGGAUUCAAACUGCCGACCUUCUGAUUGGCAAGUCCUAGGCUCUGUGGUUUAACCCACAGCGCCACCCGCGUCCUUGUGUUCCUAGAAGUAACUGAAUAAAACAGAUCUCCGAGUGAAGCUCACCCACUUAUACCGAAAGUGGGGAUCUGUGUUUGAACACACACACAAUUUGGAAGCCCACAAACUGUUGCGCAUUAGAGAGGUCUGAGGUUUGUGGCUUAGCAAGGAAGGUUAAGGAUCAGGGGUUAGGUAAACCCCAACCUCCUGGCUGUGAUAUCCGAAGGCCCCCUGUGUUAAACCUCAGGCGAUCGCAAUCUUGCAUGGAGGGAUGAGAUUAGGAGAGGUUGGGGUAGCCAUGCAAAUCCCCCCCCCUCUUGAUUCAGCCUUGCAGCAAAAGAGACACUGUGAGAUCAUACUAGAUAAGAGUUUCAAAAAGCAUGGGGAAAAUGCAGAGAAUUCUUCGCAAAACAGUGCCCUAAAAUACAUACCUGGACAUGUUUCAAUUAGUGUCUGCAGGUGACUUUGUGGAUAUUUAAUUAGAAAAAUCUUAAUAAUUACCGUAUUUUUCGCACCAUAGGGCGCACUGGACCAUAGGGCGCACCUAGUUUUGGGAGGCGGAAAACAAGAAAAAAUUAUUCUGAACCCCAGAAGCCAGAGCAGCAAGAGGGAUCUGGCUUCUGGGAUACCGUGUGGCCGUUCUGGCUUCUGGGGUAACCGCGCCAAGCCUCCUCAGGGCAGCGGGAUGAAGGCUCCCCCUGCCCAAAGAGGCUGCGCAGGGCUAAAGCAGAAGCCAGGACAGACGCGUCGCUGAAGGGGCACUGCGCCUUCUCUCUCUCUGUGCAGCGGCUCUCCUUCACCGGUGAGGCGCUUUGCAGAGAGGGAGAGGUUGCAGCGCCCCUUCAGCGAAGCUGGAGAAGGAACAGAAGGAGACCCUUCUGUUCCUCCUCGGGCUUCACUGGACAGGCACGUCGCUGCGAAGCGGGAGGAGGAACAGGAGUCCCUUCUGUUCCUCCUCCGGCUUCGCAUGACAGGCGCGUCGCUCAAGGGGCGCUACGCCUUCUCUCUCUCUGCGCAGUGCCUCUCCACAGGAGAGGCGCUGCGCAGAGAGGGAGAAGGCGCAGCGCCCUUCAGCGAAGCUGGAGAAGGAACAGAAGGAGACCCUUCUGUUCCUCCUCCGGCUUCCAGGACAGGAGCGUCGCCGCGAAGCCAAGGAGCCUGCAUUCGCUCCGUAGGACGCACACACAUUUCCCCUUCAUUUUUGGAGGGGAAAAAGUGCGUCCUAUAGAGCGAAAAAUACGGGAAACAGCUUAUAAGAAGUAAAUAAGGAGGCCACAUACAGGAUAAAGGAAGUAUUUUAUUUGGUUGUUUGGCUCCUUCGACCUAUAGAGCGAGAUGAGCGCCACAACCCCAGAGCCGUCUGUGACUGGACCUAACGGUCAGGGGUCCCUUUACCUUUACCUUUUUAUGUUAUGCUUAUUGUAUGUUAUGUUCAUGUUUAAUGAGGGUGGGUUUCUGUAUUGGGAGGUGGGAGGUUAUGUUGUAAAUAAAAUUUCUAAUAAAAAAAACAAAAACAAAAGAGACACCGCGAGUUCAAAGCAAAGGGGGCUUUGGGUCAGGUGUGGCUCAGGGCACUCCUGGAAUGCCGAUCUUCCUUAUUUAUUGCUGUGCUGCAAACGACCCCCAUAAAUGUAUAUGGCACUUAGCAAACAGACGAGGGCCAAGAAUUCCAGGCCUGGGAAAUUUACAGCCCGAGAGGAGCCCAGACAGGUAGAAGGAGCAAGAAUAUUGCUGCCGUGUGAUAAGAGCGGUUUGUAGAAAUGCAGGCCUCCUCCUCUGGGGGUCGGCAGGACCCUGUUUGGGCUGCAUUGCUGCAGAGGGCAAGAGAGGGCUCAGCAGAAUGUUGUUGUUGUGGUUUAGUCGUGUCCGACUCUUCGUGACCCCCUGGACCAGAGCACGCCAGGCACUCCUGUCCUCCACUGCCUCCCACAGUUUGGUCAAACUCAUGCUGGUAGCUUCGAGAACACUGUCCCACCAUCUCGUCCUCUGUCGUCCCCUUCUCCUUGUGCCCUCCAUCUUUCCCAACAUCAGGGUCUUUUCCAGGGAGUCUUCUCUUCUCAUGAGGUGGCCAAAGUCUUGGAGCCUCAGCUUCACUAUCUGUCCUUCCAGUGAGCACUCAGGGCUGAUUUCCUUAAGAAUGGAUAGGUUUGUUCUUCUUGCAGUCCAUGGGACUCUCAAGAGUCUCCUCCAGCACCAGAAUUCAAAAGCAUCCAUUCUUCGGCGAUCAGCCUUCUUUACGGUCCAGCUGUCACUUCCAUACAUCACUACCUGGAAAACCAUGGCUUUUACUAUACGGACCUUUGUUGGCAUGUGAUGUCUCUGCUUUUUAAGAUGCUGUCUAGGUUUGCCAUCACUUUUCUCCCAAGAAGCAGGCGUCUCUUAAUUUCAUGGCUGCUGUCACCAUCUGCAGUGAUCAUGGAGCCCAAGAAAGUCAAAUCUCUCACUGCCUCCAUUUCUUCCCCUUCUAUUUGACAACCUCAGAUAUGCAGAUGACCCUGCAGAAUGUUAUUGCACACAAAAAGGCAUGGUUCUGGUCCUCAUGAUCUCAGAGACGGCUGAGCGGCAGCAUUGUCGGUAAGGGUGGAUCAAGAGAGCCGUGGGUUUAAACUGCGGUGCAGGAGAAUUUCAGGGAUAAAGCCCUAAUUGUAGGAAUACAACAGCCCUGCAAGGUUGGUCGUUAAUGUGGCUCACAUAUUAUUUAUGGGAGGGCAGAAACAGAGGUGUAAGAGUACCAGGAGAGUCUACCGGAUCAGGCCAGUGGCCCAUCUAGUCCAGCACCCUGAUCUCACAGUGGCCAACGGGGUGCCCUAAUGGGAAACCCGCUAGCAGGAUUCGAACACAAGACCUCUCUCCCCUCCUCUGGCCUCCAGCAACUGCUAUUUAGAAGCUUUGCGGCACCAAAUACACAUGUGGCACUCCACGCAGAAAGCAAAAAUGUCUACGUACAGUUCAUCAGCCUAGCCCUCCUUCCUGAGACGCUGGUCUUCAAAACAACAACAAACCUCUGGUUACGUGAAACAUAUUCAAUAAACACACAAGACGUAACCGGCUGUACGUUUGAAAAAAUAAUACAUACUAUUCAUUGUUUUGAAUUGUAUAUUUCAACAGAAGUAGCUCAUAAAGCUCAACGGAAAAAGUAGAAGACCCAGUGGAUCAGUUCAUUCUCUAAUCAGUUUAUGCAUAAGGUCCAUAUAUGUGAAAGCGUCUAUUCCACCUGUCUGUUCAUAGAGUCCAAGAAUCCACACGAAAGGUUGUUGCAGUUCCACAGAAUCCUUUCACAGACCCCAAGACAAGGAUUUCUGGAAUAUUAGCCUUGUUUCGCUGUCCUGGGCUUCAUCAGUGGUACAAACUCUAGGUAAUGCAAAUAAAUACAAUAUUGUAAUCUCACACAUUUUUACAGCAAAAAUAAUAUAAAAACCGUCAACAACCGUACAUACCAUAUAUGAUAUGACAGGACAGUGGAUCUUAUAGCAUAGUAGUAGCUGCGGUAAGCAGCGACUUUUACAGAGUGGGCUCCUUCUUAUGUUCUUAAUUUCAUUUAUAUCCGACUCAUCCUCUGAGGGAGCUAUUGGUGAUGCACAUUGUUCCCAUUUAUCUUCCCAGCACCCCUGCGAGGUGGACCUGGCUGGGAUGUGACUGCCCCAGGGUCACAGUGUGACCAAGUAGAGACCUGAACCCUGCUCUCGCUGGUCACAGUCUGAAACCGUGACCACUAUACCACGCUGCCUCUACUUUUUUUUUUAAUAAAGAUUUUUUAUUGAUACAAGAAGAAAAAAAACCCCCACAAAUACCAAAUUACACACAGGAAUAACUAUAGGCACAUAAUUUUCUUAGCAAACAAUAUAACAUAUAUUGGUCUUAACACUAAAGCCCCAACUUCCCGUCUAUUCCAUAUUUCGAGUUCAUAUUACUUAUUGCCAAUACACACUUUUAUCAUAAUUUUAACUUAUUCUUAAUAUAUCUAAUUUCGUAUAUAUACCUUGCAACUAUUACUGAAGUUCCUCGAAUGCUGCAACAGAAUUUAAACUACUAUAUUUAUUUUUCAGAUAUUCUUUGAAAACCUUCCAUUUUGAAACAAAUUCCUGUUUUGAUUUAUUCUUUAUUUUUUCUGAUAGGCCAUCUAAUUCGGCAUAUUGUGUUAGCUUUUGGAUCCAAUCUUGUAUAGAGGGGAUUUCAUUACUCUUCCAUUUUGCCGCGAUGAGAACUCUUGCUGCCGCCGUCGCGUAUAAAAAGAUACCCUUCCUCUUUUUAUACCACGCUGCCUCUAGCAGGCUCCUCCGCACACCCCGUGGCCCUUAUUUCAAUGACGGGGCUCCCCUGCAAGAACCACCGAUGUGGCAAUGAGGGGAGAAGGGUGUGUGUGUGUGAGGGGUGUCCCUGAGACGUUUGCCCUGGCUGCUUGAACUUCCUCGACAGCUAGCCGGUAGGCAGGGAAGCCCUUGCAACGAUCCACAAAGCCAUCAUUAUUUAAAAACCCAGAAGCCCACACGAUCCGCUGCCUUUCCUUUUGCGGGAUUUUCUCAUUUCCUCAACAAAACCACCCGGACUGGUCUGCUUCCCUGCAAAAAGCUCUUUUGGGUUUCCUGGAGAGAACGUCUCCUCGCCUGACGCAACGAGGCAGUUAAUCCAUUGCAUGAGCGAGGCCAUGUGGCCUAGGUGGGGAGGGAGAGCCCGUAGGGAAAUGCAUCAAAAAAAAGAAAAAAAGCAAUAAUAAUCCGGGGAUCCUGCUCCUCAGCUUGUCUCCAUAGUCUGCAGUUUUUCUUUCCUGUCUGCAAUGGAGAUAACAAGGCCUUUGGUUCUUUUGCAGCAAAGGGAUGUGGGCACACAGGAGAGUUUGUCUUUGUCUUUCUCUCUCUCCCUCUUGAUCUCCCUCAAAAUAAAUCCAACUCGAAGGGAUUGCGCUCUCCACACGACUACCUGAGAGGUCUCGCUGACAGCCCCAAGCAGCGUCGAGUGUGCAAAAAAGGCUGUCAGGUUUCUUUGCUUUUUGGGCAGUCUGGGCUGCCACAACAGCUUUAAAAAUAAAAUAAAGUAACUUGGUUGAUAUGACGCUUGGCUUAAAAUUUAUCCUGUGGGGGUGCAGGAAGCGCUAUGUGAAUAGGAACAAAAGUCAGGUGACACAGCAGCGGUUUGUGGUAAAUGGUGACUUCGUUUAAAAAUGAAAACCAUAGUUAGGAUUCUAGUCCUCAUGGUUCUGGAGAGAUAAAGUACUAUAGGAAGGCUGCAGUUGAGGGAUAAGGGGCAGCAAAGGCUUAUUGAGCCAGAUUCAGUUUUAAGGUGGUGUCCAAAGGUCAUUGGGAAAGUUAGCAAUUUAGGGUGAUCUGCAAGGGGGGGGGGGUGAGGGGGUGAGUCACAAAUGUUGGUGCUAGGAUUAGGGAUAGGGUUAGAUUCUGUUUGCACUUAUUGGUACUUUUUGAAACAGAAAACCGAACUGAAACACAACCGUCUUUUGAAAUUUGUACCUCUUCUGAAUUUCGCAACUUGCUUCUCUGGGCAAAACGUGUGUACAGAAAUGUCCAUAUAGUGCAGAACAUGAGAUACAAAACGGCGUUGCGUCUUUGCGAUUGCUUGCAAAACUGGGCCUGGCAGGCAAAACGGCAUACGGAACAGGCACAUUGAGAGAAAGGCACACUGAAACAUUGCAGAUUUUUGUGAGGGUUUCUCCUUUUGAGAGAGAGAAAAUCGCAAGCUUGUGUGGAAAUGUGAUGGGAAGUGAGCUGGUGCCUGGUGAAACGAGGAACGGUGCAAAACCCAACCUGGCAGGUCCUUCCAUCCUUAGGGAGGGUAUCCGUCUUGGAUGAGCAAAGGUUUUUGGAUUGUAGCUCGGGCAUAGGCUGGUCUGCCUUCUGCUAGAAUAUUAUUAUUAUUAUUAUUAUUAAUAAUAAUAAUAAUAAUAAUAAUUUAUUAUUUAUAACCUGCCCUGUGGAAAGAAAUCAGAUCCUGCAGGGCCCUGGACUCAUGAGACAGAGCAUUCCACCAGGCUGGAGCCAGUGUUGAAAAGGCCCUGGUUCUGGUUGAGGCUUAUCUGACUUCCUUAGGGCCCGGGACCUCUAGGGUGUUGCUAUUUAUGGACCUUAAGGUUCUCCGUGGGGCAUACCAGGAGAGGCGGUCCCAUAGGUAUGAGGGUCCUAGGCCAUGAAAGGUCAAAACCAGCACCUUGAAUCUGACCCUGUACUCCACCGGGAGCCAGUGCAGCUGGAAAAGCACUGGGUGAAUAUGCUCCCAUGGCAGGGACUCCGUGAGGAGCCUCGCUGCAGCAUUCUGCACCCGCUGGAGUUUCUGGGGCAGCUUCAAGGGCAGCCCCGCGUAGAGCGAAUUACAGCAGUCAAGCCUGGAGGUGAUGGAUCACUGUGGCCAGGUCGGGGCGGGAAAGGUAAGGGACCAACUGCUUGAUGCAGUGAAGGUGGAAAAAUGUCGCCUUGGCUGUUGCUGUAACUGCGCCUCCAUGGAAAGGGAGGCAUCAAGGAUUACACCCAAACUCUUAACGGAAGGCAAUGGCACUAAUUGGGCCCCCGCAAGAGAAGGGAGUUGGUCCCUCAUCCCCAUGCCAUCCUGACCCUGCCAUAGGACCUCUGUCUUCGAAGGAUUUAGUUUCAAUCGGCUCCCACGAAACCAUCCAGCCACAGCUUCCAAGCAUCUGGUCAGUGUGUUCGGGGCCGAGUCGGUGUGGCCAUCCAUCAGCAGAUAGAGCUGAGUGUCAUCAGCAUAUUGAUGACAGCCCAGCCCAAAGCUCCGGAUAAUCUGAGCAAGGGGGCGCAUAAAGAUGUUAAAAAGCAUUGGGGAGAGGAUUGCGCCCUGCGGCACUCCACACACCAAGGAGUGGCGCGACGACAUCUCCCUCCCUAGCGCCACCCUCUGUCCCCGACCAGAGAUAAAAGAGCACAGCCAUUUAAGGGGGAAACGCAGAAACUCCCAGGUCAAUCUUGACUCCUGCCAUUGGAGGUGUCUUGCCGAAGAAGGCCCUCCACGGUCUCUUGCUGGAGGGGGGGCCCUUGACCCUUGCUGACCCCUGGGGCCGUCCUUGGGCAGCUGAGCCCCCUCCCCUGUCUAAGAGACAGGACAUCUCUCUUCCUCCUGUCAACAAGAUAUAUGCAUCUCCCUCCCUGACCCCUUGAGGGGCUUUGCCAAGGAGGAUGCUUCCAGCGGUGCCGCAGAGUUUGAACUCAGCGGGACCCCCUCGGAAGCCCCUGCGCUGCAGAUUCUUACAACCUGACCUGCGUUGGCUGCAAAUGUUGUACAUCUUAUCUGCGCUCCCUGGCUGUGCGCAGAUCUAUAUAUAACUCUCCGCGGUGGGAGGUAUUUUGGCUGAUACACUCGCAGCUAUGAUCCGCGGCGAGAGAUUUAAAAAUAUCUCGCUGAGAGCGCACGGUGACAGAAGCCGUCGAGAGGGCCGUGCAUGGCAGAGACCGCAGAAAGAGGCUCCUGAAAGGGAGGAAAAAGAGAGAGAGAGGGAGCGCUUGUUGCUAUCACUCUCUGCAUUUGUCUCCUGGACUGUUUGCUACUUUUCUUCCCCUGGCAAAGCUCCUUGUUUUUCUCCUGCCAGAAACGUUUUGUGCUUCCAGGCGGGGGGAGCAGUGUCUCUCUUCCCCUCCCUCCCAAUUCCCACUUCACUGGUUCUGAUCUCGGUGGGCAGCGUUCUAGGCAGUCUCUCUGGAGCCAAGGAAGCCCCGAGCCACAGGAGAGGUCUGGGCUGCUCUCGCAUUUAGCCAACAGCCAGGGUGGCGCAUGGUUUGAGAGGGCACAUCCAGCCUAGAGAAGCUCUCCACCUAGAAGGACGGAUUGGUUUUCUUUACAGAGAGCUGGGAAGUGGGUCGUUCUGCCAAAGACGGAUUGUUUGCAUGCUUCAAAGCGGCACAUUCUAGGGCAUUGGCAUUUGAGGAAACAGAGCUUAAGACUUGCCGAUGAGAAGGUCGGCGGUUUGAAUCCCCGCAGUGGGGUGAGCUCCCGUUGCUCGGUCCCUGCUCCUGCCAACCCAGCAGUUCAAAAGCGCGUCAAAGUGCAAGUAGAUAAAUAGGUACCGCUCCGGCGGGAAAGGAAACGGCGUUUCCGUGCGCUGCUCUGGUUCGCCAGAAGCGGCUUAAUCGUGUUGGCCACAUGACCCGGAAGCUGCAUGCCGGCUCCCUCGGCCAAUAAAGCGAGAUGAGCGCUGCAACCCCAGAGUCGUCUGCGACUGGACCUAACGGUCAGGGGCCCCUUUACCUUUACGCUCAGAUAAAUCUAGGCAGAAGGCAGUUCGGAUGCACUGGGAGCACUGGGCGCAACCCUGGAGAGUGUGCAGAGAGAGACUCAAACUACACGCAAUGUUCAUCACACGUUCUUUCCAUACAGGCACCCCUUUUAGUUUGAAUCCAUGAUGAUUUGUGCUCAUGAUGGUUUCGGGGUGCUCAUACAUGAUCCCACUUUCAGUUCCAUUUGCAGCCAAAAAGUUUUGGGGCUUCAUUUCCAUCCAGUGCAGGCCCCCGUAGCGUAGCUGAAACCCCAUAACAUUCCAUAGCACAAAUGAGGGGUUUUCGGUCCCACUUUUGUGGUGCUAUAGCACAGGGGUGGCAAACUUCCAAGAGACUGCGAUCUACUCAUAAAAACUGGCAGUGACCUACCCCUUUUUGGGGGGUUUGGGUCAAAGUUGUUGAGUUUUUUCAGGGAGGAGGUAAAAUGUUUUUUAGGGGAGCCACAGUUGUUCAGCUUCUUUGGGGGGAAACUGAUGAUCUACCAGUGAUCUACUGCAGACGUCCAGUGAUCUACCGGUAGAUCACGACCUACCUGUUGGACAUGCCUGCUAUAGCAUAAGGCAGCGCCCCCUGCAGGAACAAUAAUGUGUUAACUGUUGGGAAGCAUUGCAGAAAAAAUAAAUAAAGCAGAAUGAUGUGUGGACAGUCCGGUAUAAAUCUGCCACAUAUGUGCUACUAAAUGCAUCCAUGACAGGUGGAGGAAUAUACCUGCAAGAUCAAAACCAGUUGGGGGACCCCCCCCCCAGUCUUUCCUUCCACCCCCAGGGCAACCUCCUGUCUGGGUGAUGGAGGGUGUGAAAGUAGUGGUUAGAAGUUAUGCAACCCCCCCCCCCUGAGAAUUCGGUAGUGUUAUGGCCAGAUCUGAUCGUGAAGGGACAGGUGGGAUGGUUGCACGGAGAGGUAUAAAACCAUUGGCGUAACCUUCCAGUUCUACAAUUCUGUAUGUUUCUUCAGAUUUGGCUCACGUUAGGAUCUUGAAACCGAGCCAAACUCAUUUCCAGGGCUCCCCGUAAGCUGCGAGGGAAAUAAACGGUCCUGCGUCUUGAACCCGAGGCUACACCUGCCAUGAAGUCUGGGCCUUGGGCUUGGAGUCUCGUGGCCUUAGCCCAGAGAGUUGCCAGCGACUGUGUCUCUGCGCUGCCGAUAGCUCUUUUUAAGCAUAGAUACGUUUUUGCAAGAGAACCAGUGUAGUGUAGCGGUCAGAGUAUCGGACGAGGACCUGGGAGAGACUUGGGUUCGAAUCCCCCACUCGGCCAUGAAGUUCACUGGGGUGACCUUGGGCCCCUCCCUGCCUCUCAGCCCAACCUUCCCCUCAGGGUUGUUGUUGUGAUUAAAUGAGGAGGGGGAGAACCAUGUUUGCCUGACCUUGAGCUCCUUGGAAGAAAAGGAGGGAUUUAAAUGCAAUGAAUGAAUGAAUGGGUCUCUAGUAAGGAAAAGGAAAGGGACCACGUAAAACGGGAGGGACCCCAUCCGUGGUCUAGUAGAGAGAUGCUGAGAGUCGCGACAAAGGUGGUGUGUAGGGAAUAAAUGGAACUGGCGAGACUCUCUGGAUUUAGCUCAAAGUUGUGGUCCGAUUAGGCACACUCUUGCCUUACUCGAAUCCUUGAGGACUCCUUGUUUAAAACAUAUAAUUUUUAUUAGAUUUCCUGCUUUACAAUUUUGAAUAUGCAUUUAAACAACCGUAAAAUAUCAACGACUUCCCUUCCUCUCUUUCCAUGGUUCAUUUUGUAUACCAUAAAUCCCGGCAUAUUUUACAUAAACUAAACCAUUCAGUAUUCCAUCAUUGCAUCCAUCAAAACUUAUUUACCCUGUUGAAUUUAUCUUAAUGCUACCAAUGUUGUCAAGCAUACACAAUCCCCCCCCCCCCCACAUAUUCAAUUAACGUUUUCCUUGAGGGCUCUUGAGGGCAGCCCCGAAGGUUGAAGGUUCACAUCUUCUUCUGGCUCCCAAAUCCAGCUCACUCCAUUGCAAGCAUGUCACAAACGCUACCAGGGAUCUGGGCGUCUGUGAAAAAUUUGAGGUGGGUGAAAAAACAACUCCUGGCACAGUCAGGGGCACGAGCUAGCCGGGGCGUGAAAAACGAGCUCAGGGCAGAGUUGGACAAGAACACCUAAGUCGGAGGCCCCGUGCGACGCGGCUGGGCACCCACCCCCGCCAUGCGCCAUCUCUGGAAAUUGUCGGCAGCUGCGAGACCCAGAGCACAUCUUGUACAUUCCCCCGGCUUCUUGGAGACCGCUUUGUAAGCCUCCUGUCCUCAGCCUCCGCUGUAGGAAGGCACGGGAUGAGCUGGAGGAGACGAGAGCGGCUGUGGCAGUUUUAUGUUCCCCUGCUGGGCGUCUAACGUGGCUGGCACUUAAUUAUGGUGGCACCUGCUCCUCUCGCUCGGUUUCCCCUCCCCGGAGCGAGACAUCGUGGGCUUGUUUCGCCAGGCCGGAGGCUUUGCCUGUAAACAGGACGGGCUGUGGGGUUUCCGCUCUGCCUUGUCGGUGUAACCUUAGACCCUUCUUCCCAGGCAGAGUUGACACUCCAAAAUAAUCCCUCUCGUCAUGUGCCUCGCCUGAGCUCAUCUCCAGAGAUGCUUCUGACCUUGUUCGCACCAGUGGAAAGGCGCCUUCGCUGGGGGCUUAGCCCCAGAACCUAUUGCAACGGGAGGGGCUAGAUCUGCUCUGUUUAACAUAAAAAAUAAGCUGCUUCUCUUUCCUGGUCGGCUUGUUACUGUUUGAGUACUGCGGUGAGACGCCCUCUUCUAAAAUCUAUCUAAGACUAAUAAACUUAUAAUAAUAAUUUUAUUAUUUGUAUCCCACCCAUCUGCUGCCCAUCUAGUCCAGCACCCAAUUUACUAUGGUUAAGAGAUGGGUGGAUCUGUCAAUUUAGAUUUCUUUCGGUUUCUCAUCCCCCACCCCCAAUCUUUAGGUUUCCGUAUUUGUUUGUGAUACUUCUGGUUCAAAAUUCUCAUGAGAAUUCACCAGCAUUUCACUUGAUAUGUCCCGUGGUGUACACUUUUUGCAUGCGAUUUUGCACGAUAUACACUUUUUUUUGCACAAAAUGUUUUGCCCUGCCAUAAUGCACAUUUGUAUGUUAUUUCCACCAAUGCAUGCAUUCUUGUGCACACUUUCCCCAUGUCUAUUCAUUUUUGUACACAUGAACUGGCUUGAGAAAUGCACAGCCAGAUUUGGAGAAAUGUGAGUUUCUUCGGAUCCCUAUAUUUUGUUUCAUGUACUGUUUGGGAAGGCACAAAGUAGAUUAAAAAGGUAAAGGACCCCUGACAGUUAAGUCCAGUCGUGGAGUUGCGGCGCUCAUCUCGCUUUACUGGCCGAGGGAGCCGGCGUUUGUCCACAGACAGUUUUUCCAGGUCACGUGGCCAGCAUGACUAAGCCACUUCUGGCAAAACCAGAGCAGCGCACGGAAACGCCGUUUACCUUCCCACCGGAGCGGUACCUAUUUAUCUACUUGCACUUUCACGUGCUUUCGAACUGCUAGGUUGGCAGGAGCAGGGACCGAGCAGCGGGAGCUCACCCCGUCGCGGGGAUUCGAACCGCUGACCUUCUGAUCGGCAAGCCCUAGGUUCAGUGGUUUAGGCCACAGCGCCACCCGCGUCCCUUCUACAAAGUGGAUUACUUUCCCUUUAAAUGAGAAUAGUGUCAGAUUACUCCAUCCUUUUCCGUGAUGGCAAGCUGGACAUGAGCUCAAAUGCGCCCUUCCGAAUUUGCUACCCUUGCAUGGCUGCUGUCACUUCUUGGCCCGCCAGACCUCCGGCCCCAACCAAACAAUGUCCCUAUGGAGAAAUACUGUUUGUUUGCUCCACAAGUUUCUCUAACCCAAUUCUAAUUCCAUGAUAGAUGUGAUACCUUUCAGAUGCCUCAGUAAGGGGAGGCUGUGCUUUAUUAAAGUCCUCUCUGUAUUGGCUCUCGGUAGUACCAUAUUCCAUGCCCACUACCGAUCAUAGACUCAUGGAAGGAACAUCAGCGGUCAUCUAGUCCAACCCCCUGAAAUGCAGAAAUCUUGCAUAUUCCUGCCUUGCAGGAAGGUGGACUGAAUGAUCCUCAGGGUCCCUUCCAACUCUGUGAUAUUGUGGUUCUCCUAUCAAAACAGCUCUCACAGUCAGAAAGUUCUUCCUAGCUGGAAUCUCCUUUCCUAUUAUUUGAAUCCGCUUGUUCAGGUCCUGCCCUUUGGAGCAGCAGAAAACCAGCUUCUCCACAACCCCAUUUGACAGCGCUCCAGAGAUCCUGGAAGAUGACUCUCACCUCUUGGUCUCCUCUUCUCCAGGCUAAACAUACCCAACUCCCUCAACCAUUCCUCAUAAGGCUUGGUUUACAUGUCAGGAACAUGACACAGUCUUUGGGACCUCAGCUACUUCCAACUGGGCUGAGCGGAGUUUCAGAUUCCUCGCCCUGUCUGCACACCCCGUGCUCUGCGGGACGACAGGAUGGCCGAAUGUAGCUGUGGGUGGGGGUUGAAUUGAGAGCUUAGAAGGGAGGGAGACCAGCCACCUUCCUGUGUGCACAGAAAUAGCAUUCAAUCUCUUCUGCAGCAGGAUCUUUCUGGUUCCUAAAUGUUGGGAAUAUUGAGGGUUAAAGAGACACAUGUUUCUGACACUGUGCGUUAAACAGUUGGCUCAACCUCUCUAGAGUUAAAGGGACCCGGGUGGCGCUGUGCGUUAAACCACAGAGCCUAGGACUUGCUGAUCAGAAGGUCAGCGGAUCGAAUCCCCGCAAUGGGGUGAGCUCCCGUUGCUCGGUCCCUGCUCCUGCCAACCUAGCAGUUCGAAAGCAUGUCCAAGUGCAAGUAGAUAAAUAGGUACCGCUCCGGCAGGAAGGUAAACAGCAUUUCUGUGUGCUGCUCUGGUUCUCCAGAAGCAGCUUAGUCAUGCUGGCCACAUGACCUGGAAGCUGUACGCCGGCUCCCUAGGCCAAUAAAGCAAGAUGAGUACCGCAACCCCAGAGUUGGCUACGACUGGACCUAAUGGUCAGGGGUCCCUUUACCUUUACCUUUACCUAGAGUUAAGUACGUAAGGAGGCAAGCAGCUGGGACAUGGCUGGCUGGUGUAUCAGAGUAGAUCUGGUGGGACCCACUUUUCAGGGACAGAGGGAGCAACGCCCCUGCCUCCUUCCUCAAAGGCAAGGCUGGAAUUGAAAAUGGGAUUAUAGCAUUGUGGGUGGGUGAUGGGGCACAUUCGCCACCCUGGCAAUUUGAAAAGGAGCCUUGAAAGAGACAUCAGUUAUCUUAAAUUUAGACUCCCAAUUUACAUUUUUGCAAAAACGAGCUGGCGUUGAGAAACCCAAGGGCAAUAGAAACGUAUUUCUCAGACCGAGAUCCAAUAAAUAAAUAAAUAAAUAAAUCAGCGUGAAUAGCCUGAAAGUAAAACUGGCCGGGAGCCAGUGGGAAAACCAAUUUGGUUAGUGUUUUUCCUCUCCUCCCCAAAUUCUUGAGGCUGAAAGGAGAAGAGAGAAGAAAAUAAGAAAUCAAAAGAGCUGAAUUCAGAAGGAGGGGAGAGACAUGCGGGAGCCCUGUGGGGGAAAGUUUUAUACUCCAUUUCAUUUUGUUUCUUUCAAUACAGCUGCAUUUCUUCCCAAACACCCAACUCGGAUUGCACAUAGCAUCCUACAAAUAAUUGAGUGGACACGAUCUGCCGGGGCGUCUUUUGCACAAGCCCUUGGAAAUUGCUGGGACUUGUGCGAGUCUUGCUUUUGGGCCCGUGUUGCUUCUAAAGAAGAAUAAAGUUUAGGACAACAGGGAGGUGUUAGGGAGCAAGACACUGAAUCCCUAGUUCCUCUAAACUUCCCCAUAAGUACAUGUUUGAAGUAGAACCACUGUUUGGGGGAUGCCUCAUCUUAAGACUAUUUUGACACGGAGCCUCGGGACGACUGGGCUGCCGUGUUUCGGGGGGUUAAAAAAAGCGAGUGGUGAAAGCAGACGAGAUUGCUAGCCUGUCCUGUCGUACUGCUUGCUUGUUUUGUUUUUUUGUCUGCUGCGUGGAUGCCUUGGAAAUGCAAACAUUUCCCUGACUGCAAAGGCAUUUCUCGGCUCGCUCGCCAUGAGGCCAGCGGCGCUGGGAUGCUUUGAGCCUUGCUGUUCAGUUCGUGGAAAACAGGAUCGCGUUUCGCCAUGCCUGUCUCUAGUAAACACAUUGCUCGCCUUUCUGGAAGCGGCUGUGACUCAAUAGAAAGCCAACUUCGUACGUUCCUGGGGGGGGGGAGGGGGGGCGAUUAUGCAGCCGUAGAGCAACAUGCGCAGCUUCCAGAAGGGCUCCAGGUCCUCAGUAUCUCCAGUUACAAGGCUCAGGGGAGGGUCCUUACCUGCCCAAGACCCCCAGAGAGCCACAUUAAACCAUGCGGAGGUAGAGGAGCCCUGACUGUAAAAGGCAGCGUCGAAUGUUCAUACUUGGCGGUUUGGAAAAGCAGCAAAGUAUGUUUGACCUCCUUUGCAGUGGCUCGAUUUGGCGUUGCUGGAAUUCUGCAAAGUCACUGUCUUCCUUGAGCUUACUAUGAAUUGCUGGUUGGCAACAAAAUUCAGGGAAGCAAUUUGCACACGUUUCUGCUGAGCAGCCACCAACUUGCCUGUGGGCACAUUGCGGGCCAUGCUCAGUUCGCCCAGUUCCAGUGGCGCGCUGGGGGAAAGGGGCUCGCUUUUGCUCCCCCCCCCAAAUCCUGAGCUAAACACCCCCAAGACUCUCCUGCGGCUGCAGAUGGAUGUCUUGCCUUUGGGGAAAUUUUGUACAAUGUAAUAAUAAUAAUAAUAAUAAUAAUAAUAAUAAUAAUAAUUUAUUAUUUAUACCCCGCCCAUCUGGCUGGGCUUCCCCAGCCACUCUGGGCGGCUUCCAAAAAAAUAUUAAAAUACUGUAAUACAUCAAACAUUGAAAGCUUCCCUAAACAGGGCUGCCUUCAGAUGUCUUCUAAAAGUCUGGUAGUUGUUUUUCUCUUUGACAUCUGGUGGGAGGGUGUUCCACAGGGCGGGUGCCACCACCGAGAAGGACCUCUGCCUGGUUCCCUGUAACUUGGCUUCUCGCAGUGAAGGAACUGCCAGAAGGCCCUCGGUGCUGGACCUCAGUGUCUGGGUAGAACGGUGGGGGUGGAGACGCUCCUUCAGUGUGGUGUAGUGGUUAAGAGCGGUAGUCUCGUAAUCUGGGGAACCGGGUUCGUGUCUCCGCUCCUCCACAUGCAGCUGCUGGGUGACCUUGGGCCAGUCACACUUCUUUGACGUCUCUCAGCCCCACUCACCUCACAGAGUGUUUGUUGUGGGGGAGGAAGGGAAAGGAGAAUGUUAGCCGCUUUGAGACUCGUUAAAAAGGGAGUGAAAGGCGGGAUGUCAAAUCCAAACUCUUCUUCUUCUUUUUCUACUGGACCGAGGCCGUUUAGGGCUUUAAAGGUCAGCACCAACACUUUGAAUUGUGCUCGGAAACGUACUGGGAGCCAAUGUAGGUCUUUCAAGACCGGUGUUAUAUGGUCUCGGCGGCCGCUCCCAGUCACCAGUCUGGCUGCCGCGUUCUGGAUUAGUUGUUGUUUCCGGGUCACCUUCAAAGGUAGCCCCACAUAGAGCGCAUUGCAGUAGUCCAAACGGGAGAUAACCAGAGCAUGCACCACUCUGGCGAAGCAUUCCACAGGCAGGAAGACAUCAUUUCUAAAAUGAGGCAUCCUAGGACUAAUGCCCUGAUCCUCUGGAAGUUAGGCAUGCUGACCUGAGGUUUUUCAGCUGCUGUUACUUAUGGGUUCAGGGCAGCAGGUUUGAGUGCUGGCAUGGAAAAGAGAAUGUGGAACGGAGCCCUGGUUCAAGCUUUAGCCCAGGGGUUGGCAAGGUUUACCUCGCUUGGAUCAGUUUACUCCAGCCGAGAUCCCUUCAUGGGCCGUAUCGUGCAUGCGCCCGCGAUUUCUGGCGUCUGUGCAGACACAAUUUCUGGCGUCUGAACAUGCGCAGACACGAUUUCCAGCACUGCGGAAGCAAGUGCACCAGUUUAGCACAGCACAUGGGGACCCGCCGAGCGGGUGGCUUGAUCCGGGGGUGGCUUGUGGGCCAGUUAAACGACCCCCAUGGGCCGUUUGUGGCCCAUGGGCCUUAGGUUGCCUACCCCUGCUGUAGCACUUCAGCCUUGCAGUCCCACUUUGGUUAUGUGAAAAGGUCACCUGAACAGGGCAGCUUUUAUGCACAUCUCUGUGUGUGCAGCUGCCAUUCAUUUCAGGGGGGCCUCAUGCAAAUGAUGGUCGUGAUGUAUUUACCUGGUAAAGUUUCCUCCAGGCCUUAUGCUCUUAACCAGUUUCUGGAAAGGGUUGAUUCAGGACUUCUGGGAUUUGGACCCCCGAGAAUCGACUCUAACAAUGCAGGUUCCUGGUCCUCAUUUGUUAAGAGUUUGAAACCAGGAGGUGGUGCCCGUGAAAGGUUCAGGCAGUGUUGCCAAAUGGUUACAGACCCUUUAAAAUAUCAGAGUUCAAAAUGAAUCCCAUAACUUUGGCGAUUGCUUUGCAAACAGUGGUUUAAUAAUUUGCACGGCACCUUUUGACCGAGGAAUUUGGAGCUGGAUUUGGUGGUUGUCUAUUGCGUUUUCCUUAGGAAUCACUAUCCUUUCAGGCUUAAUAUCUUAUUGCUGAGGUCUGCUGUAGUCAGAGCUUUUUAAAUUCCUUGCAUCUGUUCUCCCAACACAUGCUUCAGAUACUGUAUUCUGGGGUGGGGUGGGGAAACCACUCAGCUUUUGUUUGAGAAAUGCCUAGCCCCUUAUAUUGAUGUCUACCACUUAACAAAAGUUGCAGGUAACUGUGUUGGUCUAUUAGGAAAGCAAACAGAUAUUCCCACAAAACAACAAGAGGAUAAUGUCUUUAUUAUCUCACAAAGGGAAAGUUGCUCAGGUGAACUUCAUUAGGCAUUCAAAUUAUGCAUAAGAAGGUUGCUUGAGCUUGACAAUGUAUUGGACAAGUGUGAGAAUCAUAGAAUUGUGGAGUUGGAAGAGACCUGUGAGGGUCAUCUAGUCCAACCCCCUGCGAUGCAAGAAUCUCAACUAAAGCAUCUCUGGCAGAUGGCUACCUAACCUCUGCUUAUAAACCUCCAAGGAUGGAGAGUCCACCAUCUACCUCCUGAGGGAGUCCGUUCCACUGUUGUACAGUUUUUAGUGUCAGAAAGUUCUUCCUAGUGUUUAGAGUCCAUUGGUUCAGGUUCUCUGGAGCAGCAGAAGACUAGCUUGCUCCAUCUUGCAUGUGACAGCGCUUCAGUUAUCUGAAGGUGACAUGACAGCCCAUAUAUUAGCAGCACUGGGGAUGAGUUUUGAGGGUGUGUUGAUACCUUAACAUUAGUAAAGGUAAAGGGACCCCUGACGAUUAGGUCCAGUUGUGACCGACUCUGGGGUUGCGGCGCUCAUCUCGCUUUACUGGCCGAGGGAGCCGGCGUACAGCUUCCGGGUCAUGUGGCCAGCAUGACUAAGCCGCUUCUGGCGAACCAGAGCAGCACACGGAAACGCCGUUUACCUUCCCGCCAGAGUGGUACCUAUUUAUCUAUUUGCACUUUGACGUGCUUUCGAACUGCUAGGUUGGCAGGAGCAGGGACCGAGCAACGGGAGCUCACCCCGUCAAGAGGAUUCAAACCUCCGACCUUCUGAUCGGCAAGUCCUAGGCUCUGUGGUUUAACCCACAGCGCCACCCACAUCCCACCUUAACAUUGCCAAGUGCUUAACUGGGUUAACAAUAAUGUCUUUGUUUCAUUUCCGCAACACCCUGUCCCUGCAAGGUAGGCCAAACAGCCCGUCAGUGUUCGAACACAGGACUGUUUUGAGACUAAACCUCUUGCUUCUGUUUGCUUGCUAGGCCCAGUCUCCAGAGCUCUCCUCCUGAAAUCGCUUCCCAACAGACAACAUUCCUUUUUCGACUGUGGGAUCCAGAACUGAGCAGCAGACUCCAGGUAAAUCCUUGCCAGAACUGAAAUCUGCAGUGCUGAUAAACUAUUGCAUCUUCUGAUCUGCACAAGGAACAGCUAAUACGAUGUAUUGGUUCAAAGGCAUGAUAUACUGGGUUCAAAUCCUCACGCACCCUCAAAAAUCACCGCCUGAUCUUAAGCCAGUCCUGAUUUUGAUCUUGCAGCCUCUCCUACCUCGAAGGGCUGUUGUGAGGCUAAAACAGGCGAUCCCUCAGAUUCCUGGAGGAAAGGCAGGAUAGAACUGUCAAAGACGGUUGCAUGGCAUUAUUGAGUGUGGACCUCCAUGCCAAACAAAAUUCCUUCCUUUAAAAAAACGGCACAUCAGGGAGAAGGCUGAGAGCAAGAGAACGCAUUUCCCUGACACCUGACUUUUCCGUGUCCUUGCAUCACACGCUACUCUCUCGUUUGCUUUUCGGUCCAAGGUUGAAUGUUUUCGUUUCUGCUGUUCUGGUAGCUUUGUGGCCCUGGCAAAGGUGGUUCGGGGUCAGCAGAGGGGCUUUGCAAUGUGUGUGUACACAAAAACGCUCUCCGAAGUGAUGGAGCAUUGAUUUGUUCAAAGGCUUGCCUUUUUCCACGGCUCUUGUUGCCCUUCCUUUGCUGCCCGUCUCUCUCUCUCCUUUCGCUCUUUAGUAAAGUAAAUAAUGCAUGCAGGAUGCAAACGAGGGCUGAAAUUUUAGAAGGGCUGACCCAACACAUUACUGCAGAUCAAUCCCUUCAGUUACGCGAAGCACUUCUUUAGAGGAGGAAAGGAACUCUGGUUUCGAGAAAAGCGCUGGGGUUUAUUUUGGGAUUUGGUUUAGCUGCUUCUCCCUCCAUCUGGGGCAAAGUGGCGAAGAUUCCUCGUCAACAAACAACAAGCGCCGCUUGUGCCACUGGCCCCAUUCCCUCGCGCUGCCCAAAUUCAUACCUUGGAACCGUUAGGGUGCAAAGCCAGGGGCGCCCCCAACCUUUUUGCUCCUGGUGAGAAUGCAAAGAAGGCAGGGAAUAAUCUGCAGCCGGGUCCCGGAAUUGUGCAUGCCACUUCAUGUACUUCAUUGCAAACUUUGGUUCCUUACAUCACUGAGCAUGCCAGCAUCUUUGCAGCACCUUUCAGGAUGAGACUUUCCUUCCCUGGGUGCGUUUCCAGAAGCCUCCUGAGUUUGCCUGUCUAAUAUGUCCCGAACCUCACUAUCGCUGUACCAAAUUUGGUUUGCAGCAGGGAUGGCGCAUUGUGGAAGGCUGCCUGCCUGGGCUGGCAAAAUAUCAGCACCCCAGUCCCCCCCCCUUUCAUAAAAUUUAUAUAAAAGGUAAAGGUAAAGGGACCCCUGACCAUUAGGACCAGUCAUGACCGACUCUGGGGUUGCGGCACUCAUCUCGCUUUAUUGGCCAAGGGAGCCGGCGUACAGCUUCCGGGUCAUGUGGCCAGCAGGACUAAGCUGCUUCUGGCGAACCAGAGCAGCGCACGGAAACGCCGUUUGCCUUCCCGCUGGAGCGGUACCUAUUGAUCUACUUGCACUUUGACAUGCUUUCGAACUGCUAGGUUGGCAGGAGCAGGGACCGAGCAAUGGGAGCUCACCCCGUCGCGGGGAUUCGAACCACCGACCUUCUGAUCGGCAAGUCCUAGGCUCUGUGGUUUAACCCACAGCGCCACCCGCGUCCCCAUAAAAUUUAUACUCAAUUGUAAAAAAAAUUUGAAAAAAUAAUCCGAAACAAUCUCCAAAUGGGUCACAAAAAGAUGAAACAAGAAAAUAAAAGAAAAAUGGCAACAAUGGUUUAAAAUAUAUAAGAAGUUAAAAUACUCAAAGCAGGUUAAAACUCUCAGCAGCUUCCUAAGCAUUUGGGCAUUAUUGUUUAAACAAUAAUGAUUUUAGCAAGUGCCGAAAAGAAUGCAGCGAAGGGACCUUCCUGGUGUCAAUUGGCAGGGAGUUCCAAAGGUGCUGCCACACUGAAAGACUUGAGUUCUGAAGGUGUCUGCGUAUUGGGGGAGGGGAAUGCGUUGCCUCACUCUCUUUUCUUUAUCUUCGAAAUUCUCCUGUAUUGUCAUUUAAACCCGCUGCUCUCUUUUUCUGAUAUUAAUAUUUUAUUGGAAGAAUUUCCUGUAUAAAAAGAAAGAGUGAUUAAAAGGAAAAGGAAGGAAGAAAAACGCAGAUAAAAAUAGAAAUGAAGGGAAAAUGCUCAAUACAUAUGUGCUUAGUCCUAUUACCCUGGUAGAAAUAUAUUUAUCAAUAACCUAAUAUAUUCUUUGUAAAGUCAUUCCAAAUAUUGUUAUAUUUAUCCAAAGAAAGGUUGCUUCUGUAUGCGGUUCAUUCAUACGUUGCUAAUAUUGUCAUAUUGUCAGGCCAUUGAUGAAGGGGAAUAAUAAUAAUAAUAAUAAUUUAUUUAUUUAUACCCUGCCCAUCUGGCUGGGUUUCCCCAGCCACUCUGGGCGGCUCCCAACAGAAUAUUAAAAACACGAUAAAACAUCAAACAUUAAAAACUUCCCUAAACAGGGCUGCCUUCAGAUGUCUUCUAAAAGUCAGAUAGUUGUUUAUUUCCUUGACAUCUGAUGGGAGGGUAAUCCACAGGGUGGGGGCCACCACCGAGAAGGCCCUCUGCCUGGUUCUCUAGUCUUCUAGUUCACCAGUUUCAAUCUCUUAGCCAUCAUUACUGGACCCACAGUUCCGCCAGCAGCAACUGGCCUGCCUAUCAGCCUUCUCUCCAAGAUCAUGAGGACCAGAAACCUUACUUUUAUAAAAGGGCCGGUGGUCUGAAUGCCGUUCUGUGCUGAUCUGAGCUCUUCCUGUUCCGUCUAUAGCUCCCCAGACUCGGGAAGCUAAGAUGAUGGGGAGAAUUGUUUGUCGGAGGCAGACGCAGCUGUUAUCUAAGUCCACUUAGCCUCAAAAACAAGUCCUUGAAGAGUCUGCCUGCAGCAGUCUGAAUGUUUUCAGCUGUUUGAGCUGCUCCCCGGUCAGACAAAAGCAAUCUGUUGCCUGUUCUAUAAAGGGAGGUUUAAGAGCAGAGAGUCUCAAGCUUAGAGAAAGGGGCUUUAGAAACGGAGGGGAGAUGAUGGUUAUUUAUAAAAUCGAGAAGGAUGUGGAAAGGAUGAAAUCUGGGGCCAAUUCUGCUGACUCGCACAACACCCCUUUGCACCGAUCACCCGCUGACUGGCGGCAAGUCUCGGGUGAGCAGGUCCACACUCAAGACAUAAACCCGAGGAACGGAUUGCCGCAGGCUUGUUAUGGUAGCUGCCGGCAAAAGCGCUUUGGGGGAGAGAAGAAAAUAUCAGAAUGAAGAAAGGAUUAGGCAACUUCACAGAGGUUUGAUAGAAACUCCAUAGCCAGAGGCAGUUGAGCUUAAGUUACCAAACGUCAGGGACAAACAUGAGGAGAUGCAGGAAAAUUUCCUGCAGGCAUUUUCUCUAUUCUUACUUAAACUGUCUUUGGGAAACUAGGAAGGUGCCUUAUAGUGCGUAUGACCAUUGCUCCAUCUAGCUCCGGCAUCCCCAAACUUGGCCCUCCAGAUGUUUUGGGACUACAACUCCCAUCAUCCCUAGCUAACAGGACCAGUGGUCAGGGAUGAUGGGAAUUGUAGUCCCAAAUCAUUUGGAGGGCCGAGUUCGGGGUUGCCUGAUCUAGCUCAAUAUUAUGAUAUGAUACGAUACAAUACAAUAUAUUGUCAUUGUCCCAUACAGAACAAUGAAAUUGAAAAAUCUACGUAAGACAUUCCAAAACCCCUAAAAACUCUGAUACCCCAUUUUCAAAUACAAUAUACUCCCAUAGAGACUCCUUAAAACCAAAAUCGCAUUUGAUUGGAAACUGUUUCUCAGGCGGCUAGUCCUAGUCUUUAUAACCCUGUACCUUCUUCCAGAAGGCAGAAGCUGAAAGAGAUCAUUUCCGGGGUGCACACUAUCCUGCGCUAUCUCUGCAGCUUUCUUAUGGCACCUGGAAGCAUAAAUUUGAUCCAAGGUGGGAAGAGUGCACCCAAUUAUUCUCUCCGCAGUCUUUACAAACCUGGACAGUAUCUAGCCUGACUGACAGUGACUGGCCAGGUUUUCUGACAGGGAAUCCUUCCCAGCCCAACCCAGAGACCACUGAAUCGUAGAACUGUAGAGUUGGAAGGGAACCCCAAGGUCAUCCAGUCCAACCCCCUGCAAUGCAAUAAUUUCAGCUAAAGCAUCCCUGACAGACGGCCAGCGGAUCUCUGCUUAAAAACCUUCAGUGGAGGAGAGUCCACCACUUCCCUGCUUUCCUGGCUGGGGCUAAUGGUUGUUGUAGCCCACAACUGGAUCACUGCAAUGUGCCCUAUGCGUGGCUUCCCUUGGGCUCAGAUUUGUGACUGGGCCAAGUUCAAGCGCUUAUUCUUAGUCUAUUAAGCCCCUAACAACUUGGGGCCAGUUAACCUGCAAGAUCUCCUUUCCCCAUAUUUUCCCCACUCGAUAACUUCAGUUGGAACAACUGGCUGGAUAAUCCUUGCUCCGCUUUUGUAAGAACUCAGUCUUGCAGCACCUUAACUUUGGAACUCCCUGCCUAUUGAUAUCAGGGAGGCCCUUUCCCUGUAUUCUUUUCGGCGCCUGCUAAAGCAUUUUUCUGUAGGCAAGCCUACCAGGUGUUUGGAAAGCUGAUGCCCUUUUUAACCUGCUUUUAGUCAUUUUAGAGGGACGCGGGUGGCGCUGUGGGUUAAACCACAGAGCCCAGGACUUGCCGAUCAGAAGGUUAGCAGUUCGAAUCCCCGCGACAGGGUGAGCUCCCGUUGCUCGGUCCCUGCUCCUGCCAACCUAGCAGUUCAAAAGCACAUCAAAGUGCAAGUAGAUAAAUAGGUACCGCUCCGGCGGGAAGGUAAAUGGUGUUUCCGUGCACUGCUCUGGUUCGCCAGAAGCAGCUUAGUCAUGCUGGCCACAUGACCCGGAAGCUGUACGCCGGCUCCUUUGGCCAGUAAAGCGAGAUGAGCGCCGCAACCCCAGAGUAGGUCACGACUGGACCUAAUGGUCAGGGGUCCCUUUACCUUUACCUUUACUAGUCAUUUUAACCUUUCAGAUGUUUGGAAUCAUUGCCAUCAAUUCUUCCUCGAUUGUAGUUUUAUCGUUUCCUCUGUUUGGUGAACCGCUUUGGCUCCCCACUUUGCACUCAAGGGGCGUAUUAACCUUCUACGAAGCAAACUGAUGUCUGUAGGGCACCAGGUUGGGGAAGCUGGCUCCCUUUGCUCACGUGCCUCCUAUUCCUAGAGGGAGACGCUGGCUUUCCAGCAAAGACAAGCAGAGGUGGAAAUCUGAGCGCUCCUUGUUGCCGCAUGUGGCUGCUCCGUGACCCGAGGCCUCGCCACGCUCGGCUCCAUAUACGGCCCGGAGGAGCGAGGCGCUGGGAACGAGAGUGCAGUGCUGAAUACCAGACAUACAUUAAAUUCUUCCUGGCUGCACUUCCCCCUCUGCUUCCCCAUUAAUUCAGAACAUGAGCAGGGCGUCGCAGACAGAGAGAAUCCAAUGUUCUGAGUGUCACCUCCAGGGAACACUUAACUCCUGAGCAUGUGUGUGCUUAAAAAACAACAACAGUCUCCUGCAUAUUUGAAGGCCAUAUUGUCCCCAAAUGCCCAGGGGCUUCUUGGCGCACCGUAGGCAGGUAGGCUUUUUUGGAAAGGAUUGUGAACGGAGAAAUCCGAGGGCUCCCUUGGAUAAAAAACAAGGACACCAGCCAGGAAUACCAGAGCAAAACAGCAGCCAGUAGGCUUGGUCUUGAUUGAAGACUGUUGCGACAGGACUCCCACCUGCCACCAGGUGAAACAAAAUGGAAGCCCAGAACAAAAGAAGACCCCAACUUUUAUUAGUUACUAAUCUCCCAAACUACACCCCUAGAACUACAUCACAACUACAUCAUGACUACAUCGCUGACACAUCACAAAAAGGAGGGGUUGAGGGAGGAGUAGUGGAGGUAACCUGAGUAUCUUGUCACCUGGCUGGUUCCUCCUUUCCCCCUCCCCAUGAGUCAUUUCCAGAGGACAAAGGGGAGCUGGCAGUUUCCUGCCCCCAGAGGGAAGAGCUGAUCAUUGUCCUUUGUUCCAGUCCAUGUUGAAUCCACUCCCAUAUGCAAGUCCUUUGUGACCUGGAUGGUCUUCUGUCUGGGACCAUCAAGGUUGUCAUGCCAACUGGGUAGGGCUCAUGUGUAUGUGCUGGUACGGUUAAGAGAUUAUGGCCAUCCUGUAUCAAACCACCCCCCUCUGAUAGUCCUUCCUUCAUGGAGUAAAAUAAAAGUGGACCGGUGUAAAUCUGAUGUAUGGUUGAUUUACUAUGAAUUUAUAACAGAAACGUUGUGUAUGUCAUGUGUGUGUCGUGUUUGUACAAACUGAAUGAUUGGAGAGGGGGAGUUCCUGCAACAGGAUGAAUUUUGCUCUCUUUCGCUGUCUGGCUCUGCACCAUCCCUAGUCCUCUCUCCUCGCUCCCUCGGCCUCCUCUUAUGGGCAGCUGCCAGCUGAGGGUGAAGGGAGCCAGUCUGCAGGAGAUAUCCGCUCAGAAAGCCCCAAGCUGGCUAUCCAAACAGAGCCCUGCCAAAUCAGGCCGGUGGUCCAUCCAUUCCAGCAUCUUCUUCUCGCAGUGGGCAAGCAGAUGCCUCUUUUGGGAAACCUGCAAGCAGGACCCGAGUGCGACAGGGACUCUCCGCUCCCGUUGGUUUUCUAGCAAUGGGGAUUCAGAAGCGUCGCUGCUUCUGACUAUGGGUGGAGAGUGUGGUCAUGGUGGAUCUACUGCAAGGAGGACGGGGGCAGACAGGAAGAGUGUCCAUACUGGACAGGACCUAGCUAGGAAGGGGCAUGUAGAAUCAUACAAUGGCAGAGUUGGAAUAAAAAUUUAUAAUAAUAAUUUAUUAUUUAUACCCCACCCAUCUGGCUGGGUUUCCCCAGCCACUCUGGGCGGCUUCCACCGAAUAUUAAAAACAAUACAGCAUCAGACAUUAAAAACUUCCCUAAACAGUUGUCCACAGGACAGGCGCCACUACCAAGAAGGCCCUCUGCCUGGUUCCCUGUAACCUCACUUCUCGCAGGGAGGGAACCGCCAGAAGGCCCUCGGAGCUGGGCUUCAGUGCCCGGGCUGGAUGAUGGGGGUGGAGACGCUCCUUCAGGUAUACAGGACCCAGGGUAAUCUAUGCCAACCCUGUGCCAUGGAGGCGUCACAACAAAAGCAUCGCUGUCAGAUCUCGGUGCACUAACUCCGGCUUCCAUCUCCGGGGGAAGCGGGUUCAGGCGCUGCUCACCUCUGCUUGAGAACUUGGUCAAGGCCUUAAGAGGACGGGCGCAGCAUCUUCCCUCGGUGAGCGGAUGAGAGAGAGGGAGGGAGGGAUGGUGGCGAGCCCCUGCCCGUUCCAAAAUCAAUUGAGGAAGGAGCAAAGUGUCUCAUUACCGUCUCUCAUCCCUCCUGCAGCAACAAUAGGUGGUGAAAUUGUGAGAGGAAAUUAAUCACGGAGACCAAACCUCUGUAUAGCCUCUGUGUUUUCCCGGAACCGUGGAAGGUAAUUAGCAGGUCUGACUAUCCCCUGGGUUCAAUACGAGAUUAGCUGUGUGACGUAAAUGGAGGUGGCUUUCUUUUUUUGUUUUUUUGUCCUUCUGGGGGUAAAUUUGAAGGAACAAAUUGCUGCGAAAUUCAGCGGUGCCAAUUCUGAUUUAACCUUGCAGGGAGGACUAAAAAAACGCACUAUCCCAUAUAUCUGCGGCAAUUAAAAAUUUAAUUCAACAUGCCACUCGAAAUCUCAUUUUCUUAUGAAUCAUUCCUUUAAUUGAAUAUGGUGAGCUUGGGGAACCUUCCUAGCAAGAAAAGGUGUUUUAUUUUGGCCUGGGCCAAAAAGUUCUUGUAGCAGACAAGCCUCGUAGGCUCAGGCAAGAAUGCCAGAGCCAGUGAAAUCUCUGUUAUAACAUUGGUAGCCACUGUUAUAACAUUGUUUGCCUCCACGGCCAGAGGCAGCACUGCUUCUGAAUACCAUAGAAUCUCAGAACCGUUGAGUCAGAAGGGACCCCCAAUGGUCAUCUAGUCCAACCCCCUUUGGUGUGGGAAUCACAGCUAAAGAAUCCCUGGCAGAUGGCCACCCAACCUUUGCUUAAAAACCUGGGGGGAAAGAAACCUUUAAAAAUGGGCAUAAUUGUGUAGGCCGCCUGGUUUCCCCCGGCGUCUCCAAGCGUGAGGCUUUGGGGAAAGGCAGAAGGGGCGGAUGCCCCCAGAGGCAGAUAUAUCUCGGCCCCCCAUCUCAAUCUGAGAACCUGCGCUUGCUUUUGUGUAAAGGACCUGCGCUGCCUCCUUCAGCUGCUGCUGGGAAUGCCAGCCUUGGGGGUUGUGGCUGCUCUGGGUAGCUUUAAAAAACGCAUUAGAGGAGCUUGGUCUCUUUGAAGCCGUGAGAACCCUUAACAAACUACAACUCCCAGGAUGCUUUGAGGCAUGGGGGGGGGAGCCAUGGCUGUUUAUAGCAGCCUAGUGCUGCUUUAAAUGUGCAGCGUAGCUGGGACUUUGGUUCGGAUACCACCUCCCUGGUUCAGCUUCAUAUUACCCCCAGCAGAAACUGCUGCUUGCCUUCUAUCACUGUGCCAUUGAGAGCGUGCUCACUUAUGGCUUAUGUGUGUGGUACGGAAGCUGUACUACCCAGGACAGGAUGGGGUUGUGCAGGGUUGUUAAGGCAGCAGAGAGCAUUGUUGGCUGCCCACUCUCCACCUUAGAGCAGAUUUAUGCCACAAGGUGCCAUAGGAAGGCACUGGACAUAGUAAAAGAUCCAUCGCAUCCUGGUCACUGUCUCUUCGAGCUCUUGCCGUCGGGACGGAGAUACAGGACGAUGAAGACAAGAACGAGCCGUCUUAAGAACAGCUUCUUCUCCAGAGCGAUCUCGGCCCUGAAUGGGAAGCCCGGACUUUGAAAGUCAUCUAAUCUCCCUUGCUGUAUUAUACUGUAUUGAUUAAUUAGUGUUUUUAUGGAGCAGUCAAGUAAUUUCGUUGUCCCCGAAGGGGGCAAUGACAAUAAAGAUAUUAUUAUUAUUAUUAUUAUUAUUAUUAUUAUUCUUUGUCCUGCCUUCUGGCUGAUAAGAGUCGAUUCUUUGACAUUAAGCAGAUUUAUAGGGGGCUGGAGGGAAGUCGUGAGUGUGUUUUUUGGGGGGCCUCUUAGCAUUUUAGUGCUGGAAGGGACCUUGGAGGUCCCGCAGACCAAACCACUACUAAUCUGGGGGAGGGGGUACGGACAUCCAUCAUAAAGUAUGUCUGAAUCCAUCAUAAAGUAUGUCAAAGAAAGUUAAUAUUCACCUAGAGUUAAGUGCGAUGAUUUUUUUUUUUUUUACUUAAAAAUAAAAUUGAAAUUAAGGACACAUUGAUUUUCUAUAUAUUCCCCGUUAAGUGGCAUCCUUCAAAUGCCAUAUCCAUAAAUACGAAUAAGGUUUUCUGAUUCCAAUUUUCAGGUAAGAUUAGCUUAUCACCGAGCGCACCAUCUGCCAUGUGUUAUACUUCACAUUUACAUUCUCUCUGGGUUAUUAUCAUAAUUGAGCUGCUUCAGAAACAAUAUAUAUAUAUAUAUAUAUAUAUUCACUCAUCAAACAGACGCCUUUCCCUCCCUGGCAAUUUGUCACUUGAGGCUUUUUAACUUAAUGUCCCACGAGUCUUAUUUAUUAUCUUACUAAAAUUGGGAGGAUAAAUUAUUAAUUUGUUCUAGGCAGGGAGGGCAUCUCUGCGUGCGUCGGGUGCUUGCCGAUACGUGCCAAAAGAAAAAAGAAAAAUCAACUUGGAAAUACUUUAAGGACUUUUUACUUUUGUUCUGCCCUGCGAAUAAAACAGUCAGAUUGUUAAACAGAAAAGAGAAGGGGAUGGUAUGGCUUUGAAAAUGGGCUUGCUUCACUUUGCUAAGAUGAAAAAAUGAAAGAAAAGAAGGGCAAACUACUUCUUUUUUUUAAAGGCAGGAAGGAAGCCCCAAAGCUGGCUUGCGGGUUUCGAGUUUGCUCUGAAUGAAAUGACUGCUAGUUUCGUUUGAGGUCUCAUCCCCUGUGAGGGAGGCUUGGGAAAAAUCUGUAGGCUGGGCAGCCCUGGUUAAAAAAGUUCUGCCAACUAGAACUACAGUCGAAGUCUUUCCAAAGUGUCUGGUUGUUCUGGCGGGCAGAUUUUCUGAUAUAAAAUUGGAUGCACUUUGAAUACCUGAAAAGAGAGUAUGUGUAUUUUUGUUGUUGUUGUUGUUGUUUAGUCGUUUAGUCGUGUCCGCCUCUUCGUGACGCCCUGGACCAGAGCACGCCAGGCACUCCUGUCUUCCACUGCCUCCCGCAGUUUGGUCAAACUCAUGCUGGUAGCUUCGAGAACACUGUCCAACCAUCUCGUCCUCUGUUGUCCCCUUCUCCUUGCGCCCUCCAUCUUUCCCAGCAUCAGGGUCUUUUCCAGGAAGUCUUCUCUUCUCAUGAGGUGGCCAAAGUAUUGGAGCCUCAGCUUCAGGAUCUGUCCUUCCAGUGAGCACUCAGGGCUGAUUUCCUUCAGAAUGGAGAGGUUUGAUCUUCUUGCAGUCCAUGGGACUCUCAAGAGUCUCCUCCAGCACCAGAAUUCAAAAGCAUCAUUUCUUGGUGUGUUGCAAUUCAGCAAGGACUUCCUGCCCUGAGAGAAGAUCCAGCCUCCUGCAUAUUUAGCAGAUUGGGGAGUUUCACUCUCUUGGAAGAAAAAGGGUCAACCCCCAGAGUCCUGGAUUGGCAACCAGGAGAAUCCUAGAGGCAUUUUGCUGCAACUCUGUAUUGGGGUUUGUGGUGUAGCCGGACACAUACUGGCACCUCAGAGGGCAGAGCCCAACUCAUGUCCCCUCUCCCCUGCCAAUAAGCUGAACACUGUGAUAUUCUGCAGGGAGGAAAUAAUAAUAAUAGUAGUAGCAGCAGUAGUAGUAGUAGUAGUAAUAAUAAUAAUAAUUUUUAUUUAUACUCUGCCUACCCUAGCCUUGACUGGGCUCAGGGCGACUAACAACCGAUUUAAAAACAAAUUGAUUGAAAUACAACUUAAAAACAAGCUUAAAAUACAACAUUAAAACAUUAAAAUACAGCCUCAUUUCAAUGGAAACUCAAAACAAAAACUUUUUGGGGGAUGAAAACGUCAUCUUCACCAAGGCUAACUUAGGAAGGGGGUUGAAAUUAAAAUUGCCACUGUAAUAAUGCAACAUUACAAAGAUGUGGGGUGUAUUGCAGAGCUGGAAAAUGUUCAGAAGAGGGCAGCCAAAAUGAUCAAGAGGCUUUAGGGUUGCAGCGUUUGGGAUGUUUCAGCUCAGAGAAAAGGUGAGGAAGAGACAACACAUAGGAAUUUUAUAAAAUUCUGCAUCGCUUGUAGAAAAUGGGCAGGGGAAGGUUUUUCUCCCUCUCUCAUAACACUGGACCUUGUGAAAAUCCAACGAUGCUGAACUUUGGAAGAUUCAGGACAGAAAAAAGGAAGUCCUUCUUCAGGCAGUGUGUAGUUAAACUAUGGAACUCAUUGCCACAGGAGGACCACCCACCUAGAUGGUUUGAAAAGAAGAUUGGACAAAUUCGUAGGGGAGGAGAGGGCUAUCGAUGGCUAUUAAUGGCUAUGCUUUGCCUUCCAUAGUCAGAGACAGCAAUGCUUCGGAAUACCAGCUGCUGGAAGCCACAGGAGGGGAGAGUUGCUCUUGCGUUCGAAUCCUGCUUGCGGGUUUCCCUCUGGGGCAUCUGCUUGGCCACUGUGAGCUGCUGAACUAGAUGGCCUGAUCUAGCAGACUCUUCUUAUGUUUUAUGAGGGAGACAUAUUUGCGUUUGAGCAUUAUUAGGUUACGGCAGGGGUCAGCAAACUUUUUCAGCGGGGGGCCGGUCCACUGUCUCUCAGACCUUGUGGGGGGCCAGACUAUAUUUUUUGGGGGGGGAAAAGAAUGAAUUCCUAUGCCCCACAAAUAACCCAGAGAUGCAUUUUAAAUAAAAGCACACAUCCUGCUCAUGUAAAAUCAUGCUGAUUCCUGCACCGUCUGUGGGCUGGAUUUAGAAGGCGAUUGGGCCAGAUCCGGCCCCCGGGCCUUAGUUUGCCAACCCAUGGGUCACGGGUUCAAUCACAACACUGCAAAACUCGUCACCGGAGAAAGCAGCCAAUUACUAACCCAGAAACCGAAAGUUAAGACUGUGUGGCCAAAUUUCCCCCUUGCUAUGGUUAGGAAAUUCUUGCCAUCCACUUCAGAUCGUAAUCUAAGCACAAUUAGAAGCUUGCAGUCAAGGAAUGGUCUCAGCUCUUCAUUUCCUGUAUACUCUUGCUUUCUUCAUUCCAUCGACAGCUCUCCUUCAGCUACCUUCCCUCCGGGCCUUCUAACCCCUGAGGGUUCCUACUUCCGGGGCGACUUUUCAGGUCUCGGUCAAUCUUUGCCCCGGUGACUGCGUGGGAUUUUAAUCCCUGCCAAACUGACAAGUUUCACUUCCCUCUCAGAAGCUGGGCUACCAACAUUCCAGCAUCUUUCCUCUGUGAGCAAUGGAAGACUUUGUGAACGCAGCAGGUCAAACCACAGUUAAAGAAGCGUAACUUCGGUUUAUUGGGCGAUGACUGAAUUGACUAGGCACUGGAUUUGACUAGGCACUGGACUUUAGGAAAUGUAAACUGAAUAUUCAGCCACUUAUUAUUGAGGGGAGGUGCGUGGGACAGGUCUCGGUGUUUCAAUUUCUGGGAAUGGAGUUGAGAGAUGACCUAACCUGGGGAGAAAACAGCAAAGACCUGAUGAAGAGAGCACAACAGAGGUUAUAUUUUCUGAGAAUACUCUGGAAAAACAAUCUCUCAAAGGACCUGUUGAUGGUAUUUUACCAUUGUACUGUUGAGAGUGUAUUAACUUACGGUCUGUGUGUGUGGUUUGGGAGCUGCACAGUCAGGGGGAAAACAAUGCUGUCCAGGGUUGUAAAGACUGCAGAGGGAAUAAUUGGGUGCACUCUUUCCACCUUGGAUCAAAUCUAUGCUUCCAGGUAUCACAAGAAAGCUGCAGAGAUAGCGCAGGAUAGUGCGCACCCCGGAAAUAAUCUCUUUCAGCUUCUGCCUUCUGGAAGAAGGUCCAGGGUUAUAAAGACUAGGACUAGCCGCCUGAGAAACAGUUUCUAUCCAAAUGUGAUUUUGGUUUUAAACGCAGUGUAAGGAGUCUCUAUGGAAGUAUAUUGUACUUAAUUAUGGGGUAUCAGAGUUUUUAGGGGGCUAACCAGGCUGGGAUAUCUGGGAUAGCAGGCUUGUUGGUUUUUGAAUGUCUGAUGUAGAUUUUCUCAGUUUCGUUGUUCUGUAUGGGACAAUGACAAUAAAGAUUAUUGUAUCGGAUAGCAAAUCAGAUUUGGAGGUGGGCUUGCAAAUCAUGGUUUGAUGUGAUGUCUGAAUAUAGAGACCCGAAUUGCUGGCCAGGAGGGAAACAGAAGCACAUUUAAACCAUGGGUUGUCUCCACAAUGCGAAAACAUGGUUUGGGUACUUCACUGGGGCUAGUGUAAACCGUGCUUUGGCAUGAUGGUGCUGUUGAACACCAUGUUGUGGGUGGAGAACAUGUGACCUUCUAGAGGUAGCUUGACUCCAACUCCCAUCAGACCAGACCAGCACAGCCAGUGAUCUGGGGUGCUGGGAGUUGGAGUCAAGCAACGUUUUGAGACCACCAUUGCUAUCUUGAUACAUACAGAAGUGGGAGAAGCCAUCUCAGUUCCUACGAGGUCUUCCUUUCAGCAAGGUUGGAGAGACAAUUUCCAGGAUCCUUCAGGUCAACGUAAUGCCCCCGUUUCGUAUUUCUUCGACCACAACUCCUGCAGUGCUGGGGCUGAUGGGAAUUGUAGUCCCAAAAAUUGGGAGGGCACUGGGUUGGCGAAGGCUGUUUUUAGGCAUAGGACGCAUCCAGUUUUAGGAAGGAGGGAAGACAAGAUAGCCUAGUUUGAGAAGUUUGUGACAUCUGUUGGCCAAUAAUGGAUCCAUUAUCUAACCUACGGGUCAGGCCAGAGUUCAGUGUUCGCAACAAUAUAGGAUACCCAAGGGCUUUGUGGUGAAUAGGUCGGAGAGCCCAUCGAAUUCAGGGAAGACGAUGCUAAGCCUAUAUUGCACAAAUCUUUAGGAUGGUCUGCGAAUGCUAACUCCUUGAGUUAGCACGUUAAGUUUUUACAGCGUCCAGGGCCUGCCAGCUCUCUCAGUUACCCUUUCAGGUACCCAAACCUCCUGUACGAUGAAAGAGCCCUGGCUUUCAGGCUUCACUAGAGAUUUGUGGCAUGGCUUGCUUAGAAACAAUAGUUGCAUACUCACACACCACUCUGGUGUGUUUAGUUAGACUUUCAUAUCCACUAAGAGGAGAUGGGGAAGUCCCGCGCUGGCCUUUCCAGCAUAGGGGAUCUUUUAGGGCGAGUUUUAUGCACGAAUGAGGUUUUGUCUCGGUCUCGUUGUGGUCCCUGUAAGCCUGUGAUGUUGCAGAGUGUCAUGCGAUUCACCGAGUGUGGUUAAGAACACACUAGAAUCGUAGAAUCAGAAGGGACCUCAGGGAUCAUCUACUCCAACCUCCUUUGAUACAGGAAUCGCAGCUAAGACGAACUAGAUGGAUCAAUUGUCUGACUCGGUACAAGUUGGCCUCUGAUGUUUCUGUGUAAUAGCGGGGCAGUCUCUUGGUUUCUUGAGGAGUGUGUUAAGUUGUGGGUGAACAUAUCAGACGACACAGUGAUUCUUCAAACAGCUCUUGUUUAUUCACAGGCCAGAACAGAACUGAACUGAAGGGUUCAGCCAGCCUGCUUAUAUAGAGCUCCACUACAAUGCAACUGUAACCACUUUCUGUAACUAUCCAAUCACUGAGCGUCACUUUCAAUCCCUUAUUUGCAUAUGUGGACCUGCGUGAAAACUAUCUACAGUAUCCCCCCACUGGCCCAGGGUGAGAACUUCAGUACAUAACAGAGUGGACAGCAGUCGACAGUGCCUUCCCUUCCAUCGGGAUGUUUGCAAACAUUCCGUGAGGUCACAGCAGUCUUGCCAGUGGCUUGCGGCACACAGCACAUGGCCAGGAGUUAGAAUUGAGCUUAUUUUGUAUAUGAGAGUCAGUGAGAUGUAUAUUGCACCCGUUUCAGGUGGUGCUGCUGAUGGGAACCCCUUGUAAAGGGAGAUUAAUUACAAGGGAAUUAACGGACCCCUCCCAGCUCCUUCCUACAUCUCGAGUUUAGCUGCAGGCCUGCUCUGGAUAAACCACUCUUUUUUAUUUUAUUUUUUGCAAAGCCAUUAUCUAGUCCCAAGAAGCGAGGAAGGAGAAGGAAGUAAGGUAGUCAGAGAGCAGAUGCUGGGAUGACUCAGCUGGCAAUCUAUGAUCCUGGCCUAUUUCUGUCCCAUUUCUAACACGCGCCCGUUCCUUUCUCUUAACGUUAGAUCAUUGCUGUGCAAUAAUGUCGUCCUCAGCUGCGCAGAGCAAGGAACACUUUUCUUUCCAAAGCUUUUUCUUCCCUCAUUACCAGGCUGCUGGGGGCCAGUGACCCUUCCACGUGGCCUCGCAUUGUCGCAGGUCACACCGAGUCUCGCUUCAAAGCCGCUUGAUCUCUCUACGGCUCUCGGUUGUGAGACGCUUUGAAUCUAAGGCCCCUGUUUCCUUCAGCUGGGAGGUCAGGAUAGAUGUGCAUGGCGGAUUAGCCAGCACAAUAGCUCAGGCGGUGGCGGAGGGGCCAUAGGGCAGGAGUUGCACAGCGAGAGCAAAUUGCAGUGGUACCUUGGUUCUCAAACUUAAUCCAUUCCGGAAGUCCGUUCCUAAACCAAAGCAUUUCCAAGACCAAGGCGCACUUUCCCAUAGAAAGUAUGGGGGGGGGGAGAGAGAGAAAAUCUGCUCCAGACUUUAAAAAACAACCCUAAAACAGCAAUUUUGGGAUGCGGGUGGCACUGUGGGUUAAACCACAGAGCCUAGGACUUGCCAAUCAGAAGGUCGGCGGUUCAAAUUCCCGCAAUGACGGGGUGAGCUCCCGUUGCUCAGUCCCUGCUCCUGCCAACCUAGCAGUUCGAAAGCACCUCAAAGUGCAAGUAGAUAAAUAGGUAAACGGCAGGAAGGUAAACAGUGUUUCCGUGCGCUGCUCUGGUUCGCCAGAAGCGGCUUAGUCAUGCUGGCCAUGUGACCCGGAAGCUGUACCCCGGCUCCCUCGGCCAAUAAAGCGAGAUGAGCGCCGCAACCCCAGAGUGGGUUAAACUCUGUGGUUUAACCCACAGUGCCACCCGCGUCCCAAGGUUUCGGUUAGGCAUUGGUUUUAGAAAACUCACUUUUUUUGUAUUUUAAUAAAGUUGUGGCCAAAAUUAUGCCAAAAACCUUUAACAAAAUUACGGCGUGAAGUGUGAAUUUACUAGGGGUGGCCUGGGGACCUCGACACACAACUCCAGUCUUGCAGCAACGGCUGAUGCCCCCACCUGGGUGCUCCUUUGGUGAUGCUCCUUUGGGACUAGGGAGCCACUGUCUACCUUCCUUCCUCAGGUGGAGUUCUGAGCCCCCAAACUGUGCUCAGACCCAGGUGUGGCAGGGAUGAUGAAUAAGAUUUUCUGCUGCGUAGAUGGCCAUUGGUUGACAAAGUGAGCAAGCAUUCUCUCCUGUUAACUUGUGUGUGUGUGUGUGUGUGUGUGUGUGUGUGUGUGUGUGUGUUACUUCUGUAUGCUAUCCCUUGCAAGUUUUUAUUUUUGCUUCAUUAUUUUUGGGUUCGGCUUCUGAUUCCCCCCCAAAUAUCCCCCCCCCACUCCCAUCUUUUUAUAGAAGAUUGAGUGUUGUUUGGGGAGACCUUGGUUAACAGCUUUCCUGCUCACUAAAUGUCAUCUCGUUUGUUCUAAAGUGAAAAUGGAGAGUUAGAAAUGGAAAGUGUGUAUUUUGUGGGAGGCUGCUUGUGGGGAAGUUGAGCGGCAUCCCAAAGUCUGCUAGCAAAUUUCUUAACUUAUAGGGGAUUUCGGCUACUGCAGCUCAGCUUUCUUGCACACGUGAUUUACCGUAUUUUUCGCUCUAUAAGACGCACCAGACCAUAAGACGCACCUAGUUUUUGGAGAAGGAAAACAAGAAAAAAAAUAUUCUGAAUCUCAGAAGCCAGAACAGCAAGAGGGAUGAUCCCUCUUGCUGUUCUGGCUUCUGGAAUAGCUGCGCGGCCUGCAUUCGCUCCAUAAGACGCACACACAUUUCCCCUUACUUUUUAGGAGGGAAAAAGUGAGUCUUAUAGAGCAAAAAAUAUGGUAUUUGAAAAGAUUUGUAUGCUGCUUUCUUAAAGCCCAUCCAAAGUGGCUUACGGACAUAAAAUAGCAAGAGAUGGCAGCACAAUAACACAGAACUGAACACUGAAAAUCAAACAACUCCUCCAAACACUGUCUACAAUAAUAAUGAUUAAUAAUAGCCGGGUUGGGGGGGGGGGCAUAAUUCAACAGAGCCCAAAUUUAACCUGUCUACUUUUGCAUGGCUUGCACCUGGUUUAAUUUGCAUAUAUUUGCAAUUAAAUUGAUUUCUAAAUUUUCUAGCCCUGUUGACCCAAGAGUUUUGGAUCAGCAGUGAAAUUAAAGAGGGUUUCACACAUUUUUUUUUUUUGGGGGGGGGGUGCGUAUAGCUGAGAGUGUGUUGUUCGAAGGCAACAAAGCUGUUCCCCAUUAGGUGCACCAUUGAAGGUUGUGGGUUCAGUGAAAGAUCUUUGGUAAAUCAAGUUAAAAUGCAAUGACGGUCCUUUCAGAACUCAGACGCAUGCAUGCGUGGGCUCAUACAAAUGUUUAAGGCAGUGGUCCUAGUGCGCAGUCUAUCACUCUCUGGACCAGGAUACAUAAAAGCAGGGGGGUUUUUUUCUAGAAAAGGAAAGUGCCAGAACUUUUUUCUAGAAGGAGCUGGUAUGCUACUGCUGUUGUUUAAAACGCUUUAUAAUAUUUUUAACUGCGUUUAUACAUGCCUAAUGUUUUAACUCUGUUUAUUGCUGUAGAUGUUACUACUUUGCAAAUCGUUUUGGGAUGCCUAGUGGGAAGCUGCUCGUAAAUGAAAUUAUUAUUAUUAUAUAUCUUUAUUGCGGUCCAACAAAACAGUUUCAAAACAAGAUACAGUUAAGACAACCAAACAACAGGUGAAAGAGACUAAAUGAAAUUAGUAAUAAGGAUAAUAAUAACCAAUGUGCGCUUCUUUAAAAGGAAUAUGCGUGCCCAGGAUCCUUUUCAAACAAGGCCAGAUGGAGAGAGAGAGAACCAGAAAAUCAGUCCUGCUCUUAUAUUUUCCCUCCUUUCCUUUGGCUCACAACCCUGCUGGACCACGGCCUUAAAACGGACUUCCUUUGAUAGUUUCCUUUUUGCAAAAUAUAUAAAAAAGCAGGGAAACGAAAAACCGAGGCGGGUUAGGAGAGGAAAAGGUUAAAGAUCAGGUGUGGGUUUUGAUUUGUGGCAGGUCCCUGUUAAUGACUGAUACGGCCAGGGAUUAGGUGCAACAUUAAAAGCAGCAGAGCUGGCUUGUCAGGAGAGGGAGGCUGCGAUCCUGCUCACAAUAUAUCCUGCUCACAAUAUAUGACCCGCACACUGGCGGGCGGAUGCAAUAAUUAAUUUGCUUCGUGGAGAGCCCUGUCAUUCCAAAGUGAUUUCUUGCGCCUGUUGGAUUACCGUUGGACAGGACAAUUAGAAUUUCCUCCACAAGUCAUGUUCGUCAAGGUCGGAAGUCCUAACAUCUUACUUGCUUGGGAAUUCUUGCCAGAGGGUAAUGUUUAACUAAUUCCGGCCCCUCCCCGCCUGAACCCAUACGUUCCAGUUUUACAUGACAAAGCUAAAGGCAGAAGCCUUUGCACACACAAAAACCUAUUCUCAAGAUUUGCGCACCUCUCCCCAAUUGAGCUGCAUGUUGCAGCGUUUUUAUUAUUCUUAUUUUGAUCACCGUUUGCCCCGUGGGUGGCCUUACGGAAUGCAGACAAAUUCAUGGAGGAGGGGGCUGUCAGUGGUUACUAGCCACAAGGUUGCAGCAGCAGCAAAAAAAAAAAGAGGGGAAAAAAGCUAAUUCUAGGCUGCAUUAAUAAUGUUCUGAUCAAGGAAAGGAAUUGUUGUUUAGUCGUCUCCGCCUCUUCGUGACCCCCUGGACAAGAGCACACCAGGCACUCCUGUCUUCCACUGCCUCCCGCAGUUUGGUCAGACUCAUGCUGGUAGCUUCGAGAACACUGUCCCACCAUCUCGUCCUCUGUCGUCCCCUUCUCCUUGCGCCCUCCAUCUUUCCCAACAUCAGGGUCUUUUCCAGGAGUCUUCUCUUCUCAUGAGGUGGCCAAAGUAUUGGAGCCUCAGCUUCAGGAUCUGUCCUUCCAGUGAGCACUCAGGGCUGAUUUCCUUCAGAAUGGAUCGGUUUGAUCUUCUUGCAGUCCAUGGGACUCUCAAAAGUCUCCUCCAGCACCAGAAUUCAAAAGCAUCCAUUCUUCAGCGAUCAGCCUUCUUUAUGGUCCAGCUCUCACUUCCAUACAUCACUACUGGGAAAACCAGAGCUUUUACUAUACGGACCUUUGUUGGCAAGGUGAUGAGGUCCCUUUACUUUUACCUUUAAGCAAUGUUCUUGGGAAAUCGAGGAAGUUUUGUCGCCUCACUGUGGGGCCGCACGAGGACGCCUGCAAGAUUUCAGAUCAGUGGCAAUUUCAGGCAGCUUUGUGGGUUCUCUGAGCUGUUGCGAGAGAACUCGGGACGGAGAUUGUGACCUCAAGCCUCAGUGAAGGUAGUUUGUGGGCAAUUGAGGUAGGAGGGCGAUUCCUGGGAUGGAAACUGAGAAAGCAAAAUAGGAACCCCUGGCUUCUGCUGAACGGCUGAGUGACUCUGGGUUCAAGGACAGUGGCCUCUCUUGAACCGGGCUGUGAUUUGUUUCUGGCAGAGGCCUUUUUUUCAUGCUAAGUCUCCAGGGCUCAAUCCGGCUAAAAGGCCGUGUAAAAGGCAAAUUGCAUACUGGAGAUCAUUAUGAAAGGAACUGAAAAUAAAACAGCUGACAGUGAUUGGGGAAACCCAGCCAGAUGUGCGGGGUAUAAAUAAGUUUAUUAUUAUUAUUAUUAUCCAUUGACAAGCCCAUCUGCCUUUCACUUUCCUCUGCAGCACAUGCAGAAACCAUCUUCUUGACCACUGGACCCACCGUUGGUCCAGUCUGCUCCAUCCGCCAGAACCUGUGGGUUUCAGACCCAUUGGCUCCCUUCACCUCGUUUAGUCAGCCAGUUGAAAUCGUUCCCCAGGGUGUGGCCAUGGUCUGCUGUUUUUUAUUUUUAUUUUACAUAUUUUUUAUUAAAUUUUCUGUUUUACAAUUUAACAUAUUCGUUUAAACAACCUUAAAAUAUCAAUCACUUCCCUUUCUUCUCUUUCCAUGGUUCAAUUUGCAUAACAUAAAUCCCUGCAUAUUUUAUAUAAGCUAAACCAUUCAGUAUUCCAUUAUUACAUAAUAAAUAAUAAUAUUUUUAAAAAUUUAUAUCCCACCCUCCCCAGCCAAAGUCAGGCUCAGAGCAGCUAACAACAUUAAAAUAAUACAUGCAUUUUAAUAUAUUUUAAUCUUUUGUUGGAAGCCGCCCAGAGUGGCUGGGGAAACCCAGGCAGAUGGGCGGGGUAUAAAUAAUAAUAAAUAAAUAAAUAAUAAAAAAAUAUAUAAAUAUAAUAAUAAUAAUAAUAAUAAUAAUAACAUCCAUCAAAACUUGUGUACACUGCUGCAUUAAUCUUAAUGCUGCCCACAUUUUCAAAUGCAUACAAUUCCCCCCCAUAUAUUCAACAAACAUUUCCCCAUCUUCUUUAAACGUAUGUUCUUCCUGUUCUCUUAUUCUAUGAGUUAGGUCUGCAAUCUGCUCAUAUUCCAUCAGUUUGAGUCGCCAUUCUUCUUUGCUUUGGACCUCGCUUGUUUUCCAUUUUGGGGCUAACAAAACACGGGCCGCAGUAGCGGCGUGCAUAAAUAACCUUUAAAAAUAAAUAAAUUAUUGAGGAAAUUUAACAAGUCAGAUUAUAAAUCAAUAUAACCAAUUACCGGUACAUUUCCCCCCCUUGUCCCCAUCCCUCUCCCACCCUCCAAGUACUUCCCUCAGCUCCCCUCUCUGAUUUGCUUAUACAUGUUAUUCUCUGCAUAUUGUAAAAUUGUACAUAUCAUUGCCUUAUCUAUCAUACGUUCUACUAAUAAAUUUUAGGAGGUUUGUUCAAAGCCUGCCAAAUCAUUUUGUUGUCUUUUUAGAUAGUUUGUAAAAAAAGUUCCCAUUCUUCCUUGAAGUCACGGUUGUCCUUCUCACAUAAUUUAUAUGUCAACUUGGCCAACUCCGCAUAGCUCAUCUGUUUUUCUUGCCGUUGUUCUUUCGUUAGGAUUUCCUCAUUCUUCCAUCCUUGUGCUAACAAGACUCUUGCCACUGUUGUAGCGUACGUAAAUAAGUUCAUAAAUAACCUUUUUUUGGACACCCGGGAAUUUCAGUCUGAAUUAUCCCCAACAAAAAGGACUCUGUUUUUUUGUUGUUGUUGUUGAAAAGUGUUUUUAAACAUUUUCCCUCCCAAUUUAUUAUAUGUAAAAGAGUAAACGAGUAUUGGGAAAUAAUUUAUAACAGCUGCUGACAGUUUCUAGGAGCCACAGGUGAGAGCUGAGUGCAGGCUGGGGACGAAAGGUGGACAAACUCCUCCAGAAGGGGCUCAGUUUGCCCACCAUCAGAGGUACCAACCCUCCCCUAACACCCCAUAAAUUGUGCAGGUCACUUGGGUGCUGCUAAUGCAGUGGUUUGACUUCACCCCUGUUAGCAUACUCCAUUGCCUCUCGAGACAGAUGGAUACAAAUGGAAUGCUGUUACACAAACCUAUGGCUUGGCUACGUUUGGAAUACUGUGUGCUGUUCUGGCUGCUCCAUCUCAAAAAGAGUUGGAGACGGUUCAGCAAAGUGCACCCCAAAUGAUGAAGGGGAUGGAACAUCUCCCUGGUGAUGCAAGGGUGCAACAUUUGGGGACAUUUUAGUUUUGAGAAAAGAUGAGUAAGGAGUGACAUGAUGUUGUUGUUGUUUAGUCAUUUAGUCGUGUCCGCCUCUUCGUGACGCCCUGGACCAGAGCACGCCAGGCACUCCUGUCUUCCACUGCCUCCCGCAGUUUGUCAAACUCAUGCUGGUAACUUUGAGAACACUUUCCAACCAUCUCGUCCUCUGUCGUCCCCUUCUCCUUGUGCCCUCCAUCUUUCCCAACAUCAGGGUCUUUUCCAGGGAGUCUUCGCUUCUCAUGAGGUGGCCAAAGUCUUGGAGCCUCAGCUUCAGGAUCUGUCCUUCCAGUGAGCACUCAGGGCUGAUUUCCUUCAGAAUGGAGAGGUUUGAUCUUCUUGCAGUCCAUGGGACUCUCCAGAGUCUCCUCCAGCACCAGAAUUCAAAAGCAUCCAUUCUUCGGCGAUCAGCCUUCUUUAUGGUCCAGCUCUCACUUCCGUACAUCACAUGAUAGAAGUUCAUAAAAUAAUAGGUGGUUUGGAAAGAGAAAAGUUUGCUAAGUUCACCAAGAGACCAGAAGCCUUUUUAUUAGGUAUCAUAACAACAUAAAUUAAGACGAGGGUUUGACCGCUAUUCAUGUAUGCCACGACUGCAGCCAGGAUUCUAAUUGCGGGAAAUUGGAAAAGCGAAACCAUCCCCUCAAAAAUCGAAUGGCAAGCCAAAUUGAUAGAAUACCUACGGUUAGCAAGGAUGACCGGAAUAGCGAGAGGAAACUCGAUACAAGAUGUUAAUAAAGAAUGGAUAGUAAUUAAAGAAUACCUCCUGUAUGUAUAAUCAUACCUCAUGUUAUGUUUUCUUCAGGUUACGUUCUUUCAGGUUACGCCCUGUGGCCACCCGGAAGUACCGGAAAGGGUUACUUCUGGGUUUUGCCGCUCACACAUGCGCAGAUGCACAAAAUGACAUCACGCGCAUGCGCAGAAGCGGCAAAUCGCAACCCACAUGUGCGCAGACGCGCCGAUGCAGGUUGCGCUCUUUUCAUGUUGCGAAUAGGCCUCCAGAAUGGACCACUGUAUUUUAAGGUUUCUGUAUAAUAAAGGAUUAUAAAAAAUAAAAAAAAAGGAAAGAGAGAAGUUUGCAGGAGGAUAAAAGGCUCGAGAAGAGAGAGUAAAAGCAAAGGACAUUAGGAAAGUCUCACGCUUAUCAAACUUCUCCAAACUGGGUGAGGCUUUGGGGUCUGUAAGUUUUGUUCUGGUCUGACGUGGGUCAGCUCCCGAACCUGGUAUUAGGCACAUUACUUGUGCCCGCUCCUUAAAAAUAAUAUGCUAAUCUGUAGAAAUUGUUGAGAGGAGUUUCGCCUAUGCCAGUUUUUCUCCCCACUCGGUUAUUUAAUGUGGCACCAGCCUGCUCUGGUUUACAGCCCACGCGGCAGAUUGGCAUUGAAACUUGCCGCGGACUUUUGCCGCAAAUGGAGAUGCGGUUGAAGGAGGCGCAGAACCUAGAGGGUUUUUGCAGUGUGUUCGCAUCCUUCUUUUCCAUUCCCGCUCCACAUCCUUUCAGAUCCUUUGGCCUGAUCUGAAUCCUCGAAACGUGCCCGGGGUUUUUGCUCCUCGGAGGCCACCAUUGCUCAACAGGGGAGAAUAAACUACGUGCCGCACGCGUCAUGGGUUCGGAGUGGCUGCAUCCGCCUCAAUCUUUCCCCUAAAGUUUUGCAACAUUGCUCAGCUCUCUCCCCAUGAUUUAAAAAAAGGCAAAACAGGAAAAGAAAAGAAAAAGCAAGCUGAUUUCAUUUCGAGAGUGAUGGGGGAGGGAAUUGAGAAAGCGAGAGCCUUUACAGUAAGUCUCGGGUUUUCAAUGACAGAAACUCGACUCUUAGAAGUCUCUGGGUGUUGCAGAAACCCACUUUCACAUCACGAAAGACAAAAAAACUCCCCUGAAGUUGGAAAUAUCUGCAGGACGUCUCAGAAACCACAGAAAGUAAAAGGGUGCUCUUAUUUCCCCCCGCCACUCGUUUGGGUGGGCUUGGUCCUUUCUUGAUAGAAUGAUCUCCAAAUAUUCCUGGAUGUUCAGACUUGCUGAGCUGCCUAAGGCUGCUGCCGGAAGGUGUAGACUUGUUGAUGUGCACAGCUCAACUGUGGUGUACCUAGAUUGUACACUUGUUGUACACUGUAUGUGGGUGGCACUGUGGUCUAAACCACUGAGCCUCUUGGGCUUGCCAAUUGGAAGGUCGGCGGUUCAAAUCCCCAUGACGGAGUGAGCUCCCGUUGCUCUGCCCCAGCUCCUGCCAACCUAGCAGUUCGAAAGCACACCAGUGCGAGUAGAUAAAUAGGUACCACUAUGGUGGGAAGGUAAAUGUGUUUCCAUGCUCUCGGGCUUCCGUCACGGCGUCCCUUUGCACCAGAAGCAGUUUAGUCCUGCUGGCAAACAUGACCCGAAAAGCUGUCUGCGGACAAAUGUUGGCUCCCUCGGCCUGAAAGCGAGAUGAGCGCCACAACCCCAUAGUCGCCUUUAACUGGACUUAACUGUCCAGGGGUCCUUUACCUUUACCUUUUACGAGUGUACAGCUCAAUUAUUUGUGUACACAGAUACAGUGGUACCUCGGGUUAAGAACUUAAUUCGUUUUGGAGGUUUGUUCUUAACCUGAAACUGUUCUUAAGCUGAAGCACCACCUUCGCUAAUGGGGCCUCCUACUGCCGCCACGCCGCCAGAGCACGAUUUCUGUUCUCAUCCUGAAGCAAAGUUCUUAACCUGAAGCACUAUUUCUGGGUUAGCGGAGUCUGUAACCUGAAGUGUCUGUAACGCGAAGCGUCUGUAACCCGAGGUACCACUGUACACCCAUUGAAUGUAACAUGGCAGCCCACCUGAGUAGGGAUGCAAGAAGACAUAGUUUACUGUCCAGCCCUUUGUUGAAUUGCCAGAGAUGCAUUUUAAAUAAAAGCACACAUUCUACCCAUGUAAAAACACCAGGCAGGCCCCACAAAUAAACCAGAGAUGCAUGUUAAAUAAAAGGAUACAUUCUACUCAUGUAAAAACAUGCUGAUCCCUGGGCCUUAGGUUGCCUACCCAUGGGUUAGAGUGUCAAUACAGGAGGACCAGGGAGACACGAGUUCGAAAACCCCGCUCCCUGCCUUUCAGCCUAGCCUACCUCUCAGGGUUGUUGUGGGGUUAAAUCAGCAGGAGAUGCUGGACUCUCUGUCUCUGGAGGCUUUUAAGCAGAGGUUGGAUGGCUGUCUGCCAGGGAUUCUUCCGCUGUGGUUCCUGCAUUGCAGGAGGCUAGACUGUAUGGCCCUGGGGGGUCCCUUCCAACUCUCUGAUUCCAUAAUGUAGUAAACACAUUGGAAGAAUAAUUUCUCUCUGUCUCUUCUCUUUCUCCAAACCCCAGAAGACAAGCCCUUUGGAGGUGGGGGGGGGGGUCCCCAGGCAAAAGCAUCACACACAGUUCUUAUUGUUUUCUUCCAUCCUGAGAGAGCAACUCUCCACCCCCCACCCCCCGGAGAGGGAAGAUACGGGGUGUGCAACCUUUCAGAAAAGAGUUUUGGAGCAGUUUGGAGCUGUUCUGCGUGUCUGAAGUCACUCUGGGAGAUCGAGGGAUUUGCAGGAAAGGUCACUCGGAAGAAGAGGGAAAACGGGCUUGUUUGGAGGGGGGCGGGGAGAGCAAGGGACAUUCUCUCUCUCAAGCUGUGGAUUUCCCCUUGCUAUAAUAAAACCUGCAGCAUCUUCUCCAAUGGCUCUGCGGAGAGUCAUAAGUUCUGCCACUCAUGCUCUGUUAAUCCCAGCUUGCCUUCUCUUAUUUGAUUAAGACGCUGGAAAGAAAGAAGACGAUGCAAGCGAUUUCCCCCGCCCCCUUGAGCUGUCAUGCGAGGGAAGUUUCGGCAUAAAUGCCUCUCGUGGAGGUGGCCCCGAAAAGGCCGCUUCCAGAAGGGGGAGGUCAGGCCAACGGGGAUUUUAUUUCAAGAAGCUUUCUUCUUUCUGCUUGCGAAACGGCCGCACCGAAAACGCAGAACGUUGCAUUUGCUGGUCCAGAACCCGUCCUCUCGGAAAUGCCAGGAGCCCGCUGGGCUAUUGCAUUCUCCGCUGGCAGUUGGCAGGAGACUUGAGUGGUGUUUCCUGGAUUUGAGCUGCAGAGAAGCAGAUGGAAGGGCAGUCACAUCUUUCUAUCUGGCAGGAGAUUUCGGCAACAGAACAUGCCACUGCCUAGGAACAGGGCAGAGGCACCGGGCUCUUUUUGGGGGGUGUCUGGCAUGUUCCAGCUGGUGCCCCCUGUUUUGGCUCCUCCCUUUGCAUGGCCAAGUGGCGAUUUGAACCCAGGUCUCUCCCUGGUCCUAGCAGUCGAACACUCUUAACUACUGAACCACACUGGAGAACCUUGAUUUGACUUACAAGGGUAGUGGGUGGCGAUUGCAACUGCGCUCUGGGGGAGAGGAAAGAGCCCCCAAAUCUCCCCAGUUUGCUUCAUUAUUCCCCCCCCCCCAAGAGAACUGAGGCGCGCCCCAAGGAUUUUGAUCUCCCCCAGGGAUCUGCCAGGGGAUCCAGUCAAUCACUGGGUCUUCUUCAGCAGCGCAGGCCUGUCCCAAGGCACAGUUGCAAAAAAGUGGGAAACGAAAUUGUUGUUGUUGUUUAGUCGUUUAGUCGUGUCCGACUCUUCAUGACCCCCUGGACCAGAGCACGCCAAGCACUCCUGUCUUCCGCUGCCUCCCGCAGUUUGGUCAGACUCAUGUUUGUAGCUUCUAUGACACUGUCCAACCAUCUCGUCCUCUGUCGUCCUCUUCUCCUUGGGCCCUCCAUCUUUCCCAACAUCAGGGUCUUUUCCAGGGAGUCUUCUCCUCUCAUGAGGUGGCCAGAGUCUUGGAGCCUUAGCUGCACGAUCUGUCCUUCCAGUGAGCACUCAGGGCUGAUUUCCUUCAGAAUGGAGAAGUUUGAUCUUCUUGCAGUCCAUGGGACUCUCAAGAGUCUCCUCCAGCACCAGAAUUCAAAAGCAUCAAUUCUUCGGCGAUCAGCCAAAGAAACGGAAUAAUGGAGUUUAUUGCAAUGGGUUCAGAAGCUCCAAGUGUCCUGAUUUUCCUGGGACAGUCCCAUAAUUAUGAAAGGCUUCUGAUGUGAUCCCAAAAUGUCCCUAUUUUCCCUGCCAGCCUUGCUGCUUGGGAAGGAGGGCUUCCCUGGGUGGGAAGAAAAGGCAGAGCAGAACACAAGAAAUCUUGAUCUUUUAAAAUAAUAAUAAUAAUAGAAAACACCUUGUGCAUCUGCGUCUAACCUUGUCUUCUUCCAAAAAAUUAUUUGUUGGUGUGUGCUUUUCUUUCUGUAAAUCCACCAAACAAUAAAAUAAAAUUGGGUUUAUGGGUUUUUCUCAGGACGGUGGAGGCUGUGUGAUGUAUGCCAUUGGUUUGGUGGGGCUGGCAGUCACCCUUCUGAUACAAUCCUGUGACUCUUCUCCUGUGCCACUUAGACUUGUUGUAAGCAAACGGUGUGCAAACUGUCAGAAUAAAUAAAGUAACCCCACGAAGAAAGAAAGAAAGAGAAACUUCUGGAGAUCUGUAAUUAACACAGCCAGCCCGUGACUGGAGCAGGUUUGCGGCGAAUGAGCAUCUUUGCUCAGCUUUGAUGGUUGUGAUUCAGAAAAAAAAAGUUAUUAAACAGACAGGAGGUAGGAAGACUAUAUAUAAAUACGCAAAGCUGUGUUUCAAGUCAGCCUGCGAGGAAGGAGUGAAAAUUGCAUCUUUAUUUCUCUCUUUUCUGAGUCAUCUUCAAAGGACAGAUCAUAAUGAUGCAGAGGUUUGGCCCAGAGAAGGCUAACGUUUUGGAGACUGUAGGAGAGGGAUGCCAGCCUUUGCAGCCCCAAAUUUGGGCCUCUGUGUGGGCUCUGUUGUAUGUCUCUGUUGUUUAACCAUUGGCAAUUUUAUUGACUGACAAAUGGAUCUGUAAGAUUUCUUACCAGCCUUCCACCGCAAGCUCCCAGGGUGGGUUACAGCAAUAGAAUAUGCAAUUAUAUAUGGAAAAAUGAAAGCUCCGCGGCGAUAAAAGAAGGGGAAUCAUUUGAAAUGGGGCAGAACCGUAUCGGUUUUGCAAAAGAGAUGGGUCCCACGAAAGAGAAACUUGAUAAGUGUCAAGGGCAGGAAAGAGGUCCCUCUUUGGAAAAGGGUGAAAGUUGUAUAAUGAAAAUCAAAGAAUAAUAGAAGUUUGAAGGGACCCCAGGGGUCAUCUAGUCCAACCCCCUGCAAGGCAGGAAUCUUUGCCCAAUGUGGGGGUUGAACAUGUGAUGACCUGGGACUCGGACUCAGACUCACAAUCAGAGUUAGUCUCAGUCUGCACCGGAUCCUUUGCCUCAGGCAUCAUCUGAGCCAAGUCUGGGGCCUGAUCCUGAAGAGCCCUAGACUGCGCAGGUUCCCUUGCAACAAGCAGGUAAAGUGACCCCUAAUGAUCAGUGGUCCCUUUACCUUUUUAACCUAGCAGAAAACGUGGCUAAAUCUUUCAGAUAUUGCUUUGAAGGAAAAAAUAAAGACUUCUACUCUGGCCACCAGCAUUCCAAGAUUUCAAAGGAAGGUCUUUCUCCAUCACCUACCAUGUCAGGUAUGAGGAUCAUGGAAUUGCAGAGUGGGAAGGGACCCCGAGGGUCAUCUAGUCCAACCCCCUGCAAGGCAGGGAUCUCAGCUGAAGCAUCCAUGACAGAUGGCCAUCCAACCUCUGCUUAAAAACCUCCAAUGACAGAGGGACCACCUUCUUCCAAGGAGUUGAUUCCAUUGUUAAAGUGAUUCCUACUGUUUAGCCAGAAUUUCCUUUCUUGAAAUUUGGAAAGAAAAGAAACUUGCUCCAUGUUCCAUGUGACAGCCUUUCAGAGAUUUGAAGAUGGCAUGAUACUCCUUAUAGCAACAAUCAGUGCCGGAUUUACGUAUAAGCUAAACAAGCUGUAGCUUAGGGGCCCACUCUCUUGGCCCCUCCCCAAAUCACUUUUAACAUACCAAUACUUCUUCUUAAUUGUAUUUCAGUUCAACAAUUACUUUGAUAAAAUACAUAUUUUGUUAUGUGCAAAUGGCUUUAGAUACCUACCUAUGAGGCCCAUAAAUUUCCAUAUUCAACACAAAAAACAACGGCAAUUUGUUGUUGACAAAGGACAGCUUUCAGGCCGAGGGAGCUGGCGUUUGUCUACAGACAGCUUUCCAGGUCAUGUGGCCUAUGCAGCCUAGGACCCACAUACCUACGGGACCGCCUCUCCUGGUAUGCCCCACGGAGGACCUUAAGGUCCACAAAUGACAACAUUUUGGAGGUCCCAGGUCGCGAGGUGGUUAGAUUGGUCUCAACUAGGGCCAGGGCCUUUUCAGUACUGGCCCCGACUUGGUGGAAUGCUCUGUCUCAAGAGACUAGGGCCCUGUGGGAGUUGACAUCUUUCUGCAGGGCCUGCAAGACAGAGGUGUUCCGCCUGGCCUUUGGUUUGGACUCAGUCUGACCCUUAUGUCUUCCCUCCCCUUACGGUUUUGAUCUAUGGGCUACUUUUAAAAUGAGGCUGCAUUUUAAAUUUCAUUUUAACCUGUAUUUUAAAUUCGAUUUCCCCCCCUAUUAUGAUUUUACUGUAAUUUUACUGGUGUUAGCCGCCCUGAGCAUGGCUCUGGCCGGGGAAGGCGGGGUAUAAAUAAAAAAUAAAUAAAAUUUAUUAUAUUAUUAUUAUUUAUUACUAAACCACUUCUGGCACAAUGGAACACGGUGACGGAAACCAGAGCAGCUCAUAGAAACGCCGUUUACCUUCCCGCCUGAGUGGUACCUAUUUAUCUACUUGCACUUUGAUGUGCUUUCGAACUGCUAGGUGGGCAGGAGCUGGGACCGAGCAAUGGGAGCUCACCCUGUCGUGGGGAUUCGAACCGCUGACCUUCUGAUCGGCAAGCCCAAGAGGCUCAGUAGUUUAGACCACAGCGCCACCAGCAUUUCAAUGACCACUGUGAGAACAGGAUGCUGGACUAUAUGGGCCACUGGCUUCAUCCACAAAAGGCUCUCCAUAUAUUCUUAAGGUACCGUAUUUUUCACUCUAUAGGACACAUUUUUCCCCUCCAAAAAUUGAGGGGAAAUGUGUGUGCAUCCUAUGGAGCGAAUGCAGGCUCCUUGGCUUCAGCGAUAGCAACGCGAAGCCUCUGCGCUCCGGAGCCUUCGCAUUGAUUCCGCUGAAGCCUGGAGAGCAAGAGGGGUCGGUGCGCACCAACCCCUCUUGCUCUCCAGGCUUCAGGGAUAGCCCCCUGAAGCCUUCGGAGCGCAGCACAAGUUCCCGCUGCAUUCUGGAGGCUUCAGGUUCCUUUCGCUGAAGCCAGGAGAGUCUUGCUCUCCUGGCUUCAGCAAAAGGAACCCGAAGCCUGAGGAACGCAGCGGGAACUUGCGCUGCGCUCAGAAGGCUUCAGGGAUAGCCGCGCACAGCCCCUCCAGAAGGGAGAGGCUGCACGCGGCUAUGGCUUCUUUAGCCCCGCGCAGGGCUAAAGAGGAAUCCAAAACAGCGAGCGGGAUUCAUCCCGCUCGCUGCCUUGCCUUGUGCCAUAGCCGCGCGCAACCCCUCCAGCAGGGAGAGGUUGCGCGCAGCCUGUACGCUGCUCUUUGGGGCUGGGGGGGAAAUAAGAUUUUUUUUCUUGAUUUCUCCCUCUAAAAACUAGGUGCGCCCUAUGGUCCGGUGCACCCUAUGGAGCGAAAAAUACGGUCUUUUAUUUAUUUAUUUAAUGGUUAUGAUUAUCAUGAACUAUAGCAGCUGCUUUACACAAGAGGUGUUGGACUCUUCUUCCUUGCAGGAUUUUUUAAAGCAGAGGUGGGACGGUCAUGUAUGAUCUAGCUGAGAUUCCUGCAUCGCAGGGCAGAAGUCUUUUCUUCUUCUUUCAAAGCAAUAUCUGAAAGGGACCCCUGGUGUCCCUUCCCACACUAAGAGGCCUAUUCUUCUUCGCUCUCUCUGCGGAGAGGGGUCUGAAGGCUGGGAUCAGAGAACACCUGGCAUCUUCCUAACACCACAGCUCCGUCUCUCUCCCUCUCGACGCAGCAAAGUCAGUUUCCAAGGCACAAAAUUCUGCCUGAGCAAAAAUGUGCGACUUACCCCUUGUUACCAUUCUAAAUAUACCCCGGUUGCCAAGGCAACAAAGGGGAGACUGACGGGUCUCGCACACGUCCAGCAUUUCAAGACUGACUCAGAAGAAAACAUCGCCCGAGAUGUUUUAUCGCCAUGGUUACCACCGGCUUAAGCUACAGGUGUUUUCAAGCUGCCAAGCCGGAGCCCACCAACUGAUUGAGGGUCGCAGGUGCUGCUGGCUGCUAAGUUGUGGGGUGCAGGGAGAGGGUGGAAAAGCUCUUGCAAGCCCCCAAAAGAAAGGGGAAAGGGUAAAGGACCCCUGACAGUUAAGUCCAGUCGCGGACGACUCUGGAGUUGCGGCGCUCAUCUCACAUUACUGGCCAAGGGAGCCAAUGUUUUUCCGCAGACAGUUUUUCCGGGUCAUGUGGCCAGCAUGACUAAGCCGCUUCUGGUGAACCAGAGCAGCGCACGGAAACGCCGUUUACCUUCCCGCCGGAGCGGUACCUAUUUAUUUACUUGCACUUUGACGUGCUUUCGAACUGCUAGGUUGGCAGGAGCAGGGACUGAGCAACAGGAGCUCACCCCGUCACAGGGAUUCAAACCGCCGACCUUCCGAUCGACAAGCCCUAGGCUCUGUGGUUUAUACCACAGCGCCACCCGCGUCCCCUUUCUGCUAGGUUACUGAGAUGCUAAGGAAAAGAAAACAAAAGAGCAUCUUGGCAAACGCUUCAUUUUUGGGUGUGCUUGUGCCGCUUGUGUUUGGCAAGUGGGAUGUGGGAAGAGAGGACAAAUAUUCGUGUAGCACCGAGGAUGUGACCUUAAUCUGGCAAUAUUUGAAGGCACUCCUUCAACCCACAAAUACACUCAAGGAAGGCUGGCUAACUUUGGACUUCCUGGGGCAAGACUCUGCCUGCUGAGGUGAGAGGUGAAAUGAGCAGUCCCUGAGGGUCCAUGCAAGCAACUGGGUACAUUGGUCACUUGGUCAGUCUCGGUCACAUUUAAGUGCAGUUGCCCUAAUCACAACCUGGUGCCACCUUGAGAGCAGCUUUGGGGAACCUUUGGCCUUCCAGAUGCAAUACAGUGGUACCUUGCUUCUCAAACUUAAUCCAUUCCGGAAGUCCAUUCCAAAACCAAAGCGUUCCAAAACCAAGGCACACUUUCCCUUAAGAAGUAAUUCAAAAUGGAUUAAUCUGUUCCAGACUUUUAAAAACAACCCCUAAAACAGAAAUUUAAUUUUACUAUCUCUAUUGUUGUUCUGUUAAUGGUUCUCUUGGCUUUGCAACUUUUAUCUAUUUCCGCAGUCACACAAUCAAUCAGUAGCUAAAAUGGGUUCUACACAGUCACAAAAACAAAUGAACUGAAAAAGCCACACAAACAAAUACACAAUUCUUUUAAGCGGAAACAAAAGCACCCAAAAAAAGCUCAAAAUAUCUAAUCGGAAGUGGGGGACUCAAAUCAGAAACGGAAGACUCAAACAGGAAGAGGAACACUCUAAUCGGAAGUGGAGGACUAAAAAUGGAGCAUGUUUGGCUUCCGAAAAAGUGUUCGCAAACUGGAACAGUCACUUCCGGGUUUGCAGUGUUCGGGUCCCAAGUUGUUCGUGAACUAAGCUGUCUGAAAAGCAAGGUACCAUUGUAAGACAAAAAUACAAACAUACAACAAAAAUAAGAGUAUACCUUUGAAAGAAAGAAAGAAAGAGCAGUAUAUCUGAGAGAGGCUUGAUGUCAGACUAGUUACAGGUAGGUAGCCAUGUUGGUCUGCCGUAGUCAAAACAAAAUAAAAAAUUCCUUCCAGUAGCACCUAAGAGACCAACUAAGUUUGUUCUUGGUAUGAGCUUUCGUGUGCAUCCACGCUUCUUCAGAUACACUGAAACAGAAGUCACCAGACCCUCCCCACCCUCUCACUAUAUAUAAGGGUCUGGUGACUUCUGUUUCAGUGUAUCUGAAGAAGUGUGGAUGCACACGAAAGCUCAUACCAAGAACAAACUUAGUUGGCCUCUAAGAUGCUACUGGAAGGAAUUUUUUUAUUUUAUUUUGACAUCAGACUGGUAAAGCACUUAGGAGCAUGAUGAAAAACAACUUUCACAUUGCAUUGCGAAGAGGGAGUCCCCUGCGUCUGUAUAUUUUGCACAAAAGAGAAAAUCUCACCGAACAGCCCAGGAUUUUUCAGGGCCCUUUGUGCCUUUGACAACACGCAGUUUACGAGUUACUGUUUCUGCUCAUGCUAAGCUUCCCAUAUUUUUAUCCCAAAGCAAAAGUCGCACGUCUUGUAAGGCUUUCCAUUUUUAAUCCAUUCCAUUGUUAAUGUUUAUUUGUCCCUUGUUCUUCACCCCGGGGUCUCAAGGUGGGUUGGAACUUUCAAACAACAUUGAAAACAGUUCAAUACAACUUGCAAUCCUAAAAAAUAAGGUGGGCCCUGGAAACAUACACCACAAGUGCCAAAAGCCACAGUAAAAAGGUGCGUCUUCAGCAUCAAUGAAGGUACCAGGCACACCUCUGUGCGGAGGGAGUCCCAUAGCUUAGGGGCCACCACAGAGAAGGCCCUCUCUCCCUGCACUGGCACCACCCUGAGCCUCUGAGGGCACAAGCACUGCCAAGGGGGUGCCAGGCUCACCACCCGAGAGCACCUGCGGGGAAGGAGGCGGCCUCCCAGGUACAGUAUUUGGGGCUUGAGUCGUUCAGGACUUUAAUCACCAACAUGAACAUUGCGCCUGGAAACAAUCUGGAAACUGGUGCACCCAUUUUAAAACAGGAGUUAUGAGCCCCAGACAGGAAUCUGCAUUUUGGAUCAGCUGAAGUUUUUGAGUCAUUUGCAAGGUCAGCCUCGCCAUAACACAACUUGGAAGUUACCGCGCCAAACUACAACUCCCAGCACCUCUGACCAUUGGCCAUGCUUGCUUGAACUGAUGGGAGUUGUAGUUCAGCCAUACCUGGAGGACCUAGGAGAGGUGGCCAAUAUGUUCGGGGGUCUCUUUUCUUUAAAAAUGUGGACUCGCUUGAAUAUUGCUUCCCGGUUAUUGUUAUUCUGCUACAAGGUAUUUCUUCAUUUGGUAGAUUUAGGUGCUAUCUUCCCUGCUGGCAUGCUGGAGGCGACUCGUGAAACAUGUCACUGCACAAAACAAGCUUUCCAACCAGUUGCCUUCCAGAUGUUCCGAUGGCAAAUGCAGUCCCAGACAUCUGGAAGGCUACGGGUUGGGAGACGCUGCUGUCAAGAAAAGCGAUUCUGUGCUAGCGUCGUAACAAACAUGGGGGCCUUUGUAGGGAAAGCGAUCCUUAGUGGAAACUUGGUGGACCUCUUUUUCUCUCUCCGUUCUGCUGCCUCCUGUUGGCUCAGAAUCUUUCGGUUGUAGAAGCAAUGAUGGGAAAAUGGAGGCUUGGGGUUUGCCCCACUCUCUGCUGACAUCAGUUUCUUUGACAGCAGAAGAACUGGAAAAACGUAGUCCUCCAAGUAUGCUACUGCAAUGCACUCUGCAUGGGGCUACCUUUGAGGGUGACUCAGAAACUACAGCUAAUCUGGAAUGUGGCUGAAAGACUGGUGACUGGGAGCGGCUGCUGGGAUCAUAAAACACCGCUCCUAAAGGAUCUAAACUGACUCCCAGUACAUUUCCGAGCACAAUUCAAAGUGUUGGUGCUGACCUUUAGAGCCUUAAACAGCUUCAGCCCUGUAUACCUGAAGGAACGUCUCCACCUCCAUCGUCCAGCCCAGACUCUGAGGCCCAGCUCCGAGGGCCUUCUGGUGGUUCCCUCAGUGCACAAAGUAAAGUUACAGGGAACCAGGCACAGGGCCUUCUCGGUAGUGGCACCCGCCUUGUGGAAUGCCUAGGAGAUUAGUACAGGGGAGUUUUUAAUGGUUGAUGUUUUCAGCAACAUCACCAUCAUCUUGUCAUGCAUGUAAAAGCCCUGUGGGUCGGUACUCUCUCCCCAUCAUUUGCAUCUGGGGAUGUGGUCAGGCAGAUAGCAAGCCUAAAGCCGCUUAGUGAGUUCAUGGGACAUCCUGAAUCGCAGCUCUGCAGAACAAUCGCAAAUGUUCUGCAACGUCACAGCUCAGUUUUUAGCUUCCACCUUUUCUUGGUUAGCAUAGAGUUUUGUGUGUGUCAGGGAGCUCAGGCCCCAAAGCUGAAUGUCACCCUCCAGACCCCUCUCUCUGCACCUUGGGGUGCUUCCAUCCCACGCCACACCUCUCAACAGCCCUGGGUCAAGUUUUCCUCGAGUGCUUUUCCCUGGGUAGAAUAUAUCUUUGAACUGCAAUUGCUUCAUUGGACUGGAUGACCUUUGGACCCUUUCCAUCUCUGCAAUUCUAUGCUUCUGUGAACUGUGAUACUCUGUCGGGAGCAAACAUGCAGUAAAUCACACAGAGUAAGUGAAGUUAACUCUUUAUUUGAAGAAAAAAAAAAAACAGCAUCUGCACAGCAAUUUAUUCCUGGCAGUCCAUGAAAAUCAGUUGCCAAGACUGAAAGCUGCCUAAGUUCCCCAAGCAAUCUGAGACUGUGCCUGCAUGAAGCGAACUUCUCUGCUCUUUUCAUGUCUCUUCUGGUUCUGGGAGACCAGGGGGAGGGGAGUUUAUUGCAGCAGGAGGAGGAGACACCCAAGAUACUUUACCAGCCGGACUCAUCUCUGCCUCUUGGCCUCCCUCCUUCCACUCUCCUGCUUCAGCUUCUGCCUCUGAUUCUGGACUUCUCUCUGCCACAGACUCUCCCAGCUCACUAAGCCCUGUUUCCUCUUCAGCUUCCAAUACCUCCUCUUCCCAGUUUCCUCCCUCUUCUCCCUCUGACCACCCAUCGUUGUCCACCACCAGUCCCUGGGCUCUCUUUCUACUCUCUCUCUCUCUCUCUCUCUCUCUCUCUCUCUCUCACACACACACACACACACACACACAGUGGUACCUUGGAUUAAGAACUUAAUUCGUUCUGGAGGUCUGUUCUUAACCUGAAACUGUUCUUAACCUGAAGUACCACUUUAGUUAAUGGGGCCUCCUGCUGCCGCUGCGUGAUUUCUGUUCUCAUCCUGAAGCAACGUUCUUAACCCAAGGUACUAUUUCUGGGUUGGCGGAGUCUGUAACCUGAAGCAUCUGUAACCUGAAGCGUCUGUAACUGUGUGUGUGUAUUUAAAUUUUCUAAAUUACAUUUCAAAAUAUUCAUUUAAACAACCUUAAAUCAAUGACAUCCCGUCUUCUGCUGUAUUGUUUUUAACAUUCAAUUGGGAGCCACACAGAGUGGCUAGGGAAACUCAGCCAGAUGGGCGGGGUAUAAAUAAAUUAUUAUUAUUAUUAUUAUUAUUAUUAUUAUUAUUAUUAUUAUUAUUAUUUCUCCUUUGGUGGUUCAUUUUGCAUAUCCCUGCAUACUUUACAUGAACUAAACCAUUCAAUAAUCCAUUGUUACAUCCAUCCAAACUUUUUUUGAAUUUAUCUUAAUGCUACCAGCGUUUUCAAAUACAGUGGUACCUCCGGUUGCGGACGGGAUCCGUUCCGGAGCUCCGGUUGGAUCCCGAGGUUUCCACAAGCAGAGGUGCCUGUUCUGCGCAUGUGCAUGGUGUGGUAGAGCACUUCUGUGCAUGUGCGUGUGGCAAAACCCGGAAAAAUACUUCCAGGUUUGCCGCGUACAUAUCCCAAAGGAUACGUAACCGGAGGUGAACGCAAGUAGAGGUACCACUGUAUACACAACUUCCCCCCAUAUAGUCAACAAACAUUUUCCAACCUUCUUUAAAUGUAUGUUCGUCUUGUUCUCUUAUUCUAAGUCUGCAAGCUGCACAUAUUCCGUGAGCUUAAGUUGAUAUUCUUUGGUUGGGACCUUGCUCAUUUUCCAUUUUGGGGUUAACAAGACAUGGGCUGUGGUAAUGGUGCACAUAAAUAGUCUUUUUUGACACCUGGGAAUUUCCUUCUGACAGUCCCCGGACUCUGAGCCUUCUUCCCUUGGUGAUUCUCCAGCUGGUUCCUCUGUAUCCAACCUGUCCAUCGCAGGUUGUCCAUGCCUCUUGCUUGCCUGGUCGGAAGACGAGGUAUUUGUGCAUGAGGCUGCAACAGAUCCACCUCCUUUGCCCCCGGCUUCACCCGCCACAGGCACGCGGUCCCCAGCAGAUUCUCCUUGAAGUUAUGUGGUCCUCAGUCCCUCUCACUGCAAGAGGGAAUGCAGCCCGUAACCUGCAGCGAUGUCGCAGCAAGUUCACAUUCGUUUUGGCUGCACCGAGGGAACGGCCAGCAGUAGGAUGUUGAUAAGUUGUGCCGAUUCCAUCAGACUCACAAGUGUUCAAUUCGGCUUCAAGAAACAGAGCAUUGCUUGGUUUCUUGGGGGACGAGAAGUGGGGGCAGAGAGGGAACCUCCGCAGCCGAUGUGAGCUAGCUUGCUUUCAGGGCAAGGUACGUGAGAUACAGCACAGCGCUGUAGGAAUUCAGCUGAUAAAUAAUUUGUGCCUGCGUCGGAAACCCAGCAGCUCCUUGUCUUGGCGUGACGAGGAUCAUCGCAGACGGAGCAAAAGGAUGCCUGGCAGAUGUGCAGCUCCAUCAAACACAUGCUUACUUGAAAGUAGGUCCCACUGUUUGCUGGCUUAGGUUUGCAGGCUUAGAAUCAUAGAAUUGUGGAGUUCUAGUCAACCCCCUGCAAUGCAGGAAUCUCAACUAAAGGUCUCUUUAAAAUACACAGUUCUAUGAUUCUACAGGGAUGCGGGAUUCUGAAGGGACGCAGGUGGCGCUGUGGGUUAAACCACAGAGCCUAGGACUUGCCGAUCAGAAGGUCGGCGGUUCGAAUCUCCGCGACGGGGUGAGCUCCCGUUGUUCGUUCCCAGCUCCUGCCAACCUAGCAGUUUGAAAGCAUGUCAAAGUGCAAGUAGAUAAAUAGGUACCGCUCCAGGGGGAAGGUAAACGGCAUUUCCGUGCGCUGCUCUGGUUCGCCAGAAGCGGCUUAGUCAUGCUGGCCACAUGACCCGGAAGCUGUAUGCCGGCUCCCUCAGCCAAUAAAGCGAGAUGAGUGCCACAACCCCAGAGUCGUCCGUGACUGGACCUAAUAGUCAGGGGCCCCUUUACCUUUAGCUUAUGAUUCUACAGGAGGGACAUGGGUGGCAUUGUGGUCUAAACCACUGAGCCUCUUGGGCUUGCUGAUCAGAAGGUCGGCGGUUCAAAUCCCCGUGAUAGGGUGAGCUCCCGUUGCUUGGUCCCUGCUCCUGCCAACCUUGCAGUUUGAAAGCACGUCAAGUGCAAGUAGAUAAAUAGAUACCGCUCUGGCGGGGAGGUAAACGUGCGCUGCUCUGGUUUCGCCAGAAGCAGCUUAGUCAUGCUGGCCACAUGACCUGGAAAAACCUUCUGCGGACAAACGCUGGCUCCCUUGGCCAGUAAAGUGAGAUGAGCGCCGCAACCCCAGAGUCAUCCGCGACUGGACCUAAUGGUCAGGGGUCCUUUACCUUUACUUUUUUAUGAUUCUACAACCCAAAGAGUCCUGUGUUGCACUAGUCUCCCUGUUAAUACGCACAGUUUGGGCCACUGCAAUGUUUGGGUUGCAGCUGUUUCAACGAGCCUUUCUUCUUCCAGUGUUCCUGAUCUUUCUCCCCGCCAACUCCUCAUUUAUCUCCAGCCUGCAAAUUGCAAAGGGUGCCAGGUGGGGCUUGGCCAUCUUGUUUACCACCAGCAACUGUGGGCAUUAAUAAAGGGGCGAGAUGGAGAGGCAGGCAGGGGAUUAAUAAGAGUGCGUCAGAAUGCGGUUCAAGGCCUGCUUCUCCUAGUUGCCGGGAUACAGGAGUUUAAUGGCUCUGUCGCUCCGGCUAAUUUUGCUCUCUCCAAAGUCCGCUCCAGAGCUGGGAGGAAUGAAGGCUACAAAGACAGCAAUGGACACUCGCCAUGCCAGAUGCUUGUUUUGCUUUGGUUUUGUAACAAUCAGUAUACAGGUGAUGUUAGCUUUUCCCAACCUGGCAUCCUCCAGAGGUUUUUAUGGCACCAUAGUGUUGGAAGGGAUCCCAAUGGCCAUCUAGUCUGACCCCCAUGCAGGGCAGAAAUAAAUCAUUCUGCCUGGCCGGCCCUGGCCAUCCAGAAAUAAUCUCUGGAGAGACCACAUUGCGGAUGGCUGACCCGAUGCUCUCUUGUUUUAUUUAAAGCCCGCCUCUUCGGAAAUGUUCUGGGCACGCUUGCAAAUCAAAACAGAGCACACAGCUUGACAUAAUUCAGGGCAUCAUAAACAAAGAUAAAAACAGCCAAGGCAGUGUGGCAGCAAUGAAAUGGGCUGCUUGGAAUCUGGAACAGUGAUCAAGUAAGAAUUUGCUGGAUUAAAAAACGGUUGUGCAAAUGAAACUGGCUUUGUCUAGCCCUAGGAACUCAAGGGGAUCAGUGCUGGGUUCAUGGACUCUGGGGAUGGCAGGGAGCAUUCAAUAGAUAUGGUGCCACCACGAGAAAGGCCUGUUUUCAAGCUUCUAUUUGCUAAGCUCAGUAGACUAGGGGUGUUCACAGGUGACGUUCAAUGAGUGUUCAGUAUGUCUACCCAUGUACAAUCAUACCUCAUGUUACGUCCGCUUCAUGUUCUUUCAGGUUACGUCCCGCGGUGACCUGGAAGUACCGGAAAGGGUUAGUUCCAGGUUUUGCCACUCGCGCAUGCACAGAAGCGCAAAAUAACAUCACAUGCAUGCGCAGAAGCAGUGAAUCGCAACCCGCGCAUGCGUAGACAUGCCGCUGCGGGUUGCACUCUUUUCAUGUUGUGAACGGGCCUCUGGAACGCAUCCUGUUCGUAACCAGAGGUACCACUGUGCACAGUAGUGGAGUCAUAUGCAUCAACAAGCGUGCAUGAUUUUCCUGCAAAGACUUGUCCAAGACAGCAUGUACCUGUGAUCAGUGUAAUAUGUGAACAUGCUUACUGGCAGAUUUAUGUGGGAGGAAGCCAAUACGGUUUUAAGUUGUUUAAACAGGUUUUUUUAAAAGUUGUUUUUUCAUUUUUGCAACCUGCCCAAGGUCCUUAAGGUGAGGGUCAGGUAAUGAAUAAAUAAUAAUUUAUUAUAUAACAUCAGGCAUAGCUGAUAUAAAGGACUCCCCGUGCCAGUACUGUGGUGACCAGGAGUCAGUUAUGACCCUGCAAAGGCCUUCUUUAGCUGUGUGAUUCCGGCAUUGCAGCGGGUUGGUCUAGAUGAACUCUAUAGUUCUCUGAUCUUUCGUCGCUUGCGGUCCUCUCUGCCCCUUUCCCCCUUCUGGAGUUUAGGCUCCUUGCGUUGGGGGAAGGAUUGCAGGAGCAACUCGCAUGAACCGCUCUGUUCCUCCGCGUUUGAUUCCCGCCCUCCCUCCUUUCCCCCCCCCGACCGCCAUCACCAAAAAUACAUCCUGCUCGGCGGCUCACGACUAACAAAAUAUUUUUGUUUCCUUUUCCCGAAAGCAUAUGGGGAGCUCCGGGGAAGCAUAUGGGCCUUUUCAGGAAAACAUAUUGGUGAAUGGACAAAUUAGAGCAGUUGCCAAUCUGCUUUGGGUGUCUGGCGAGACCACCAACCACGGCGACUCCGCUUAGAUCUCCCGCAAGACUUCCCAAGGUGGAAGCCAGGCAAGCAGGAGGGAUGGCGAGAGCUCCAUGCGCUGAUGCAGAAACAGAGGCAUGCAGGGAUCGGCGCUUACGCUUUAAAAGAACGGUGCAAAGCCUGAUUUCCCUCUCUGGGUCUGCACACUGAUCAACUGCCACGGUGGAUCGGGCCCCCAGCAGGAAGUCAGCUUAGUCUUAGAAAUAUGGGGGAGUGUGUGGGGGAGCUCACUUAACUUUGUGUGUAAAUGUGUGGACAUACCUAAUCUGCAGUUUCUGAAACUAUACAAGCGCAGUUUGAAAUUCACACUUCUUUGAAUUUUGUAAUGCGGUUCCGCAGCCAAGUCGUGUGUUUGAAAAUGCAUAGGCCAGUGCAUUAAAUUGCAUAUAAUAGGGGGAAUAGCUUACCAAACAAACAAACAAACAAACAAAAACAAAAACCCUGUUGUAUUAGGGAAAAUUGCUAGCAAUGAUGUCUUUAUUAGGCAAAAUGUCAUAAAAAUGUGUAGAUCAAAAUGCCCAUAUUCUCCAGCUGGGUUUUGAUGAGCCUGGGAUAGCAUGAGACUUUUAAUCUCAGGAUUGUGUGUUCAAGCCCCACGUUAGGCCAAAUAUUCUGGCAUUGCAGGGAGUUGGGCUAGGUGACCCUAAUUGUCCCUUCCAACUCUGCAAUUCUAUGAUUCUAAGCAAAAUCUGUGAAAUAAAAUAAACAAGUAUGACUGCGAUCUACUUUCAGAAUUAAAAACUGGCAGCGGUCUACCCCCAUUUUUUAGGGGUUCAGUGCAUGGCAAUCGCAGCAUUAAAAUCCCCAGUACUCUUCCCAAACGACAGUUCCCAGGAUUCUUUCAGGGGCAAACAGUGCAUAUGCAACCUUCCACCUGCUCUGACUAUAAAAAUGGCCGCACAUUUAAAGUCCUUGCUUGGUUGCUAAUUCCCAGGGCAGCUGGGGGAUUCGCUGGAGGCUCAUGCGCCCACACGCCGUUCCCUUAAAGAGGCGCUUUGCCUCGUAGGAUCUCCUCCCCACCACGCUCAGCUUUGCGAAUCUUCCCUACUUAUGGAUGGAGCAAAACUAGCAAAUCCUAAACGUUACAGUCCUCUGGGGGGCGGGGGAGACUUGGCUCUGUUCUUUGUCACAAUAUUGAACACGAGUUGCUAUUUACAGUAAUGAAUCAAAAUGUCAGCUAUAAAAAUACGGAGUGUCAGAGCGCUCCUGCUUCGCUCAAAAAAGUUUGAUUUGACAGUUUGUUAAUCAUACGAUGAUUAAACGUGUUUCGCGGCGUUGACUGCCCAGGUCUUCCUUCCUUCUUUCCUUCUCACCACCAACCCUUCCCCUUCCCUCCCUCCUUCUCUCUGCUGUUAAGCCAUGGUUGGCCAUCCCCGGGGGCUGAUGGGAUUUGUAGUCCAUCAGAAUCUGGAAGGCGCCAGGCUGGGGCGGAAGGCUGCUGCUGCAGCGAUAGCUGUGUGACAGAAGAGCCUUGUUCUCAACUUUACUUGGCUUCAUUUGGCUCUCGCUUGGACCUCUGGCCCUGUUUUCCUGCCCACCUCGCUUUCCCACCGACUCAUUGCAGAGAUUGUGCAGACUGGGGAGCGGCUGUGGGCAGGUGUGCAAUUAGCAAGGCAUGAAAUUCAAAGUCCCCCCGGCGCAAGCAGGGAGAAUCGCUGGCUGCCAAGCUCCUUAUAUUGGAUAAUUAAGGCGCAUGCAAGAGAGCCUCUUCACCUCCUCUUUCCAGCAGUCCUGGCCCAGGUGGUAUUUAACUAAUAGAAAUGCCUUUUUCUCCCGCAACCUCAACCCCAACAGGAUCUGGGUUUUGAAUUCCGCCUGUGCCUCAGUAAAUCCGCAUUUUGGACAGUGAUGAACCCUUCGGUUGACAAUUCUGGCAAUGUUUUGAGGCCUGGGAGGGAAUCGAUGGGCAGGGAGGAUGAGUUCUCUGCCUCAGAGAACUCAUUGUACCUUGUCAUCAGCGUAACAAAGGAUUCGGGCCCAUAAAGGUAAAGGGACCCCUGACCAUUAGGUCCAGUCGUGGCCGACUCUGGGGUUGUGGCGCUCAUCUCGCUUUAUUGGCUGAGGGAGCCGGCGUACAGCUUCCGGGUCAUGUGGCCAGCAUGACUAAGCUGCUUCUGGCAAACCAGAGCAGCGCAAGGAAACGCCGUUUACCUUCCCGUCGGAGCGGUACCUAUUUAUCUACUUGCACUUUGAUGUGCUUUCGAACUGCUAGGUUGGCAGGAGCAGGGAUCGAGCAACGGGAGCUCACCCCGGUGCGGGGAUUCGAACCACCGACCUUCUGAUCAGCAAGCCCUAGGCUCUGUGGUUUAACCCACAGCGCCACCCGCGUCCCUUAUUCAGGACCAUAGAAAGCCCCUAAAACAAUACAGCAGGAUCCUGAAAGGCAGAGCGUAAAUCCAGCCCGUCCCCUGACCUUAUCUUCAGAGGCCCUUCUGGGUGUGCCACGUCCCAUGCAGAGCCAUCUGGUGGCAAAGAUGAGGCCUGAUGAGGAACAGUUGAGGGAAGUGGGUAGAUUUAGCAGCCUGGAGAAGAGAAGGCCGAGAGGUGAAACGAGAGCCGUCUUCAGAUAGCUUCAGGGCUGCCACAUGGAAGGUGGAACAAGCUUGUCUCCUGCUGCUCCAGGGGGCAGCCAGUGGAUUCCAAUUGCAAGAAAAGCGGCGAACCGCAUGUGCAUUGUAGGAAACCUGCAAGCAGGAUUUGAGCACAAGAGAGCAUUUUCUCCCUUCCUGUGGUUUCUGGCAACUGGUAUUGAGAGGCAUAGCUGCCUCCAGCUGUGAAGACUGAGCACAGCCAUCCUGGCUAGUAGCCACUGGUAGUAGUAGUAGUAAUAAUAAUAAUAAUUUGUUAUUUAUACCCCGCCCAUCUGGUUGAGUUUCCCCAGCCACUCUGAGUGGCUCCCAACAGAAUUAAAAGCACAAUAAAACACCAGACAUUAAAAACUUCCCUAAGCUGGGCUGCCUUCAGAUGUCUUUUAAAAGUCAGAUAGUUGUUUAUUUUCUUGACAUCUCGUGGGAGCGUGUUCCACAGGGCGGGUGCCACCACUGAGAAGGCCCUCUGCCUGGUUCCCUGUAACCUCGGCUUUUCACAGGGAGGGAACCAACAGUAGGCCCUUGGAUGUGGACCUCAGUGUCUGGGCUGAAUGAUGGGAGUGGAGACGCUCCUUCAGGUCUACUGGACCGAGGUCAUUUAGGGCUUUAAAGGUCAGCACCAACACUUUGAAUUGUGCUCGGAAAUGUACUGGGACCCAAUGUAGGUCUUCCAUAUUCUCUUCCUCCAUGAAUUUGUCUAAUCUGCUUUCAGAGCCAUCCAAAUUGGUGACCAUCACUGCCUCCUGAGGUCAACAGGUCGCAGUUCUCCUGCAGCCUGAAAGCAAUCCUGGAUAAAGAUUGCUUCCAGAAUUCAUUUGUUGCAGAUUUACCUCCCUCUUGCGAUCAGAUUAAUAUUGAAUGGUUAUCAUUUCUGUCAAAAUCAAACUCCCCAAAUCUUGCACUAACUGACAUCCCCACCGUAAAUGGUAUUAUGUACCAAGUUUAUUGCAAAUCCUCCAAACAAUUUUGUGGUGCCGAAGAAAACAUUUUUGACAUUUGCAAAGAAGACCUAUAUACCAUCUGUGUUAAUAAUCCUAAGGAGUCUUCCCCAAGAAAACGUAUUCGUGAUGUUCCAUUAUGUUAUUUUUAUCUUUUGUUUGUAAGCCGCUUUGGGAUUUAUUUGAAUAAACAGCAGCAUUAAAAUAAAAUAAAACAAUUCUCAGUCCUUGUGAAAUACACCCAGGACAGCUAACAAGGAGGGGGGAGACGCAAUGAUCCUGCCCCUCGAACGAGUCUUUGCUUCUAAGUCAGGUGGGGCCACAAGGAAUUUGCCCAAAAUCUGAAGUCCAAAGGAUGGGGACUUGAAUGCCAAAGCUCUUUCUCGCCUUUUUGGUGAGAAUUUGAAAUUUAAAGGCAGCUGAUAUAAACUUUUUCAAAUAGGAAAAUAUGUUAUUGCAAAAAGGGGGAGAGAAUUACAAACAAAAUGCAACAUUUCAUCUAUAUAUGUAAACAUAAUUUUGUAUUAUAAAGUGUUCUGUUCCUGUGCAAGAAGUCAAUUAUGGUCGGAAGAGGGUUGUAUGGAAUUAAUAGCUUAGGCAGACUUGGUUACAAUUACGUUUUUAAGCAAGGCAUCCAACUGUAUGAGUUAAAAUUAUGCACAAGGUUGGACAAUGUCUCCGAGUUUUAUAUUAUAGUAAUUAGCAAACAGACUCGUUUCCCCCAUAAAUUUGAAAGGCUGUUUGCGCAUUUUAAGGCCACAACUUGGGACUUUCGCCUGUCCCACAGCAUCUAUUGUAUUGUCCUUUCCUGGGUAGUCUGCAAAUUGUCUCUCCUCCACCCUAGACAGAUUCUUUCUUCAGCCUUCUGCAACAAAUUCCUCUCCUUGAUACCAAGCAGGUGAAGGCAGCAAAAUCAUUUUUCUCCUGGUUUACUUAAUUAUGUCCAUGGCUACUCUGUGGUGGUUAACAUCAGCUGAAUUGUGGCGCUGUGGGUUAAAGGAGUGCCUUCAAAUAUUGCCAGAUUAAGGUCACAUCCUCGGUGCUACACGAAUAUUUGUCCUCUCUUCCCACAUCCCACUUGCCAAACACAAGCGGCACAAGCACACCCAAAAAUGAAGCGUUGGCCAAGAUGCUCUUUUGUUUUCUUUUCCUUGGCAUCUCAGUAACCUAGCAGAAAGGGGACGCGGGUGGCACUGUGGUAUAAACCACAGAGCCUAGAGCUUGUCGAUCGGAAGAUCGGCGGUUUGAAUCCCCGCAACGGGGUGAGCUCCUGUUGCUCAGUCCCUGCUCCUGCCAACCUAGCAGUUUGAAAGCAGGUCAAAGUGCAAGUUGAUAAAUAGGUACCGCUCCGGUGGGAAGGUAAACGGCGUUUCCGUGCGCUGCUCUGGUUCGCCAGAAGCGGCUUAGUCAUGCUGGCCUCAUGACCCGGAAGCUGUACGCCGGCUCCUUCGGCCAGUAAAGCGAGAUGAGCGCCGCAACCCCAGAGUCGGUCACGACUGGACCUAAGGGUCAGGGGUCCCUUUACCUUUUUACUGUUUAAGGAUCACCUUUUGGUUUACCUGCAGGUACACAACUCUUCACAUUUCCACAUGAGUUCGUGAUUUUAAACAAGACAAACUCAUGGAAACCCAUCAGUGUUUUCGUCCUACUUUCUUCCGAUAGGCACAAUUUCCUAUGCAAUUACCAUAUUUUUUGCUCUAUAAGACUCACUUUUUCCCUCCUAAAAAGUAAGGGGAAAUGUGUGUGCGUCUUAUGGAGCAAAUGCAGGCUGCACAGCUAUCCCAGAAGCCAGAACAGCAAGAGGGAUUGCUGCUUUCACUGCGCAGCAAUCCCUCUUGCUGCUCUGGCUUCUGAGAUUCAGAAUAUUUUUUUCCCUUGUUUUCCUCCUCCCAAAACUAGGUGCGUCUUGUGGUCUGGUGUGUCUUAUAGAGCGAAAAAUACGGUAUGUACUUUUGCAGGCUGUUUGAUAGACUGCAAUGCAUUUUUUUUUUUUGCCUGUUAUUUUCACUAAUCUAUGGAUUUAUCUGCACACUUUACCCAACCCAGUGCAUGCAUUUUUUGCUGGAGACCUGCAUUGUGAAAUUCAGAGAAUGGCAAAUUUCAAGGGAUUUUGUUUCGUUUCUCAUAUCGUUUCAGGAAGUGUGCGGCCGAUAGGUUCAGCUUUGGCCCCGAUCCAAUGCAGAACCAGGCGUGCUCAAGCCAUUUGAUUCUGACAGGCUGGAGUGUGUCUUGCUCUCUUCUGGAUGACACCCAGGGGCUAGUAAACAUGGAUCCCCAGAGCAUAUUUUUGUUAACAGGCUCCUUCAUCAUGGAGCAUUUUCUCCCCUUUCAAUUUUUUCAUUUUUGCAAAGCAGUUUCACAUCAUGAUGAACGGCCUUGGGUGGCCAGUGGUUAUACACCAGGCCACCGGGAUGGACUUCUGUCAUCAUAGCCACUCUCCUUUCUUGGAAGCUGCAAAACAACAAAACAACUCUCUUUUUUUGCAGUUUGCAUGUGAGGCAGAAGGAAAAUAAAAAACCCCGAACCUGACCACAAUCAAUUUCAGAUUCAAGGAGUUUAAAGUUAAUUUUCUUUGUUGAGGUUGCAGCCUCUGAGACCGGAGUUUUCUGGGCGGCAAGAGAGUUGCUAAGAGAUUUCUGGCUGGGGAAAGCAGUUUCUAGGAUGCAGGAUUACAGGAGGCUCCCUUGCACUGAGUCAGACCAUUGGUCUGUCUUGCCUAAUGUUGUCUACACUGACUGGCAGCUGCUCUGCAAGAGUUCAGACAAGGGAUUUUCCCUGACCUACCUGGAAAUGCCAGAAAUUCAACCCAGGGCUUGUUGCUCUACGGCUACUUAGUUUGUGUGUUUGUGAUGAACACCAGAAUAGCCCUGCUGGAUCUAGCAUCCUCCCAGUGGCCAAACCAAAUGCCUCUGGUAAAACCCACAAGCAUGACCCAUGUGCAAAUGGUAUACAGAGGUGCGCUGCCUCUGAUAGUGGAAAGAUAACAUAGCCUUCAUGUCUAGUGGCUGUCGAAAGCCUCAUCCCCCAUGAAUUUUGUCUUUUCAAGGCUUCCAAGUUGCUGGCCGCUGCUACGUCUUGUGGCAGGGAGUUCCACAGCUUAACUAUGUGCUGUGUGACCCCCUGGACCAGAGCACUCCAGGCACUCCUGUCUUCCACUGCCUCCCACAGUUUGGUCAGACUCAUGUUUGUAGCUUUGAGAACACUGUCCCACCAUCUCGUCCUCUGUCGUCCCCUUCUCCUUGUGCCCUCCAUCUUUCCCAACAUCAGGGUCUUUUCCAGGGAGUCUUCUAUUCUCAUGAGGUGGCCAAAGUCUUGGAGCCUCAGCUUCACAAUCUGUCCUUCCAGUGAAAACUCAGGGCUGAUUUCCUUAAGAAUGGAUACGUUUGAUCUUCUUGCAUGGGACUCUCAAGAGUCUCCUCCAGCACCAGAAUUCAAAAGCAUCCAUUCUUCGGCGAUCAGCCUUCUUUACGGUCCAGCUCUCACUUCCAUACAUCACUACUGGGAAAACCAGAGCUUUAACUAUACGGACCUUUGUCGGCAAGGUGAUGUCUCUGCUUUUUAAGAUGCUGUCUAGGUUUGUCAUUGCUUUUCUCCCAAGAAGCAGGCGUCUUUUAAUUUCGUGGCUGCUGUCACCAUCUGCAGUGAUCAUGGAGCCCAAGAUAGUCUCCUAUUUGUGUUUUCUAAAAAGCCCCAGAUGUUGUAACUUUUCCUCCUAGGAAAGCUGCUCCAUCCCUUGAUGGCUUGGGCUGCCUUUUCAAAUCCUUUGCAAUGCUCUUUUUGAGGCAAGGCUGUGGACGUAGACCAGAGGGCCACUAAUAUUUAUUUAUUGAAUUGCUUUCCCUCCCUUUUCCUCCCAGAAGCUCAAAUUGUCAUAAAUGGUUCUCCACCACUUCCUCAUUCAAUCCCAGCAGCAACCCUGUGAGGUAGGUUAGGCUGAGAGGCAGUGACUGGCCCCCAAGCUCACACCCAGGGAGAGAGCUUCAUGGCCCAGUGGGGGGAUUUGAACCCAGGUCUCCCUGGUCCUAGUCAAACCCCCCCAAACAUGGCGACUCUCCAUUCUAUUCCAGUCUUAACACACACACCCUCCUCUGCUGCAGAGGGACAGCCCAGCUCACAACUGAUCAUAGCUGUCAACAUUUUCCUUUUUUUAAGGGAAAUUCCGAAUAGGAUUCCUCGCCAGAAAAGGGGAAAGUUGACAGCUAUUCAACUGAUCCUGUCUCCAGAUCGGCCGUCCCAAAGCUCCAAGCCCCUCUUGUCCCGACUUGCGCCUUAGCGUGCCACGAGUUUUGCCCAGCCGUGCCAAAACCUCCAGAACCAUAGGGAGGAAAACUAUUUUCAAAUUCAUUUUGCCGCUGCUAAAUGGCUAAACACAUUGCCCUGUGUUGCCAUUUGCAGAUGCGAAGGCAGCUCUGGCGGAGAGUGGCUGCUUUCUCUUCUAUUUUACCCAUAUUAGGAGAGGCGAUUUUGCUGCUCUGGUUCAUUUUCUUCCCAAACAAUUUACGGCGGUUUAGUAGCAAUCGAGGCUCCCCGCUGCGAGGGCUUGUUUUGCUUCCCUAAACUGGGACAAUUUGAGCUCUGAGCUUGGCAAGGCGUCCUCCUUCCUCCGGUUUUCAAUCUCUGUUUCAACAUCUUUUGCAACCCUUUUGUGUUCCUUUGAGCUGGCAAAGGCUGCAAGCAAUGAAGAGAAAUGCCUUCUCUCCCUGGCCCCCCCAAAACCCCACUCACCCUGUAUCCAUGCCUUUUCUCAUUGCAGUGCAGAGGGGCCGCAGGACAAUGUUGUUGCAACAGAGGCAUGCGAUGGAGAUAUGGGAAAAAUUGGGUCUGCGCCUUCCCUGGGGUGCUGCAACCAGCUUGCGGCAUGGAGAGUUUGGGAAGAACGUUAACUAGCUGCAGAACUGCCGAGGUGAUAAAAGGCUGUGCCAGGGCCAAAGCAGAUAUAACUUUUUAAAGCAGUAAGGCCAGGUUUGAGUCAAUUCAGGGUGGGUGGGUACAUAGAUCAGGGGGUCAGGAUCCAAGCAGAAUGCAUUAGCUGCAACAGUGCAGACUAGCUGCCCCUGAUCCCUAUCACUGUUUUGCAUUUCAAUUAAAGGGUGUUUUGUUUUAAAACUCAUAAGGCAGAUAAAUGCAGUGCUUCUUGCUCAGGUCCCUGCUUGCGGGUUUUCAUCUGGUUGGUCGUUGUGAGAUAUGGAUGCUGGACUCGAUUGGACCAGGGGGCCUGAUCCUGCAAGGCUCUUCUUGCAUUUGUAAUCCUUGACUCUCGGUGCUAAAGGUUGCAGAUCAGCAGAUUGACAUCCUGAGUUGGGGGGCGGCGUGUAUUCCCUUCCACCCAAUUCCUAUCCGCCCCACCUCCGAGAUGCUUCGAGGCUUCCAGUACAGAUUUUGUCAGAUGAAACUGUUCCCGUCCGCCUUCUUCCCCAAACUGGGUUUCAGAUCCAAGUCUCGAUUGCUUGCAUUUCCAUAUUAAGCCAGAGUUCAGCCUUGCUGCAACGGGCCACUUCCCCAGUUGGGAGCCCCUCCAAACCGCAGCGAGAUUUUCCCUCCUCCACAGACGGGGUUUUGCUUUCCAGUCCGUUCUCUCUGCUUCCUAAAACGCAAGUUUCAUUUCUGUGUCCUUCGGCACUUCUAGAAAGUAAAGAGAGAGGGGUGUGGAGGGGAGGAACUAGCCCAGGAAUCUAUGACCCCACCAAACUAGCUGCCAUUGCUUGUGGGCAGUGAGGAGACUCAAACCCCUUCCAGCAGCUGAGCUUCAGCAGGCCUGUGUGUGUGUUUUUGUGUUUUUCUGAGUGCCAAAUCCAGGCAGAAGCACAGACUUGCUCAAAAUUUAAGUCUGCGGUGGGUCUUUGUGGAAUAUGGGCAUUUCAUGGAAUCCUAGAGUUGGAAGGGACCCUGGGGUCAUCUAGUCCAACCCCCAGCCCUGCAGGAAUCACAACUAAAGCAUUUGUGACACAUGGCUGGUAUGUCCCCCUUCUGGCCAAAGGGGGGAAGUUCAGGGGGAACCAGCCACUCCAGCCAAAUAAGGCUUCUAAUCUUGAUAGGCUGGAGUUGGUCAGGUGAUGCUUCUUGACCCCUCUCAAGGUUCCUGGGUCUGAACAUGGUCGCUCAUUGGAACAAAUAGGGCUGGAUGCACCUCAUACACUGUGGUGUAAGUUGGAAGGUAUCCUAAGCAUCAUGUAGUCCAGGCAUCCCCAACCUUUGGCCCUCCAGAUGUUUUGGACUACAGUUCCCAUCAUCCCUGACCACCGGUCCUGUUAGCUGGGGAUCAUGGGAGUUGUAGGCCAAAACAUCUGGAGGGCCAAAGGUUGGGGGUGCCUGAUCUAGUCCACCCCCUGCAAUGCAGAAAUCACAACUAAAGCAUCCAUGACAGAUGGCCGUCCAACCUCUGCUUAAAAAGCUCCAAGGAAGGAGAGUCUACCACCUUCUGAGGGAGUCCGUUCCUCUGUUGAACAGCUCUUACUGUCAGAAAGUUAUUCCUGAUGUUUAGUCAGAAUCCCUUUUCUUGUAACCUGAAGCCAUUGCCUCGAGUCCUACCUUCCAGAGCAGGAGAAAACAAGCAUGCUCCAUCUUCCAUGGGGCAGCCCUUAAGAUGUUUAAAGAUGGCUCUCAUAUCUUGAAAUAUACUUGGAGUCGAGAGUGGAUUUCAUGCUCUUUGUUCAGCUCAUAGUGGUGAGGAGGAAUGGAAGUUCCCCUGAAAUGUCUGCUUUAUAUACAUUAUUUACACAAUGGCCCCCACAUGAUUGGCUAAUUCCGAGAUUUAGCUGUAGGCCAAUCAGGUUGCGGAUUCACUUCCACCUGGAGCUGGAUUGGGUGGCUCCUGUGGACCAAUCAGACUGCUGCAUUCUGGACCCUGUUGUUCUAGGACCAUCAGACUGCUGCAUUCUGAAUCCUACUGUUCUAGGACCAAUCAGACUGCUGCCUUUUGGAUCCUAUUCAACUCAGUACAUAACAUAUCUCCUCUCAGCCUCCUCUUUCCCAGGCUAAACCUACCCAGCUCCUUCAACCAUUCCUCAUCAGACUUGGUUUCUAGGCCCUUGAUCAUCUUGGUCACCCUCCUCUGCCCACUUUCCAGCUUGUCAACAUCCUUCUUAAAUUGUGGUGCCCAGAAUUGGACGCAAUAUUCCAAGUGUGGUCUGACCAAGGCAGAAUAGUACUAUGACAGAAUUCGAACUCCUACUUGAUUAUUAUUAUUAUUAUUAUUAUUAUUAUUACCCAGCCCAUCUGGCUGGGUUUCCCCUGCCACUCUGGGCAGCUUACAGCAUAUAUUGAAAUAUAAUAAAACAUCAAACUUGAAAGGUGGGUGACCUUGGGGUAGUUCCUGCCUCUCUGCCUCUCCUACCUCACGGGGGUUUUGUGGGGAUUAAUGACAAGCAGGAAUACCAUGUGUGCCAUCUUGAACUCUCUGGAUCAAAGGUGGGAUAUAUGAAUGCAAUAAAUAAGUGAGAAAAUCCCACCCACCCCGGGAAAAAAAGAAUCAUGAGAAGUGUAAUUUACUUCCUACACAGGUACAAUUCCCAGCACCCUCAGCAAACUACACUUCCCAGGAGUCUUUGGGUCUGUGUGUUUGGUGAGUAGAGUGGUACCUUGUUUCUCAAACACCUUGGUUCCCAAAUGCCGAAAACCCAGAAAUGAGUGUUCCGGUUUCUGAACGUUUUCCAGAAGCCGAACGUCGGCUAUUGUUUCCGGGGCGCCUGCACCAAUCAGAAGCUGUGCCUUGGUUUUUGAACAUUACGAAUGGACUUCUGGAAUGGGUUAAGUUUGGUGCUUUUGUUUCUGCUAUUUAUUUUGCGUUUUUCUUUUUUGAGGUUUUUUCAGUUAAUUUGUUUUUGUGACUGUGCGAAACCCAGUUCAGCUACUGAUUGAUUGAUUUGUGACUGCGGAAAUGGAUAAAAGCCCCCCAUCCAAACAAUGACUAUCAUCAGUGCAGGGAAGGGGGGGGGGAAUCAAAUUUUCAUUUUUAUCAUCUCCAAUACGGUCUUAUUUAUUUUAUAGUGCUGUACAUUGAUUAUUGCUUUCAUUUUAUGGAUCAAUGGUCCUGCUAGUGAAAUUCAUGUUAAAUUGCUGUUUUAGGGGUUGUUUUUAAAAGUCUGGAAUGGAUUAAUUCAUUUUGCAUUACAUCCUAUGAGAAAGCAUGCCUUGGUUUUGGAACGCUUUGGUUUUGGAACGGACUUCCGGAAGGGAUUAAGUCUGAGAACCACGGUACCACUGUAUACAGCCUAAGAGAGAUGGAUGCAGACCAGCUUUUGCCUUCAGCUGUUUCUCAUGUGCCCAUUUUAAUGAGCGAUCUCUCCUCCAGCGAUUACUCAACCUUUGACGGCUGGCGGGCUGGAAGUGUGAGCUGACUGUGCUGCGUUAUCAGUAUUGCACUUGAGCCGACGCUGAGCGGGGCGAAAGGUUUCUAUAUGUGGCGCGUGGUCUGAGACAACUCAUCUUCACAUGCAUCUGAUCCCCGGAGCCUGGCUCAGUCACAUGCUGGGCAUGAGUAGUGCCAGCCACGAGGAAGGACUGCUCAAAAUGCACCCGGUAGCUUCAACCCUAGAGGAGGGUCACCCGUCCUCCAGCUGUUCGGCAUCAAUCUGAAAGUUGCCUACGCUCUGAACAGUGCUUUGGCAUCCCAUAAUUUUUUAAAGGGAUGUGCAUGUGUACAUCUCCCUCUAUGAACCUGCCUGGGUGCUAAGAUCAUUGAGUGAGCAGCUUCUCACAGUCUCUCCAACAUCGGAGGCACGGAUGGUGGCGAUGUGAGAGACAGGGCCUUUUCUUUGGGGGCUCCCAGGUUGUGGGAUUCCCUUCCAAGAGAGGUUAGGUUGGCUCCCUCCUUGUUAUCCUUCUGCCGACAGGCUGAGAUCUUCCUCUGGAAACUAAGGCGCUGACAGUGCUGACCGCCGGGCUGCCGCCAAAGCACAUUAUAUUUUACUUGCUGGUUCUAAAAACCUUGCACUUGUUGCUUUCAUCAUUCUAUAUUUUGCAUUGAUGUUUUUACAUGCAGGCAUCGUUUUAUAUGUACGCUACCAUGCAGCAAUUCAAGCCAUGCUCAAGGCUGCUUACGACCUGGGAAAAAUCCCUAAGUGCAAUGUAACAAAAGUAGCCAAACACAAUAAAUGAAACAUUUAAAAAAUGCAGAACUGAAACAGUUUUUACAUUUAUCACAGUACCUAAAAUGAAGAUGGAAAAUAGUGGAGAAGGCGGGCAGCAGGUCUUCCAGGACUCCCAACUGAGAUGUUAUGCCACCUUUGCAUAGUUAAAACUGUGUUCAAGGUGGCUUACAACAUGAAAACAAAUACAGUGGUACCUUGGUUGUCGAACUUAAUCCGUUCCGGGAGUGGGUUCGACUCCCAGAACGGUUCAAAAACCAAGGCAUGGCUUCUGAUUGGCUACAGGAACUUCCUGCACUCAAAUGGAAGCUGUGGAAGCUGUGUUGGACGUUUGGCUUCCAAAAAACGUUCGCAAACCAGAACACUUACUUCCGAGUUUGCGGCAUUCAGGAGCCAAAACAUCCGAGUACCAAGGCAUUUGACAACCAAGGUAUGACUGUACGUAUAUAAUAAUAACAACAACAACAACAACAACAACAACAACAACAACAAUUUAUUAUUGAUACCCCGCCCAUCUGGCUGGGCUUCCCCAGCCACUCUGGGCAGCUUCCAACAAAAUAUUAAAAUACACUAAUGCAUCAAACAUUAAAAGCUUCCCUAAACAGGGCUGCCUUCAGGUGUCUUCUAAAAGCCUGCUAGUUGUUGUUCUCUUUGACAUCUGGUGGGAGGGAGUUUCACAGGGCAGGUGCCACUACCGAGAAGGCCCUCUGCCUGGUUUCUUGUAACUUGGCUUCUUGCAGUGAGGGAACCGCCAGAAGGCCCUUGGAGUUGGACCUCAGUGUCUGGGCAGAACGAUGGGGGUGGAGACACUCCUUCAGGUAUACUGGGCCAAGGCCUUUUAGGGUGUGCCACCUUGAAUCACAAUUUGGAGGAAAGGAAGGAUAUGAAUACCUGAAAUAGAAAAACAAAGAGCCAUCCACGGAAGGCCCAGAUUGUUGAGUGAGCUACAACAAUGUGAUGCUGAGGAGUAAUUGGGUGAUGGCUUAGUUGUAAAUUCAUUAUGUUUGCUGACCCUAAAUAGCAUGGGGAACUAAGGGGGCAUCUCUUGAAAAGCUUGUCUUGCCUAUAUCAAUCCCCAAGGAGCCACAAGGCACCUCAUUCCUUGCAAAGUUUGUGUCUCAUUCCUUGCAAAGCGAAUCUUGGCUGCGUUCGCCGUUGAGGAACGAACAUGUGUCCACUUACGAGACUGUAGUUGUUGAAUAAGCAGAAGCGGUUGUAUUUAGAGUGAAACCACCGGGAACAAAGGGUCCCUCUUGAGUCUCUCUUGUUGGGGAGGCGGCCUGGCCGUUGCUGGCAAAUGCUUCUCUUUUUCAUGUGGCGCCUUUUAAGGGAGGCUUCCUGAAGGGUUUUGGUUUUUUUUGCCAUUACUCGAAGAUUUGCUCGCUCGCAGAAGAAAAGAGCAAGCCAUCUGUUUGAGCAGGAGAUGGAAUAACGAGACAGAUCUGUAGCUAAAUAAGUUCACAUCUGCUGGGAGGAACCAUCAAAAGACAACUGAAGGUUCUAAUGAGAGCCACAUGCGGAUGAAACCCGAGAAAUAUUGAGGGAGAUCGGCUGCCAAGAAUUGUGUGUGUGUUUGUGUGUCUCUGUGUGUGAUCUGGGCCAGCUUGCUUUCGUUCUUCUUCUUCUUCUUCUUCUUCUUCUUCUUCUUCUUCUUCAGCUUUUCCCUUUCGAGUCACGCAGAAGCAGAGAGAGGGCGAGAUCUAGGUGACAAGAUGCCAUCGCUGCUCUCGAAUCGCGGCCUUAUAUCAGCAGUUCGAGGUCGUAGCAGAGAAGUUUGCUGAUGUGGGGCAGCAGACAAAAGCAAAUGGGGGAGCCCUUCCCCAUGAGACUGUAAGAAGAGGUUGCUAGAUCAGGCCAUUGGCCCAUCUAGUCCAGCAUCCUGUUCUCACAGGGGCCAACCGGAUGCCCCAAAGAGCAAAAUUAUCCCCCAUCAUGACCGAAAAUGUCCUGCUGUUAUUUUGCAACAUUGCUCCUUCCUUGGGAGCACAGAACUUGCAAUUUCAGUUCCGAAAAUGUAUAUAUUCACAAUUUUUUUAAAAAGUAGAGAGGGGAAACUUUUUUCUCCCUCAUUGCACUAAAGCUCAUGGGCAUCCAAAGUAGCUAAAUGUUGGAACAUUCGCUUUCUAAUGUACAGCACCCUGAUAUCUUUUGAUAAAGGGUGGUACAGUGGUACCUCUGGUUGAGAACGGGAUCCGUCCCAACAUGAAAAGAGCGCAACCCGCCGUGGCGCAUCUGUGCACACGCGGGUUGCGAUUCGCCGCUUCUGCGCAUGUGCGUGAUGUCAUCUUGCGCUUCUGCUCAUGCGCGAGCGGCGAAACCCGGAAGUAACCCUUUCCAGUACUGACGUGACCUGAAAGAAUGUAACAUGAAGCGGACGUAACAUGAGGUAUGACUGUAUAGAAAUGGAAAUAAUACUAAUGGUAAUAACAGGAAGGAUUCACGCAGCAUGUAGUUAAACCAGGGAACUGGCUUCUGCAGGAGGCAAUGGUUGUCCCCAACUUGGAUGAAAGAGAAUUAGAUAAGUUUGUGGAAGAGGAGAAUCCACAGUCAGAAGUAGCAGUGCUUCUGAAUAUCAGUUGCUGGAAACUGCAAAAGGUGGCUCUGGUGCUUGAUUCCUGCUUGCAGGUUUCCCAGAAAAGGCUUCUGGCUGGCCACUGUGAGAACAGGAUCAUAGCUGCCAACUUUUCCCUUUUCUUGUGAGGAAUCCUAUUCGGAAUAAGGGAAUUUCCCUUAAAGGAUCAGUUGACACGGAACCAAGAGAAUUAAAGCAAACUUAGAUAGCUCAAUUGGGUGGAGCGUGGUGCUGAUAACAGCAAGGUUGUAUGUUAGACAGCUGCAUAUUCCUGCAUUGCAUGGAGCUGAACUCUGUGAUUCAGCAGACCCAGUUAGGAACCUGCAGUUUAUCAGAUACUACUGCAAUUUGGGACUGCAGAAUGGGACACGGGUGGCGCUGUGGUCUAAACCACUGAGCCUCUUGGGCUUGCCGAGCUCCCGUUGCUCGGUCCCAGCUCCUGCCAACCUAGCAGUUUGAAAGCACGCCAAAAAGUGCAAGUAGAUGAAUAGGUACCACUCUGGCGGGAAGGUAAACAGCAUUUCUGUGCGCUGCUCUGGUUUCGUAUUCCCUUGCAUCAGAAGUGGCUUAGUCCUGCUGGCCACAUGACCUGGAAAAACUGUCUGUGGACAAACGCCGGCUCCCUCGGCCUGUAAAGCGAGAUGAGCACUGCAACCCCAGAGUUGUUCGCGACUGGACUUAACUGUCAGGGGUCCUUUACCUUUUUACUGCAAUAGAACAGAGCUCAACUUAACAUGGUUGUUUUGAGUCUAACUGCCGCUUAAGAAGAAGGCCUACCCAGAGGAAAAUCGGAACAAAGCUUAGAGAGGAGCUCAGAUGCAGCGCACAGAGAGUCAUAAAACAUCAAAACAUCUCCAGGCAUCCUUCUACAUGCACCAAGAAAGGUUACAGGUCGUGAGCAGCAAAACAAGUAACUUACUGCUAACUUCACCCCCUAAUUAUCUUGGGGUGCCAGACCAUUUGGGUCUCAAAUGUGCUGUUUUAUCAGUUUCCUUAGCUACCAGGCCAUCAACAGGGUUGUUUAUUGUCAAGUCCCUAUCUUUUCCUUGGAACCUCUCAAGGAGAUGCCGGAUUUCACCCUGGUGCUAACUCAAAACAGACCUAGCAAAACAUCCCGAGUGACUAUUUCUGCCGCUUUCAGGGUCAGAUAGGGAAGGAAUGCAGCGUACGAGUCCUAAAAUGCAGGCACACAAAAACAAGCCUAAGACAUUCUAGCCAGAGGUUCGAUACACUUAAUACUGGAACAUUUUUGAAAUCAACAAAAUUCAUACCCUGGGUCUCAAAUUCUUACAUCACAUGGAAUCCGCAAGCCAACGGUCUUCUUGCUUUUCUCUUUCCCCAGUACUGAGUGAUGUCUCACCCGUCAUGGCUGCCCCCCAAGAACCCCAGCGAGCCCGUGGGCCAUGUGACCGCGAGGAUGGAGACCACCCAUUCUUUCGGGACCCCCAGCAUCUCCAUAUCCACUCAGCAGACCCCAAAGAAGUUUGCGCCAGUCGUGGCCCCCAAACCGAAGUACAAUCCCUACCGAGCGGCUGAAGGGGAAG